rnacentral:lncRNA from 1 species
UUUAUAUAUAUUAUGUAUAGUGUAGGGACCAAUUGUAACUUUAUAUUGUAUAAAUAUAUUCUGCAGUAUAUGUCUCAAAUUGAUGAGGCUUUUCCCACAUUUAACAAAAGGAAAACUAAAUUAACACCAAAUUGCCCAAAAUUAAACCAUAUAUUAUACUAAAUUAAUUCACAACAGUUCGACAUCAAUCAAAUAUUAUCUCGCACUCGAAUUCACAAAACUCACUUUCCGGGUACAAAGUUUGUAGCAUAUGACCAUGCAUUGUUUGCAACAGGGUCAGCAAGGUGGUCAGCGAGGUUCUCCAAUGGUCCCUUUCCGGUAACAAUGGCUUGAACAAAGAAUCCAAACAUAGAGAACAUGGCUAGUCUACCGUUCUUGAGCUCCUUCACUUUCAGCUCAGCAAAUGCCUCUGGGUCAUCAGCCAGACCCAAUGGGUCGAAGCUACCACCAGGGUAAAGUGGGUCAACUACCUCACCAAGAGGUCCACCAGCAAUUCUGUAACCUUCAACUGCACCCAUCAAGAUCACUUGGGUAGCCCAGAUGGCUAAAAUGCUUUGUGCAUGGAUCAAACUUGGGUUCCCCAAGUAGUCAAGACCACCCUCACUAAAGAUCUGGGAUCCAGCCUUGAACCAUACAGCCUCACCAAACUUGACACCAUUACGCGCCAAGAGUUCGGGGAAGACGCACCCAAGAGCUCCGAGCAUGGCCCAUCUGCUGUGGAUGACCUCAAGCUCACGGUUCUUGGCGAAUGUUUCAGGAUCAGCAGAGAGCCCAGCAGUGUCCCAACCGUAGUCACCGGGGAACUCACCGGUCAGGUAAGAUGGGGCUUCGCCGGAGAAUGGGCCAAGGUACUUAACACGGUCGGGGCCGUACCAUGGACUUCCUGAUGGUGCGACUUUCUUGACUGCUGUCUUCCUCAUGGAAACCCUUCCAUUUCCGGUGAUUUCUGAACCAGAUGGUGCUACUUUCACCGCCUGUCCGACGAAAGAAGAGGAUAGUGCCAUGGUGGAAGCUGCCAUUUUUGUGAGAUUUGUUUUGAAGAUGUUUUGAUGAUAUGAUAGUAUUAUGAGUGAUGAAGAUGUGUGGAUCUGGAACAUAGAUUUAUAGGGUGGUUUUUGGGCCAAGUAGUUGAUAAAUGUUUAUCUUGAUGCAAUUUUUAACUUCAUUUUGAUUGGCUACCAAGAUUUUAGUUCUAUCAGUGGGUCCAUAAUCUGCGUGGUUCCACUAUUCGAGUUCUCUGGCCCACAUGAGAUAUUUGAAGGGGCAGCGAUAUUCAUGGCUCUGUCUUAUUAAGCGAAUAUAAUGGCUAGAAAUCUCAGCCACUAGCUACCAUGCACAAACCGGUUUUUUUUUUGAACCGGACCGCUUCAAAAAUCCGGUUCGGUUCUAGUCAAUUUAGUCAAAACCAGUUUGGUUCCAAACCGGUCCAGCUUCAAAAUAAUUCAAACGUAUGUAAACUCGUUAAAGAAAAAACCGGUUCAAAAAGGGUUCAAAACCAGUUUGACGGAAAAAAGGUUUUUUUCAAUUUUUAUUUUGUUUUUAGGCUAAUAACUGAAAAAUAGGAAUUUUUUUUUAUAAUAUUGCUUUUAUUGUGUUUAAAAAAAAAGUUUCACACUAGGUUUUUUGAAAAUGGAAGUGGAAUGAAUUGGGAAUUCAUAAGCCUUUUUUUUGGUAAUACACACGUACACACGUCCAUAUGCCAAAAGGUUUUUAUUAUUAUUUUUUUUAUUUCUUGUUUAAUCUUUUGAUGUAUUAAAUUUUUUUUUUGUUUCAGAUUUGAUGUUUUAUCUUUUUUUUUUUCAUUUUUUUUGUUUUUUAUAUUGGAAAUACAUAAUACAACUUCAAACAUAAAAACACAAAACAUCCAAAUUGUCAAACUAAUACAUCUUCAAAUAUAAAACAUUGAUGUCGUCGUAGUCUUCAUUCCAAGUCCGUAGUCAUUGUAUUUAUUCGUCAUCCGCCAUGUCGUUGCGUAAUUCUCUCUCAUACUCGAUCUCUUCUAGGGUGAGUGACACCGACAUUCCCAUCGCUACUUCUUCCUCAUGUACUCGUGCUUCGACAUGCAACGAUGUGCCUUCUAGUGCUUCGAUGUCUUGUAUCCUUUCCACGCCAUCAAGGUAGUAUUUCAAGCAAAUGCACACUUCCACCGACAAAUGGGUUAGUUUUGUUCUUCUUGGUGAUAUUACCCUGCCACUAACAGAAAAACCGAUUCCGANUUACCCUGCCACUAACAGAAAAAGCCGAUUCCGAAGCUACCAUAGAAGCUUGGGAGCUUAGUAGAUCACGGGCCAUAGCGGCUAGAAUUGGAAAUUAGGUUUCCUUUCCUUUCCACCAAACCAAAAUAUCAAAAUUUUCAAACUCUUGAAUACUCAUUUCACUACUAGAAAAAUAGCCUUUUACGACGCGCGAACAACGACACGCGCUGUUUUAUGAUACACAAUAGUGUGUGCCCUAAAAAUAAUGUCGGCUCUCCAAAAAUUAGAAGGAUUUAGGGUACGCAUUUUUGCGCGCCCUAAAAUAAGUGUUACAUUAAAAAAAAACACGGAGGGCACAUAACAUAAAACGCGCGUCCACUAAGUAUGUCGCUUUAUAUUUUUUAAAUGAAAUGCGGGUCACAUUUUUUAGGGAAAACGAAAUUCCAAAAAGUUUGAAAGGCCCGCCAUGUUCCUACCUUCUUUCCACCGUUCUUCUCUCCCUUACUCAAAAUACCCAAAAAAAACCCUAAUAUACUCAUCGCUCCUCUUUUCUCCCAUAACAAACUCGCACCAUCACCAAAUCUCUGAUCUCCCACCAGCAAAAGGUCUCCUACCGAUGUCUCCACCUACUCUCUGCCCUCUCACUAUUUCUCUCAAUUAAAAACGCUAGAUCUCUCAAUCAGAGAACCAUGGCUACUUCUCCUUUCUCCCACACCAGUUGGCAAAAAGUGAGGAGUCUCGAGCCUAGCAGUUGAUAUUCACAUGCCCUCUUAAAUUGAAGGAAUCAGAACAUUGUCGACAUCAAUUCGUUAAUCAUCACUAGAGAAAUCAGAUACGCCAUCUGGUUGAUGAGUCAAGAGAAAUCACAUAUGUCAUCGCUUCAGCAAUCAUCCCUCCUUUUAACCGUAAGUUUUCAAUCUUACACUUUACAAAUAUCAUAUAAACAUCUCUCUCUCUCUCUCUCUCUCUCUUUCUCUCUCCUGCUAUACCUUGAUGAAUUAUCGCAUACAUAUGGAGGAACUGCUUUCUAAAAGCCAGCUAUCGGGAGAGUCAACAGGGUCAAUUGGGUGUUCAAAAGGUGCUUCGAUAUCAUCUUCCCGCCAGCAAAUCUCUGUUAAAGUUGUCACAGAGUAAUCCAUUUGAGUUUGGGCAUAUAUUUUUUGUUAUUAAUUUAGGGGGAGACUGUGUUCCAUGAUUUUGGUCAUGCAUUUCUUCAGCACACGCUAACAAGACAAGAUGAAGGGCUUGUUGUUGGUAUUCGUGGCAUAGAGUGGAUGCUGUUGAGUUACCUUUCCAGUUCAUGGAAAAUUGGUGCUACCGUAGGUAGGUAUAUAUAUCUCCAAUUUCAAGAUGUUGUUCAACUGCUGCAGGAACGAGGUGAGGGUGGCUGAUGAGAAUUUGUGACAGGAACUAUCCGAUUGGGGAUUCCAGCUCAAGUGGGGCAGUUGGCGCAUCAGAUCCAGCAGAAUCAGAAGAUAAUGAGGCCUUUAUUGCAAUUCUCUUCUUUUGAAUAUGAAAAGAUGCACUUUUCAGUCCUAAUCUGGGAUGUGAAAAUGAAAGGAACCCCUGUUUAGCCAACAAAACAAAGUAAAAUUCAGUUACAACACUUACCCAAAUAUAGCAUUCUACCUUUAAUUUUUCUCAUCAAGACAAAAUUGAAUCAGUUAUGAAACCGACCACAUAAAAGGCUGUUUUUCUAGAGUUGCAAUGUUAGGAAUAAAAGUCACAAUGGUAUGUGGUCGGUUUCAUAACUGAUUCAAUUUUGAUGAGUAAACAGGUUAGAUUUCAUAUGGUUGUUUGUUCAGAUUGGUAUUCAUCCUGAUUUUCCUUCAAUUAUGCAACAACUAUGCUGGAAUUUGCUAUGUUCCAUACUCGGAUUUUGAAUUUAUCGGAAAAUUGAAUAAUUAAUCUGGAAAAAUACCAUCUUUGAAUGAUUUUUUUGUCAUCUGUAGAUAAGGAAUACCAUCUUUGGGUAAUUAGUUUAUCUAGUCUACAUGAUUAAAUUAAUGGACAUAUAAUUCUCUAUUGAUAGAACAAAAAACAUUGCUUUGUAGUGAAGAUAAGGAAUACCAUAUUUGGGUAAUUAGUUUAUCCAUACUCGGAUUAUGAAUUUAGCCCACCAUCAGCAGGGGAUUGCUGAGUUUUAUGUGACCAUAAUGCCCUUUCGGUUUGUAGUGAAGAUCCAAGCAUGUAAUUAAUAACACCUCUAAUUAAUUAAUUAAUUAAUCCCCUAAAACUAACUAUGGUUAAAUUAAACUGGUGGUAGGUGCCAGUGUACAUAGGGGCACAUAUGGUCAAAUAUGUUUUAAUUAUUAGUCUAAUAUCUUUUGAUACUUAUCAAUAACAACAAAAUAAUGUAAAAUCGUGUGAAUACAAUUCAAGGGUAUAAUGGUCUAGACAGAGAUUAUUUUUAUUAAAGAUAUUUAUUUAUUAAUCAUCAGAGAAGAAGGAAUUAAUAUGAAAGAAUCACUUACUGCAAAAUAAUCUUCAAAUGUAAAAUCAACAUAGCCUAAGCCCUGAUUUUUAUUUCACCACAGGUUGGCGAGCUGGCGGGAAUAGCUUUGGGAGCAACUGUCAUGCUUAAUAUUCUUAUAGUUGUGUACGUUAUGGUCAAAAUAGUUCAGCAAGAACCUCUGUUGAAAUGAUAUAGGCCACUAAUUAUUUAAAACUAUCACUGGCUCCUCAUUAUGGUCAAAAUAGUUGGUCUGUUAAAAAUUGUGACUAUGAGCAAUUUGCCACUUCUAAAUGGGUUCUUUGUAGUUUUCCUUUCUAUAAUUCAGGAAAUAGGAUCAUAUUUUACUCUUGCAGAAAUAGUUAUGGUCUGUGAGCAUUCUUCCAGAUUGUAAGAACGUAAUUUUCAACACAACAAAGGUGAAAUUAUAUCUAUGUUUUCUUGUGUAUUUAACUUCACAGGAGCUGAAACAUGAUCUAAUUUUUUUUAUCUAUUGGUUAUGUUGAAUAUGGAUAAAAGGUUGUGGCUCAGAAAAGUGUUGGUGAUGCUUCUACAUUUGUUGAGAGUGAAUUUUCACUGUCAAAUUCAAGUUGGAUUUGGUAUGUAGAAAAAGUGUGUGUUUAGAGUAAGGACUUUUUCCUUGUUGGACUGUAAUAGUAGACCAAUAUGAUUCGUUUUAUAAAACCCUUAGACAGAUCACAGUUGGUUCUGCAAUUGCAUGGUCAGGUAAACAUUCUAAACACAUUUUCAAUUUAUUUUGUGAUAUUUAAUUUCUCCCAUAUUCUUUUAAAUUAUAUUAUAAUAUGCUUAUAAACACUACUUUCCUUUCAUGUAGCCAAAAAAUUGUCCCAAAGUUGACUGAGGUACUUUGGACAAAAAUACAAUGUUAGCUUACAUCUUUAUUAGUUAAUAUAAUCAAAUUUCUAAUUUUAGGUGCUAACUGAUACGCGUCCGCAAGUUCAGUCUGCAUGGCAGACAACACUCCAGCAGGUUUGACUAUAUUCUUAUGGGUUGUGGCAUUCACAUUCCCAUAGUGAUCUUGAUAAAGUUGCUUCUAUUUCCAUGCUAAGUUGGCUUUUAUUUGUAAUAUAGGAGGUCCAAAAUCUUGCAAAGAAGGCUGCAGAAACUGUGGUGUUGGUAAUUGAUGAUGAAGGGACUGAGUAUUUGAUAUCAGAACUUCUCAAGUUGCUUCUAUUUCCAUGCUAAGUUGGAUUUUAUUUAUCUUACUGUUUAUUAUCAUUUUUUAUAUAAAAUUUCAUCAUUUAUAUUAUAUAUAUAGUACAUUAUAGACUUUGCAUCAUAAUUUGUUGAAUGUUACAAGAUAUAAUUCAAAAUUCAAUUUCCUCAUGUUGUUGCUGAAAUGACAGCAAUUGGUUUUGGCCUACCAAAGAAUGCAUUCACCGCUUUAAUGAAGAAUGUAAGUGUUUAUUUUUCUUUUCUGUUUGGUGAAAAUCAUCAAAUGACAAUCUCAUUAUAUAUCUUAGGAUCUUAUCAGUUAAUAAACUUGAUCGUGGGUAUGAUCAAGCAUAGGUUUACAUUUAUACCCCUGCUUUUAUCUUUUAUCUUUUAUGUUAUAUAAUUAUAUUCCCCCUUUUUUUAUCAGGUUAAUUUGGUGGUUAAUUAUGAUCUUCCUAUAAGACAUGAUCAUCAAUCUCACUACAAGAAAAAUACCCUUUUACGACGCGCAAAACACGACGCUCUUUGAUUUAUGUUACGCAUUAGAGAGCGACAUUAAAAAAGUGUCAUCUCUUAAAAAAUUUUAAGGAUUUAGGUCGCGCAUUACUGAGUGCCCUUAAAUUAGUGUCUCAUGUAAAAAUAUUAAAAACACGGAAGGCACUUGUGCGUCGUCUGUGAAUGUCGUUUUAUAUUUUUUUUUAAGAAACACGCGUCUCGGAGGGAAAAUGAAAUCCCCAAAUUUUUUAAACCCCCACCUUUUUCUCCCUCGUCUCCACCCCUCAUCCACAUCCACUACCUCCGAUCCUCAUUUCCUCUUCUAGCCUCAAACUACGGCGAUGCACCUUCCUUCUCGAAGAAUGCUUCAUUUACCACCAUCGUCCGAUUAUGUGAGCCCAAGGAAUUGACCAAGACGAAGAAGAUAAUGGAUCAAUUGCUUCACAUCAUGUUUAAGGUUAAGGGUUUGAGUUAGUCCGCAACAGGUAAUCGAAUUUUGCCUAAUAUAUAUUUCUACUCUCAAACUGUUUAUUCGUCCGAUUGGAUGCAUAUUUACUAUUAAAUUUGGGGAUUUUCUUUUAAAACCCCCGCGCCUCUUCUUGUUUGUAGCUAAACAACCGUGAAUUUGUUAGAGUGAUUGGAAGAGGAAAAAUAGAAGAUAGAAGAAAAAGAAGAAGAAGAAAAGCGAACAAACGGGAUUUCUUGACCUGAUGUGUUAAUCCGUGAUCAGGUCUUCUGAGCGAAGAGAAGAUCUGAGGCUCAAUUGAAGAAAUAUGAGCGCUUCUAGAUUUAUAAAGUGCAUCACAGUCGGUGAUGGCGCUGUCGGGAAGACUUGUCUCUUGAUUUCCUACACCCGUAACACCUUCCCCACGGUAAUCAUCUCUUCAUCAACCGCCUUCAGUUUCUGCCCAACUAAAGCACGGUUACACACUUAUUUCUCUUCGGACGUUUCUGUGGCUUCCAUGGGAACGGAGGAGGAUGAUAUAAAUGAGGCAACAACUUCAUUCGCUACAUGUUUGAACCUUAAAUUGAAGGGAUUAUAUAUUGAAAUUUGAAUCUACAACUUCGAAUUUCAGUCAUCUCUCUUCUCUUCUACAUCUCACCUGAUUCUCUAUUGAAAUUUCUAGGGUUUUUAAUUGAACCUACAUCUUCAUCUUAAUCUUCUUUUCUGAAGUUAGGGCUUUUUUCUUAAGAACAACUAAUUUUUUGCAGUAAGUAAACCUCUAAUUUUUUCAUUUCUCAUUUCCUUAGACCUCUCCCCUUUCCAUCUCAUAUCGAGGCAAAAUCAAUUUCACUUUGGUGGCUUCGAUUUCCUAGCACAUAUUAUGUUAUUAUAUGGAUUUGUAGGAAAUUAGAAAUCAUGUUAGAAUGUUUGAUGUUCUGUAUGUUCAUAAAAGUACAUCUAAAACAAAAAUCUUAGAUUAAACAAAACUGAAGCAUUUAAUGAGAUGUAAUUACUAACUUUUGUUGGAGAUGCAAAUGCUAAAUAAAGAAAACUGAAGCAUUAAAUGAGAACCUUUAUAAUUCGAUUUCAUUCAGAUCUUCGGUGGAUAUUUAGGGCUAACAAAGAAAACUGAAGCAUUUAAUGAGAUGUAAUUACUAACUUUCGUUCAAGGUAACCCCUGUUAUGAAUACAUGUAAGAAUUUAUUUAUCUUUUUCUCUCACCACUUGCUAUCCAUGUGCUGCUCUCUCAUAGUUGAUAUCUAACAACAAAGACCUGAUCAGUCUAGUUUGCUUGUUUUUUUUCUUUUUCUUAUAAUUCUUGAAUACGUGCAGAUUUUUUAAGACUUCUAGUUUUGUUUUUUGUUCAGUGAUAUUGAUGAUGAGGCAAGUUUAUCAACACUAUGGGAGAGAUAUCAAAGUGUCUCUGAAAAGGUAUUGCGAUAUCAAAGCAUAAAUUAUUUAUGGAUUAAAAUGGGAAAAUGACUUAUAUGGGUAAGAAAGUUUUAAAAACUUUUAAAAAUGACUAUCAAAGUAUUGUUUGUAUAAAAAACACCAACCAAGUUUACCAUUUUGUCAAAUCUAACAGGUUGGUAACCUGCAUCUGCCGGUCAAAAAAAAUUACCUGAUCAUUUUAAAAACUGAAAUUAUAAAUGACAUGGCAUCCUUUUUUAGUCUUACGUGGAUUAAUUGCAAGGGAAGAUCCAUUUUCUCAGCGUUCUUUCUCAAAAUCAGGAGGGAGUCAACACAGAACCCUCUCUAGGGUUAGUUUCUGCCCCUGUAUACAGUUAUUUUUGUUUAAAUUGACUGAUUUUAACAGUUGACGAAUAUGCUCCUGCUUUGGGCUAAUCACACAUAUGUCUUUUUUAUGACCAAAUUGCCCCUGUAUAUAGUUUUUUUUUGUUACAAUUGACUGAUUUUACCAGUCAAUUAAGGUGUUGUUUAGAAACUGUUAGUAUCCAAGACCAUUUACAUGCUCGUGCACAAAGACGAAUUUGCCCUUGAUUGUGACCAAACUGCCCCUGUAUACAUAUUUUUUAUUACUAAAAACACCCCCUGUCCUAGAAAAAUAUGACACUUCUAUACAAAAGCUAAUACCAAUUUCUCACUACAAAUCAACUAAUAAGAAAAGAAGUGGGCAACUCUCUAAAAUGACCAAAAUUUGAAUUGCAGUGUCACAAAUUGACAAUUUUUUAAAGCUAUAAUGAAAUAAUGCUUUGUUUUGUAAAAUAUACAAAAUCCGUUUGUUGUUGUGUGCAACUAAUCCACAAACAUUUACAUAAUUCUCGUUAGUGUACUUUGCAAAGUGGUGCUGAAGUAAUUUGGGCAACAAAAGUACAUAUAACUAUAUUAAUAUUCUCUAAAUAAUCAUAUAUAAUGAAAUAAUGGUUUGUUUUGUAAAAUAUACAACCCAUACUGUAUUUUUGAUAAAAAAAAAUAAUGAUUUUAAGAGAUUUUGUCCGAAAUACCCUUAUAUACUCUUUUUUUUGGUAAAAAAUUAAUGAUGUAAUAGUUUUUGACUAAAAUGCCCGUAUAUACUAUUUAACAGGUUUGACCCCAUCUGAAUUAUGAUUCAGCUUAAAAUUGAAUGCCAUUUUGACAAUUUUAUUGCUUUUAAGACUAUUUACUGCUGAAAAUAUGUCAAAUUUGUUACAUUUUGCUGCUAUAAAUAGUCAAAAAAUAACUAAAAGUCUACAAAGAUUCAAGGUAACAGUAAAUAAUACUGGCAUUUCCAGCAGCAAAUCUUCAAUUGCAGGGACUAAACUUUGUCAUUUUUAGCAGAAAACUUUAUCAACCAACAAAAAGAGGUUAAUAAAGAAUCUAAAUGGCAUUCCAUUGUAACAGCAUCAAAACACGACCUGCACUCAAAACCCUCCAAAAUAGCCCCUACACUCAAUUGUAACAGCCCCUCUGUUGUGAUUCCUUUAACUGUGACCAAAUUGCCCCUCUAUUGUGAUUCCUUUAGAUUCAAGGUAACAUUGUUUUAAGUGAAAAGAUCAUUUCAUAACUUGUUUACAUAAAUUCUUUCUUAGCUUGUUUACAUAAAUUCUUUUUCUGUCAAUUCCUUUCAAGACAAAAAGAAAGAAAGCAGGAACUUAUAGCCAUGCAAGUAAUUUCAUUAUUUUUCUCAUUAACGAUUGUACUUCCUUUGCUCUUUCUUGCAUAAUAAUAAACAGAUUUAAAGAGGAGUGGAGCCAUAUGACCACCUGAUGCCCCCAAAUCAAUUUAUUUGAGCUAGAUUUGAACGAUUUACAAGGAGAAGAAGAAAAUCAAUUGUCAAGAGGAGAGGAGAUGUAUGACCACCCACCUGAUGCCCUAAAUCGAUUUAUAAUAUGUAUUUUUCAUUUAAUGCUGAGUAGAUGUGCAACACACUACCUAAAUAUGCCAACUAAUCAUUACUUUUGCCAACUCAGCCGUUCACCUGGAGAUCCGGUUACCACCGGGUCAUAUUUGAACAAAAGAUAAACUUCGUUGGUAUUUUUUGUACGACGCCUAUAGUUAAAUGGUAUUUUUGAACAACUAAAACUUCAAUGGUUUUUUUUGAAUGUUUUUGAAACUUUCUUACCCUUAUAAGUCAUUUUCUCGAUUAAAAUUGAACUUUUUUCAUACAUUACCUAACAUUGACUUGUCUUAAUUUGCAGGCAGAAAUACAAAAGGCUUUUCAUAUAUUUCUUAAACAAUUUUUUGUAAUAUACAAGAAUUGGGAGCCAUUAGAUUUAGAUAAUUCCAUAGAACCUUUCAUUGAUUCAAGGGAUCCUCUUUCUGAAAAAAAGAUUGCAGUGGCAUCAGAAGGCAGUCAUAUCAGUGAUGGAAGCUGGUGGUCUUAAUUGGUUAGUAGGUAAGGUAUGCAUCUUCAGAUUUAAUUUCUAUUGAGAACUAAACACAUUUGAAUAUCUGAGAACUAAACACACUUGAAUAUUUAUAAAUGAUGCACACAUCCAAAGGGAUAAUAGCAAUGUUUCUAAUGGCGUCAAAUAGACCUGAUUGUGACCACUAAUGGUUCAUCAGGUUUGUUGAUUUUUAUUUUAUUUUAUUUGAAGUGCAUUAUCUGGUUUAAUAUGAAAUGAUUCAUGUUGAAAUUGGUUUCUUUUGUUACUCCAUAAUACUUGAUAUCUUAUUUUUUGCAUGCAGGUGCUAACAAAUAUGGUGUCAUUAUCAUUGUUGUUGUUGUUGUUGGAUACGGAUAUGUUUGGUGGAAGGUAAAUAUAAGCUCAUAUAUUAAUAUUAUUACUUUUUACAGUUAACUUGUACAUAGUUUUUCUUCAACUAACAGAAAUGGUAUCAUUAACAGGGUUGGAAACUUCCUGAUAUGAUGUUUGCUACAAAAUGAAGUUUAUCUGAUGCCACAUAUGCUUUAGCUAAAUAGAUUGACACUGUUUACUCAUCACUUGCAGUAAGUUAUUUAAAAACUUUGUUAUUUUUUUGUUAUUAAUUUGGGUUGUUUAUUAUGUUGUUUAGGCUACCAAGAGACAUUUAUCUACAAGGAUUGACCGUGUUGAUAGUAGUUUAGAUGAGGUUGCAGAAAUUACUGCUGCUAAAAAAGAGGAGGUAUGACAAGAUAAAGGUUGUUCUAGAUGUUUAAUCUAUACAUAAUGCGGUUUACACCCUGGUGUGGUUCUUUUCCAUUUUGUCUUGUGACUUUGAUAUUGUUUUCUGAGUUGGAUAUGUGGUAUGAUAAAUUAUUUUUACAUGAGAGUAGGCUGAGUAGGGUUGAAUUGAAAUAGGUACUGAAUAUUACCGUUUGACAUGCGAUUUUUUCUAGCUUAAUGAGAUAUUUAUAACAAAUAAUUUUGAAUUUUUGUUGUCUUUUGUAGGGAAAUCCAUCAAGUUCAUCAAGGCCAGCUCUUGAAUUACCAUAGAGAGUAAACUUCUAAUCUUAUACAAAUACAAUGAUUUGCUAAAUUCAAGAAAUAACAAUGCACUUUUAUUUAUUACUUUUAUUAAAACAUCCUAGUUUAAUUUCUAGCUUAAUGAGACAUUUAUUACUUUUAGCAGAGAUCGAUAUAUAUAUGAGCUUUUUGCUUUCAAACAUUGUUGGGGAAGAAUGUUGAAACUUGCUCUUUGUGAAGGUAAUUUUUUUUCUUAAUGCAUUAUCCUCUAUAUUCUUGAUAUUUUUCCCACUUUUUAAAUCUUUUAUCAAAUUCUCACUUUUGGAUACAGUGCUUGAUGAGAGAAUGUGUGACCUAAAUCUUUUAUCAAAUUCUCACUUUUGGAGUUGGCCAUAAGAAAAUGUAGGCAAAGGGUAAUUUGUUAUAGUUCAGGUUGACAAGGUGCUGUAUUUUUCACAUAAUUGACAAGGAGCUGUUGUAUCUAUUCAGACUAGACUUAGAGCAAUGGUUGCAAGAGAUGAGUUCAGCAGAAAAAGAAACAAGGCUGCAACUAUAGUUAAGGUACUAUGGAUGAAUUAUGUUUGUAAAGUAUUUAAGAAAAUGAUUAUAAACAAGGGUGAAUUUGUACAAAUUAGUUAGCUACUUGCANUGAGUAUUUGAUAUCAAAACUUCUCAAGUUGCUUCUAUUUCCAUGCUAAGUUGGCUUUUAUUUAUCUUACUGUUUAUUAUCAUUUUUUAUAUAAAACUUCAUCAUUUAUAUUAUAUAUAAUACAUUAUAGACUUUGCAUCAUAAUUUGUUCAAUGUUACAGGAUACAAUUCAAAAUUCAAUUUCCUCAUGUUGUUGCUGAAAUGACAGCAAUUGGUUUUGGCCUACCAAAGAAUGCAUUCACCGCUCUAAUGAAGAAUGUAAGUGUUUAUUUUUCUUUUCUGUUUGGUGAAAAUCAUCAAAUGAAAAUCUCAUUAUAUAUCUUAGGAUCUUAUCAGUUAAUGAACUUGAUCGUGGGUAUGAUCAAGCAUAGAUUUACAUUUCUACCCCUGUUUUUAUCUUUUAUCUUUUGUGUCAUAUAAUUAUAUUUCCCUUUUUUUAUCAGGUUAAUUUGGUGGUUAAUUAUGAUCUUCCUAUAAGACAUGAUCAUCAAUCUCAACCUGACCAUGAAGUGUAGUUGCACUGAAUCGGAAGAGCAGGGUGAUUAUGGGAGAUGUUAAGUAGUUAUAGGGCUUUAGAUGCUUUCCCUUUGGGUAGGAAAUGUUUUUAAGACAUGAUCAUCAUUCUCUACCCCUGCUUUCCCUCUGGUGUUUAUCUCCCAUAAAACCCUAAAAUGUGGAUGUGCUAAAACUGAAGAAAUUAGAAGACACAUACUGGAUUUUAGCAAGUCGGGUAAGUUUAAAAAUAUCUUAAUACGAUAUUGAUUAGAUUACACAACAUGUAAUGUAGAAAAUAUCAUGAAUAUUUAUGAUCAAUAUUCAACUUUUGAAAAUGUAUCCAGUUUGAUGUUUAUCUAUUUGACAUUUUUUUGAUAGAAAAUGAGAAUACCGGAGAAGAUGAACCACAAAUUUACAUUGAAAUGAUCAAUGGAAUUAUCAAAUCCCUUCAGGUAUCAUCUCAUAUCACUUGCUUAUGAAAUUUAUUCAUCUAUACUUGAAAAGAUAUAUUUAUUUUUGUGUUGUUUCCAGGCUAUCCUUGAUGCAGUUCUCAGCACAACAAUUAUGAUUUUAUGAUGUUAGGCUAAACUAUAAAGCAAUCAUUCUUUGUUUUAGGAAACGUUUCAGAGCUUCUUUAGGCAGCUUAAUGAUGAGUUAUUGAAACAAAAUGGUGCCCCUUUAUAGCAAUGUAGUAUUAGGUUAUAUAGAUAGGAAAAACCUCUUAAUAACAACGUACAAUUAGAUCCCCUUAAUAUCAAUGUAUUACAAUUUUAUGACAUGAUGUUAUUGAAUGAAAUUGAUUGUGUAAUGGAUUGUAUUUUUUGUAUAUGGUAUUUUAUUUUCUAUUAUGAGACAUGAAAUGCAAAUUUAAUUUGAAAAUUAGUAAAUCUAUAAAUAAUUUUUAAAAAAAAUAAAAUAAAAAUUAUGAUACGCAAAAAUGUGUGUCAUCUUCAUUUAUGACAUGGCCUUUCUUGACAGUGGCUUUAAUGAUACGCAUUGCGUGUCAUAAAUACGUGUCGUCUAUAGACGACGCGCAAAAGCGCGUCGUCUCUCGUUAUGACAGGGCCUUCCUUGACGCGCAUGCGCGUCGUCUGACCGUUUUACGACUCGCAAUGAGCGUCGUAAAAGGCAUUUUUUCUAGUAGUGUUUGAGACAAGAAAUCAGAACCAAUGUACCUUCCGAGCUCGCUACUUGGCGCGUUAGACCGAGCUCGUUUGGAAUUUUCAUUCCUCAAAGUAUUAUAAAGCCUAAUUGUUUCGUUAUUUUAGUGAAAAGUGGAUCCGGGUGCCCCCAUAUUUUGCAUCACGUCAUGAAUGUUUGUUGAACCAUAUUUUGUUAAAUAAACUUCAAAUAAAUUUUGAAAAACUUUGUUAAAUUUUGAAACUUCCUUUGAUGCAUAAUCAAUGUCAUCAUCCAAUAAACCCAAAUCGUAACAAAUAUUUUCAAUUAAAGUCUCAACCCCCCCAACAUUUAGAGUUGGAUUCAAAGUGGCGGAACAAGUAAUAAUGGGAGCCAUUUCUUGAAAAUAUUUUUUUAACUUUGCUUUCAUCGGUUUCAUCAUAUUAGCAAACAUUGUGCUCCUCAUUUCAAACUCAUUUAUUUUCGCACACAUUAAAAAAAUUUGGUUUAAAACUAAACAACUUGUAGGAUAAUAAACCCCCGAUAAAAAAGUGGUUGUUUUUUUUUUAAAAAAACAUCAAGCAUGUCUGUAACAAGUUUGAUAGUAUCCCAACUUGAUUCCGGAUAAGCCGUAACCUUAUUACGGUCCGAAGGUUGUCAUGUAACAUUUUUAAAGUAUGUUUUUGACGUAAGGCACAUUCAAAAAUUUUGCAAGUGGAGUCCCAUCGGGUAUUAUUUUCCCAAUUCAGACCUAAAAAGAGGGCAUUCGCAUCGACACAAAAUUGCAUAUAAUUAUGAUAUCGAGCGUUACUAGAACUAAAAAUAUCUUUUAGCAUGUCUUUGAAACCAUCUUUUAUAGUUUCAAUGUGAGUUAGUCCAUCUUGCACAACCAAAUUAAUCAUAUGUGCAACACAUCGACUAUGAAAAAUAAACACCAUCACAAAUUGGUUUAUAUUUUAGUUUUAGUUGUCCAACCGCGACGGUGUUGUUUGAAGCAUUAUCAAAAGAUAUAGAAAAAAUCUUUCCUUCAAGUUUAUAAGUUUUGAUCACACAAUCUAAAAUUUUAAAUAAAUUUCUAUCGGUGUGCGGGUACUCAAACAAUUCAAACGUAAUCGUAUGCUUUAUCAUUACCCAAUUAGUUGGAUUAAUCCAAUGAGCGGUAACACAAAGGUACGCAUCCGGUGAACCGUCAGGAGCCGUCCAAACAUCACAAGUUAAAUUCACACCGGUUUCUAAAGAUUGAAAUCCUAAAAUCAAUUCAUUUUUUGCAAGUUUCCACAUUUCAAUACAAUCGCGUCUAAUAGAAGUACGACUCACAUGGCAAUAUCGUGGUUGGAGAGUAUCUUGGAUGAGUGAAGUCAAUCGUUUGUUGUCGAAGUGGUCAAAAGGCAAGCAUUCUUGAAUCACGAACUUCGUCAUCCUAUCCCGAACUUUAGCCAUAUCGUAACUCCACAAUGUUGCAUCAUUCGUCAUUCUUGUUUGAAUAUGUCCCGACCCAAAUUUCACCGUGGGGCAUCUUUUGGUCAUAUGAUUUUUCAAUGUCGAAUUCUCAUCUUCAUUAAAAAAAGCACCACAUUUCUUGCAUUGCGCUUUUUUAUACCGUUCGACAUUACACACAAAUCGUAGUUGCACAAAAUAGCCGGAUUUCUAUUUGUUUCUUUGAUGCUAACAACGGUAAGAGUGUUUGAUGAAUCUCGAACACCAACGGAAGCCGAAUCCAUUGUUUGAAUUAAGAGUGGUUUUUGAACUAAGAGAGGUUUGCGGUUUUUGAACUAAGAGAGGUUUUUUGAGGUUUGGUUAAGGUAAAGUUGAGACCUAAAAAUGUAAUACAUAUAUAUAUACUAUAAGGAAUAGUUAAUAUGGUAAAAAAGAAGCAAAAAUCGAGUCUUGAACAGCCUCAAACGACUAUAUAGCCGUUAGGAAAAGACAAAAAAACGGUAACAUUACAAAAACCGGUUCACCAACGGCACUUUCGAAAUCUGGUUCAAAACUGGUUCAUCACACCUGUUCAGAAUAAACCAGUUCCAAACCGGUCUCCAGGGUAAAACAUGCGAACUGGUAACAUCCGAUGGUUCGGUUCACUAUGGGUUCGGUUCUUAUGUGAACCGGUUCAAGGCUAAACCGGUUUCCGGUUCACCAACCGGUUCGGUUCCUAAACCAGUUUUUUUGCCCACGCCUACCACUAGCUAGUCUAGGUGGGCUUUUAGUACGGGGGUUUUCAUGAGGAAUAGGUUGAAAGGAGUGUUGGCAUCUCACUGCCGUCAUCUGUUACCAUUUCAUAAGGAGUGGUAGCAUUCCUAGCACAUUAGAUUUUUUUUUUUUGAUUUUUUUUUUUGAACUUAAAUAAAUUAUAUUUUUAUAAAACACAAACAAUUCAAUAUUAAUCAAGAAACUAACUACAUUUUAUAGAUAAAUUUACCUUAUUUAAACAAGGAUUAAUAGAAAGGUCAAAUAAAAUUUAAAUGGUUAACGACAUGCUUAAAAUUUUACAAAUAUAUUGAUUUUGUAACGACACAAUUUUCUACUCUAUCAAGGUAAAGAAACAUUUAUGUUAAUAAUAAAGUGACACUUUAAUAUAUAUCUUCAAAUAAUUAUUAAAAAUAAAUAAUACUAUAAAAAAUUACCAAUACUAUCUAGAAACAAAAACCACUCACAGCACGGAAUUUACAAAACAACCAUCCAACUUCCUUAUUUUUUUGAAAGAGCUUUUACGAUCUCCAUUUCCAUUUCCUUUUUUUCUUAAAAUUACAUCUUACAUCUUCCAAUUUGCUAUUAUCAUUUCUUAAGUUUGUGAAAGUAGACUAUUCCACAAAACUACUCCUCCAAUUGUGUGAAACACGAAGCAAAAGCGAGACCUUUGAGCUUUUUCUUAAAAAAUAAUCCUUGUUUGAGAUGGAGACCACACCAUUGAUGGGAGAAAUGAAGGUUCUAGAGAACGAUUGUAAGAGGAAGAUUAUUGUAUCCACAGGCCAAUAUCCAACAAAUCUCUUUCUCUUUCUUCUCGCUAUGGUGUUGACGAGCCAUGGCUGGCGACUUCCUUGGCGCAAGCCAGGGGGCGGCCUUCAGCGCCCUUGGCGACCGGUGGCGACCUCCAUAGCGAGGCCCACUCCCUAAAGCCUUAUAACACACCAUUUAUUGACCAAGUUUACCCAACAAUGCAUCCCAAUUCAUUAGAUUUGUCUUAUCAUUAUACUUUUUAUACAAUUUCAUCAUUUUUCUAUAAUAUAUUAAAACUCUAUGAAAAUUCAAAAGAAUAUACUUUUGAAUUUUCAUAGAAUUUUAUUAUAUUAUAGAAAUAUGGUGAGAAUCCUAGAUGCUUUUAUCUCUCUUUCAGACUUAAAAGCCAGUAUGCGUUCAAUAAGUACGUGGCCAACUCCGGACCUAGCUUUUGCGAACGUGGGACGUUCACUUCGGAUAGCCUCGAAAUGAGUACCUCUUACUUUAAAAAUUUAUAACUUUGGCAUACGAGCUCCGUUUUCGACAUUCACUUUCAUUUAGACUCUGUUUGCUAAUUUUGAUUUUUAUUUUUAAAUUUAUAUUUUUUAACAGGCCGGGACUGGAAAAGCCCGUUAAAAAUUCAUAACUUCUUCAUCCGACGUUCGUUUUCGUAUGACUUUUUACCAUUAAACUACUAUCGACGAGAUUUUUGAUUCUCAUUUACAUUGUGUUGGAUAAAAAUCGCUCGAUCUAUACUUCGAACUACGGGCUGCACAAUGUUAUGCCAAAUCUUAGAAAAUUCAUAACUUCCUCAUACGAAGCUAGAUUUGGAUUUCUUUUUUAUGCACGCUCUUGGUUUAACGUAUACUACGAUUUUCAUUUAGAUUGCUAAGGCUAAAAAACACUUUAUCGUAAACUCACUUUUCACGUCACACAAUGUCAUGUCAGUUUUGUCGCGAAACUUCGAUAUGUCAUAAAUUCUUCGUGAUCAGGGCCGAUCUUGAAAAAUGAAAUAUUCUUGGAGCCCCAGGACGAGCAAGAAAAAAAUGGCCCUUAUCUUUAUUAUAAUUUUGUAAUUUUAAAUAAAAAUAUAUAAUGAAAAAAAUUAGGCCAUGUGCAGCUGCCCACUUUGCCUCCUUCUAAGCCCCCAUUGUUCAUGAUAACUCGGAUUUCAGCGUUCUUUAUAUUUCUGGAGUCCUUGUCACGACCACUACAACUUUCUUCAUAGAUAUCGGGUUUAUAUAACAUUUUAUUUUUGACGCUUAUUUUUAUUCUUAAUUAAUUAUAUCAUUAUAAACAAGUAUAUAAUCACAUAAAAUCACGUAAUUCACAUAAUACUCAAGUAAUUCAUCUUUAUUACAUUAAAAUAGGUUACAAUGGUUGACCUUGACUAUUACAUCAUCAUACUAAUGUGAAACAACCUAAAAUACGACCCAAUUUUUUUUUUGUUAAAAUAAUACUAAAGAUAUCAACCAUCAUAAUAUAUCAUGAAAUCGUACGUCAUAAAUCCCCAAAAAGUUAUAAUAGAUAUGUCAUGACAAAAGAGUUGUAUCAACAUACCAUAGUAUCUAAAAUAAACUCCCAGGACAAAAGUUGAAACUGUGGUGUGUGCAAUGUCAUCAUCCUGAGCUCUUUCCUUUGCUUGCGGAAAUACCUGAAACCAAAACUGAAACUGUAAGCACAAAGCUUAAUGAGCUCCCCCAAACUACCACAUACCAUACAAUAGCAUAUACAACACAUACUAGGCCUUGCCCACUGCAUCGGACCGAAGUCCGGAAAUUGCAUCGGACCGAAGUCCAGAACUAACCAAGGCCUUGCCCUCUGCAUCGGACCGAAGUCCGGAACUACAUCAGACCGAAGUCCGGAAACUAACCAGGGCCUUGCCCUCUGCAUCGGACCGAAGUCCGGAACUAACUGCAUCGGACUGAAGUCCGGAACUGACUGCAUCGGACCGAAGUCCGAAAUUGUCUGAACAUAACAUAUCAUAAACAUCUCAACCAGUAUGAACACAUAAACUGCAUAUCGCAUCAGACCGAAGUACGAAACACAUAACACAAAUACAUGCUUGAAUCACAAAGACAUCAAGCAUUCUAAGUACUGCAACGGACGGAGGUCCGAAACUUCUGCUAACUAAACCGACCGGCAUUGUAGCCGUAGACCCGUUCCUACUGGAAGGAAAACUCACCUCGUAAUGCUGGCUGCUGAGAUGCUAACUCUAAAAGUGACUGACCGCUGCUUCGGAACUGUCCGACUACAAAUCCCAGAAACACUAGAUUAGUUACUUGCAUAUACCCUCAGGGUAAGAUGACUAUUUUGCCCCUGGUCAAAGUCAACUUCUAGUUGACCGGACUCGCCGACUAUGGGCGCAGAACCGCCGAGUCCCUCCUUUACUAACUCUGACUUUAACUCACCGAGUCCCUUUCCCACUCACUGACUCUCUCUGAACUCGUAGGUCGAAGAAAAAAGGGGACUCACGACUCGACUCGUCGAGUCUGAAGAACAACUCGCCGAGUCCUGCCGUGCAUAUUCCAAACAAACGAAUUCAAAACUAUUCCAGAGCAUCUGACUUGAAGAUCUGAGCCCUUGGAACUAUCUAAACACGUGAAGUUUCUAACUUUACGUGCAACUAAGAAGGAAUGAAGCUAUUUCACUCAAACACUACUUUUCUUGGGAAAACUCAUCCGACUCGCCGAGUUGUAUGAACAACUCGUCGAGUCUAAGGUGAUCUUCAUCGGACUCGCAGAGUUGCUCAUCAAACUCGUCGAGUCUACGACUAUCUUCAUAUGACUCGCCAAGUCACACAUGCGACUCGCCAAGUCCAUUCAGUCCCUUUUUCCAUACAGACCUGAUUUGGGCCAUGCAGUGGCUCCAAAUCACAGAUCCAAGAUUCUAGGGCAUGCUUAUCACGUAAAUUUGCAAACUUUACGUGCAUGCAUGGCUUUAAAGGCUUCAAAUGCCAACCCUAAGCUCUUAAUGGGGUUCCAAGCUCAAGAGGGACCUCAAUCACGACCAUAACCGAAACUUUACUCUUCUAGAAUGCAAUGAGAGUCUAGAUCUGAUGUUUCCAUAAAAGGGGAAGUCCAUCUCUCAAGUUUGAACCAUAAGAGGCUCCAAAGAGGGCAUAACAAGCAUAUAUGAGGUUAUAAUGGGGGAAUGCACAAGGUCAUAACUUCAUUACCUGAAUGAAAAACAGAUGUAAGCUAACUCCUAGAUUUUCCUUCCCUUCUAUGGACCUUCCUUCCUUCCCAAAGCUUCCAAGCUAUCACAAAUACCCUCAAACUCAACAAUGGGGCUAGGGUUUACAAGGGAAAUGUUAUGAGAGUGAUAGAGGCGAGGUUGGGGGCGCAUAAGUGUGUUUAAAUAGGGUGAAAACCCUUAAAAUUAGGGCUUCAUCCAGACAGGCGGACUCGCCGAGUCCAACGUAUGGACUAGUCGAGUAGCCAUCUCAAAACGCGUGAUCGUCCCGUCUCUACUUGACGAGUCAGGCUACAGACUCGUCGAGUACCCCUUCAGAAAUGAAAAUACUUUAUUUGAAUUACAUACCAGAAAUGGGGCGUUACAACUCUCCCCCACUUAUCUUAGACUUUGUCCUCGUAGUCUGCUGCUGCUGCUGAAAAUAACUCUGGGUAAUGCUCCCUCAUCUCCUACUCGGACUCCCACGUCCACUCUGAACCCUUUCGGUGCUGCCACAACACCUUCACUAGCUGAACCACCUUGUUCCUCAAGGUCUUCGUCUUCCAAUCUAUGAUCGCAACUGGUCUCUCGAUAUAAUUCAGGCUGCUAUCAACCUGAAUAUCCUCCAAGGGUACAACUGCUGACUUGUCCACCAAACACUUUCGCAACUGGGAAACAUAGAAAGUGUUGUGGAUCUGGCUAAGCUCUACCGGAAGAUCCAACCGAUAAGCAACCCGACCCACCCGGACCAAAACCCUAAAAGGGCCAAUGAACCUGGGACCCAGCUUGCCUCUCUUCCGAAACUUGAUAACACCCUUCCAAGGUGAUACCUUCAGGAGGACCAUAUCGCCCACCUGAAACUCCAAGUCCGAACGCCUCUUGUCGGUGUAACUCUUCUGCCUACUCUGUGCAGUCUGCAGUCUACUACGAACCUGCUGGAUCAACUCUGUGGUCUUGAGCACCAUUUCAGUGCUCCCAAUGACUCACUGACCAACCUCGCCCCAACAAAUCGGAGUCCUGCACUUCCUUCCGUAUAGCAUCUCGAAAGGAGGACGUUUAAUACUAGUGUGGUAACUAUUGUUAUACGGAAAUUCCGCUAGUGGGAGAUACGUAUCCCAACUACCACCGAAGUCUAGAACACAUGCCCGGAGUAUGUCCUCGAGAGUCUGAAUUGUCCUCUCACUCUGCCCGUCCGUCUGGGGGUGGAAGGCGGUGCUAAAAUGAAGACGAGUCCCCAUCUCGUCAUGAAACUGCUUCCAAAAUCUGGAAGUAAAACGGACGUCUCGGUCUGACACUACCGAAACAGGCACUCCGUGCUGUGCUACUACCUCGCGUACAUAGAUGUGGGCUAGCUUCUUAGCCGAUAUGCUCUCCUAGAUCGGUAUAAAAUGUGCGCUCUUGGUCAGCCGAUCCAUUAUGACCCAAAUCGAAUCCACUCCCCGUGCGGUCCUGGGAAGCUUGGUGACAAAAUCCAUGGUAAUGUCCUCCCAUUUCCAUAUGGGAAUAUCUAACGGCAGCAUCUUGCCGUGGGGUCUCUGGUGCUCUGCCUUGACCUUCCUGCAGGUCAGGCAUCUCCCCACAUUCCAGGCGACAUCCUGCUUCAUGCAGGGCCACCAAUAGUCGGGUCGAAGAUCUCUGUAGAUCUUCGUUGCCCCUGGGUGGAUGGAAAAUCAAGAAUUAUGAGCCUCGUCCAUCAAUACCUGCCAUACUCCGCCCCAGUACAGUACCCAAACCCUCCCAUGGAGGGUCAACAAUCGUUAACUGUCAUAAUCAAAGGAAGCUACUCGGUCCACGAUUCUCUCACACUUCUGCCUCUCCUCCUUGAGGCCCUCGACGUGUGCCUCCCUGAUCUGCUCCAACAAGGGAGUAAUCACUGUCAUCCUCAAGCAUACAUCCCUGAUCGGGGCCGCUGCCGUCUUGUGGCUCAGGGCGUCGGCCACUACGUUGGCCUUCCCCGGGUGAUAAAGGAUCUCACAGUCGUAAUCCUUCACCACAUCUAACCACCGACGCUGCCGCAUGUUAAGAUUCGGCUGGUCCAUGAGGUACUUCAGACUCUUGUGAUCCGUGUAGAUGGUGCAACGGACCCCAUAGAGGUAGUGUCUCCAAAUCUUGAGGGCGAACACCACUGCCCCCAACUCCAAAUCAUGCAUCGGAUAGUUAGCCUCGUGAGACUUCAACUGUCUGGAGGCAUAAGCUAUCACAUGCCCCCGUUGCAUCAACACUGCCCCCAUAUCUGCGAUCGAGGCAUCACAGUAGACUACAAAAUCAUCCACUCUCUCCGGCAAGGUCAGAAUCGGUGCCUCGCACAAUCGCUGUCUGAGAGUCUCGAAAGUCGCCUGCUGCUCAGGCCCCUAACGAAACACCACCGACUUCUUGGUUAGUCGGGUGAGUGGAACUGCUAUCUUGGAGAAAUACUGAAUGAAUCUCCUGUAGUACCCUGCCAAACCUAGGAAGCUCUGAAUCUAUGAUGGAGACUUUGGGACCUCCCACUGCAUCAUGGCCUCUAUCUUGGCCGGAUCUACCAGUAUACCCUUCUGGUUGAUGAGGUGCCUAAGGAAUUGCACCUCGCGCAACUAGAACUCGCACUUGGAGAACUUUGCUAAAAGUUUCUCCCUCCUCAAGACCUCUAGCACCUCCCUUAGGUGCUCCUCGUGCUGCUCCUGAGUCUUGGAAUAAACCAAGAUGUCAUCGAUGAAUACAAUCACAGACCGGUCCAACAUCGGCAUGCACACGCGGUUCAUGAGUUCCAUGAACGCGGAUGGAGCGUUGGUGAGCCCAAACGACAUCACCACAAACUCAUAAUGACCAUAACGGGUCCUAAAAGUUGUCUUCUGAACAUCCUCACCCCUGACCCGCAUCUGAUGAUAACCGGAGCGCAAAUCAAUCUUGGAAAACCAAGACGCUCCUUGAAGCUAAUCGAACAAGGCAUCUAUCCUCGGAAGUGGGUAACGGUUAUUCACCGUUACCUUGUUCAACUCCCAGUAGUCUAUGCACAUACGGUGCGACCCAUCCUUCUUCUUCACAAACAAGAUUGGGGCUCCCCAUGGAGAACUAAUUAGUCUAAUGAAACCCUUGUCUAGCAGCUCCUGCAGCUGCGUAUACAACUCCUGCAUUUCUGGAGGAGCCAACCGAUACGGCGCCUUGGCUAUCGGAGCCGCACCAGGAACCAAGUCAAUCUUGAACUCAACCUGUCUCUCUGAAGGUAUCCCAGGUAAUUCCUCUGGGAAUGAGUCCGGGUACUCUCGCACCACUGCUACAUCAUCUACUGUCAUCGUACUCUUAUCCCGGGUAUCCAUCACAUAUGUGACAUAACCUGCUUAACCCUGUUGGAAGUAGCGCCUCACUCUCACUGCUGAACAAAGAAUCGGUCCGCGUUGUGGGCUCUCGCCCUGAAUCACUAACUCUCCCCCGUUGGGAGUGCGAACCCUCACUAGCUGCAAUUCGCAAUCAAUCAUCGCCCCAUUGGGGCUCAACCAAUCCAUGCUUACUAUGGCCUUGUUCCCUCGCAAAGGAAUAGGGACCAUGUCCACCGAAAACUGCUCAUCGAAUAACUGCAGUGAGCAUGCCUUAUGCACCCUCGUGACCCUGACGGUCCUAUCAUCGGCUAUCUCCACCUCGAGUGGACAAUCCAGCUCCCUAGGAUCUCUGCUAAACCUCUUGCUAAGUGCAAGAGAGACAAACGAUCGGGUAGCCCCUGAAUCAAAUGACACUGUAGCUGAAAUGUCGUUCACUAAGAACGACCCUAUACAUAAACAUAUAACAUUAGAAACAAUCAAUAAUCAAUGCAUAGAUAAAAGGAAAAUACAUACCCGUCACCACGUCAGGAGUCGCUCGCGCCUCCUCUGCUGUUAUCUGAAAAGCUCUACUCUUCGCCACUGGCACCUCGGCCCGCCCCUGACGACCGUUCGUAAUCCUCAAUGUAGCAGGGGCAGGUGCCGACACCUUCCCUGCUGCUGCUAAGCUUGGGCACUGGGACUUUUUAUGUCCCCUCUGAUUGCAAUGGAAGCAAAUCAGAUCUGAUGCUGCGGUAGCUGUGGUAGAAACUGUACAAUCUCUGCUCAUAUGCCUAGUCCAACCGUACUUGUAGCAGCCGGAACUCCCUGCCUUGCACGCCCCAUCGUGUAAUCUCCCACACUUGCCACACCGACUGUGGCUCUGCUGACCUCUGGACCUAUGAUCCGAAACCUUGGGCUUCUUGCCCAAACUCCCUGUACCCGAAGCCGCCUCCGCCUUCCUCUUAUUCUCCAUCUCAAGAUCAAUCUCUCUCUCUCUCUCUCUCUCUCUCGCCCUUGCAAUCAUAUCAUCCAGCAUCUUACAGCUGGAUCGGCUCACAAACUGGCGGAUAUCACUCCGCAGCGUCUCAUGAUAACGGGCCUUCUUCAUUUCCUCGUCAGCUGCGUACUGAGGAACAAGAAGAGCCCUCUCCCUGAACUUGGCGGUAAUCUCCGCCACUGUCUCUAUAGUCUGAGUAAGGUCUUGAAACUCUCUAGCUAACUGUUGCACCUCAAUAGUCGGUGCGAACUCGGCUCUGAACCUGGUGGUAAAAUCAGCCUAAGUCAUAGUAUCAAGUGCUAUGUCAUCCCUGAUACCAUGCCCAACCUCCUCCCACCAGUCACAUGCCCUAUCCUUCAGGAGACAGGAUGCUAAUCUGACCUUGUCCCCUUCGGGACAUCUGCUAGUGCGGAACACGUUGGCAACAUCUGCCAACCACCUAGUGCUCGCAAUGAGGUCCCGCACCCCAUGAUAGCCUGGAGCUCCACAAGCCCGAAACUCCCUGAAGGUGAGUGUGCGCGACCCCAUCAUGGCCGCCAUCUCAGCACGAAAUGUGCUCAACUUCUCAUCCAUCAACUCCAAGAUACCCUCCUUGAUCGAACCGAAGAUCACAGGACUCUGCUCAAGUAUGAUACGGGUAACCUCUGAAGUGAAAAACUCCCUAGUUUGCUCAUCCAACUGCUCGGCCCCCCAGCCUGAUCCUGAUCCUUCCUCGGCACCUGAGCUGCCGACUGCUGGCCUAGGGCGUAAAACCACCAUUCUGAAAACACAUCAUGAUAAACGUCAAAAACACUGAUAUAUCUCUAGGGAUCGCUACUACUAUAGGUUUCCUGGUCUCGCCUCUGCCUUCCUUGAUUCAAGUACAAAUCCUCAACAAAAACCAGUCCUCAACUGCUGAAGGCCUCCUUGUAAUGCCAAUUAGUCAUCACCUGAAUAUCAUCACAUGUGACGAGACUCAGAUAAUCCUUCGAGUAAAAGACUCAUUCCUACAACGGAUGGACUCAAACAAGAGCUGCGCAGUAGAGCCAAAUCCAGCACUCUGAGAUUAUUCAACCCUGAUCUCAGGCGAUGUGUCGUAUUCACCUAAUGGUUAACUCUCAUUACCCGGAGUCUCAUAAAGCACAAAGCAAGCAGCAUUCGGACACAGGAAACUAAUCAAGCCACUCUAUUCUCAUAACAAGAAAUUGUACUAGCAUACAAUGUUAAGCUCGUACUGUCAGGCAUAACCUAAACAGGCUAUCCUACUGCUGUCUACUCAAUACUAGCAUGCAGUUCUCAUAAAGCUGAAGCACAUAUAGCAUGCACAUAAGGCAUCCUGCUAGAUCCUUAGUCCUAUUCUAGCAUGCUGUUCUACUGAAACUAAAACUGAUAAUCAUAACAUAAACUUGUAUGGGUAAUUUAGGGGUACUUACUUGAGCUCGACUGAUCGCAUGCACCACACCCUUUUCUCGUUUUCAAAACUCUUUUCUUUUUAAGUCUCUUUCUCAAAAGUUCUUUUGAACACAUUUUUCUUUCGAAAAUCUUUUUUCUAUUUCCUCAGUUUGAGUUCAGUUACACCCGUAAGUGUGUCUGAAUCCCUCAAACCAAGGCUCAGAUACCAACUUGAAAUAACCCAAAAUACAACCCAAUUUUUUUUUGUUAAAAAAAUACUAAAGAUAUCAACCAUCAUAAUAUAUCAUGAAAUCGUACGUCAUAAAUCCCCAAAAAGUUAUAAUAGAUGUGUCAUGACAAAAGAGUUGUAUCAACAUAACAUAGUAUCUAAAAUAAACUCCCAUGACAAAAGCUGAAACUGUGGUGUGUGCAAUGCCGUCAUCCCGAGCUCUUCCCUUUGCUUGCGGAAGUACCUGAAACCAAAACUGAAACUGUAAGCACAAAGCUUAGUGAGCUCCCCCAAACUACCACAUACCAUACAAUCAUAUAAAACACAUAUUGGGCCUUGCCCACUGCAUCGGACCGAAGUCUAGAAAAUGCAUCGGACCGAAGUCCGGAACUAACCAGGGCCUUGCCCUCUGCAUCGGACCAAAGUCCAGAACUGCAUCGGACCGAAGUCUGGAAACUAACCAGGGCCUCGCCCUCUGCAUCGGACCGAAGUUCGGAACUAACUGCAUCCAACCGAAGUCCGGAAUUGUCUGAACAUAACAUAUCAUAAACAUCUCAACUAGCAUGAACACAUAAACUGCAUACCGCAUCGGACCGAAGUCCGAAACACAUAACACAAAUACAUGCUUGAAUCACAAAGACAUCAAGCAUUCUAACUACUGCAACGGACAGAGGUCCGGAACUUCUGCUAACUAAACGGGCCGGCAUUGUGGCCGUAGACCCGUUCCUACUGGAAGGAAAACUCACCUCGUAAUGUUGGCUGCUGAGAUGCAAACUCUAAAAGUGGCUGACCGCUGCUCCGGAACUGUCCGACUACAAAUCCCAGAAACACUAGAUUAGUUACUUGCAUAUACCCUCAGGGUAAGAUGACUAUUUUGCCCCCGGUCAAAGUCAACUUCUAGUUGACCGGACUCACCGAGUCAGGGCGCAGACUCGCCGAGUCCCUCCUUUACUAACUCUGACUUUAAUUCACAGAGUCCCUUUCCCACUCACUGACUCUCUCUGAACUCGUAGGUCGAAGAAAAAAGGGGACUCACGACUCGACUCGUCGAGUCUGAAGAACAACUCGCCGAGUCCUGCCGUGCAUAUUCCAAACAAACGAAUUCAAAACUAUUCCAGAGCAUCUGACUUGAAGAUCUGAGCCCUUGGAACUAUCUAAACACGUGAAGUUUCUAACUUUACGUGCAACUAAGAAGGAAUGAAGCUAUUUCACUCAAACACUACUUUUCUUGGGAAAACUCAUCCGACUCGCCGAGUUGUAUGAACAACUCGUCGAGUCUAAGGCGAUCUUCAUCAGACUCGCCGAGUUGCUCAUCCAACUCGUCAAGUCUACGGCUAUCUUCAUAUGACUCUCUGAGUCACGCAUGCGACUCGCCGAGUCCAUUUAGUCCCUUUUUCCAUACAGACCUGAUUUGGGCCAUGCAUUGGCUCCAAAUCACAGAUCUAAGCUUCUAGGGCAUUCUUAUCACGUAAAUUUGCAAACUUUACGUGCAUGCAUGGCUUUAAAGGCUUCAAAUGCUAACCCUAAGCUCUUAAUGGGGCUCCAAGCUCAAGAGAGACCUCAAUCAUGACCAUAACAGAAACUUUACUCUUCUAGAAUGCAAUAAGAGUCCAGAUCUAAUGUUUCCAUAAAAAGGGGAAGUCCAUCUCUCAAGUUUGAACCAUAAGAGGCUCCAAAGAGGGCAUAACAAGCAUAAAGGAGGUUAUAAUGGGGGAAUGCACAAGUUCAUAACUUCAUUACCUGAAUGAAAAAUAGAUGUAAGCUAACUCCUGGAUCUUCCUUCCCUUUUAUGGACCUUCCUUCCUUCCCAAUGCUUCCAUGCUAUCACAAAUACCCUCAAACUCAACAAUGGGGCUAGGGUUUACAGGGGAAAUGUUCUGAGAGUGAUAGAGGCGAGGUUGGGGGCGCAUAAGUGUGUUUAAAUAGGGUGCAAACCCUUAAAAUUAGGGCUUCAUCCAGACAGGCGGACUUGCCGAGUCCAGCGUAUGGACUCGUCGAGUAGCCAGCUCAAAACGUGUGAUUGUCUCGUCUCUACUCGACGAUUCGGGCUACAGACUCAUCGAGUACCCCUUAAUAAAUGAAAAUACUUUAUUUGAAUUACAUACCAAAAAUGGGGCAUUACAUAAUGCUUAGCCCAGAAACACGGACGUUACACUUCUCUCCUCCUUAGGAUGAUGCCAUCCCCAGAAUCAUACAUCAACAAACUAAUGCGGAUAGCGACUCAUCAUGUCACUCUCCAUUUCCUAGGUGAGAUUUGACUCAUUCGUAUGUUUCCGUCGCACAAGUAGUAAGUCAACCAUCUUGUGACGCAACUUCUUCGUCUUAUGGUCAACAAUCGCCUCCGGUUCUUCAACUAGCCUCUUAUUUUCAUCCAUCCUUAGCUCAUAAAUUAGAAUUAUGUCAGGAACUUCUCCCAUGAAUUUCCUCAAAUAACUCACAUGGAAAGUGUUAUGAAUAAUGUCUAGUUCUUCUGGUAGUUCUAGCUUGUAGGCUUGGUUCCCAAUCCUCUGAAGAACUUUGAACGGUCCAAUGAAUCUUGGACUUAACUUCCCUUUUUCCCGAAUCUUAUAAGUUCCUUGUAGCACCUGGUUCCUGGUAUGUAAUUUAUUUAAAUAUUUUGCAUUUUUGGCCUUGGACUCGGCAAGUUGAAGGACCAACUUGCCGAGUAGAAGCGGGAUGGGACGUGGGAUUUAAGUGAUGGACACGUCGAGUCGGGUCCCGGACUCGACGAGUAGGCUCUGACUGAAAAACCCUAAUCCGAGGGUUUGCACCCUAUUUAAUCAUCUCAUUUUCCCCUAAUGCUCCCAGAAACCCUCCCUAGUAAACCCUAAGUGUUUUGGUGCAAGAUCUAAGGCUUUUGAGUGAUUUUUGUGGGUUUUGACCUCAAGGAAUAAGGAAGAGCAUAGAAGGAUCAAGAGGAGACUGAAGGAUUAGAGUUUGGUGCAUCAUUUUCAGUCCUUGAAAGGUAUAAAUUAUGUACCUUGCUUGUUCAUUUGUUAGAUCCUUUUUUGGGGAAGAUUUAGGGCUUCUUAAGUCAUAUGAGGUGGCCAAACAUGGUUGGGGGUCAAGACUUCGGAUCUAAGUCUUGGAAGGAGUCCCAAAGCAGAUUUGGGUUGCUUUUGCACCCAAGGAAGGUCCCAUGCAACAUAAGAGCCAUUUUAGAGCCUUUUUGGGUCAAAAGUCCCAUGCAUGCACGUAAAGUUCGAAACUUUACGUUCUAGAUCGAGCUUAGGGCUUGGAUCUAUCUUUUUGUCAAAGGUUGUACAUCAGAAAUCGAGGAUUUAGGGUGUGGAUGUUAUCGAAUCGGCGAGUCAGUUCUUGGGACACGACGAGUCCAAAGCAUAGGGUCUGUUAUCUGUUGAGGGUCAAAAGAACCCAGUUGGGUGUUAGAAGGGUUGUAGAAGGUCCGAGAGAGUGACCCAACGUGUUGGACUUAGCCUUAGACUUGGAAUUCAUGGGACUCGUCGAGUGCUAGAACAGACUCGGCGAGUCCAAGGCAAUCUCCUUAUCGAUGAAGAUGAACUCGACGAGUUGUUCAUACAACUCGGCGAGUCGGGGUCAGGACUUGUUCAUCAGAUGAAGGUGAACUCGACAAGUGUUCAUCCGACUCGGCGAGUCGGAUGAAGGUUCAUUGAUGUUCGUAAAGAAAGGGAACUCGUCGACUUGUUGCCAAACUCGACGAGACGAGUCGUGGAUAAGGACGAGUAAAGGAAAGGGACUCGACGAGUUNAACUCGGGGAGUCGGGUCAACUGGAAGUUGACUUUGACUUGGACUUGGUUGGGGGUAAAAUAGUCAUUUUACCCCAAGAGUAGAUAUUAGUUUUCUGACUGAGUAUUUUGUGGGGAUUAUAGCCGGAGGAUUUCCGAAGCAACAGCAGGCAGAGGUUUCCUGCACAUAUUAUCAGCAGCUACUUGUUCGAGGUGGGUUGCCUACCAGUAGCGGUGGGUCUACGACCACAAUGUCGGCCCACCAAUAGGAGUUGUAUAAUUAUAUGAUUGUCUUUGUGAUAUCAUCUAGGUUGCUUCUACCUGAUAUGUUAUAUGCUGGCAUGAUAUGUUAUAUGUGAUAGUAGUAGAGUUCGGUUGUUAGGACCGAAGGGUAGGUCAAACACCCCAGAUAUGUAUGACAGUAUGUGAUGAUAUGUUUAUAUGCCGACAUGACAUGUUAUAUGGGAUAGUGGUAGUAGGAGGGGAACAGUCCCCAAGUUCGGUUGUUAGAACCGAAGGGUAGUUCAGACACCCCAGAUAUGUCUGAUAGUAUGUUUAUGUUAUGAUAUAUGUGAUAGUAGUGGUACGUGUGGAAUAGUCCCCGAGGGUCGGUCUUUAGGACUGACGGGUAGGUCAGCACCCCAAAAAGACUUGACAGGGGUAGGACGACACCCCAGAAUGGCCGCACGGGUAGGUCGGCACCCCAGAAUGGCCGUACCGGGUAGGCCGGGCACCCUAGAAUUGCCUGGCAGUAUGUAUGCUAUGUGAUUGUAUGGUAUGUGGUACGAUGGGGGAACUUACUAAGCUUCCUGCUUACAGUUUACAGUUUUGGUUUCAGGUACCUCUUCAACAAAGGGGAAGGAGCUGGCGCGGUAGCGGCACAUCAUACACACAUGUUGGUUUCCGCACUAGUGUUUCUUGGGUCGUUACAAGUUGGUAUCAAAGCCCUGAUCUGAGGGAUUCGGACACACCUUGGGGGUGUCUGGACUCAAAUCGAGGGAUUAAAAGACUUUUACAAGAAAAAUGGUUUCUUAAAAGCUAAGAUAAAAGAGUUUUGGGAAAGAACAAAGUGUGUGAUGUGCGCGACCGGCCGAGCUCAAGUAAGUAUUCCCCAAAGUACCCAUACAAGUUUAUGUUAUGUUUAUCAGUUUCAGUAGAAUAGCAUGCUAGAAUAGGACUGAAGAUCUAGGAAUGAUGGCUUAUGUGUCUGCUUUAUGUGCUCCAGCUUAUGAGAAUUGCAUGCUAGUAUUAAGUAGAAAAUAAUAGGAUAGUCUGUUUAGGUUAUGCCUGGUAUUAUGAGCUCAGCAUUGUAUGAUGGUACAACUUCUCGUUAGGAGAAUAGAGUUGUUUGAGUAGUUUCCUGUGUCCGAAUGAUGCUUGCUCAGUGCUUGUAGGACUCUGAAUGAUGGCCGUUAGCCAUUAGGUGAGUACGUCGCGUCGCAUGUCAUUAGGAUUGAAUAAUCUCAGAGUGCUGGAUUUGGCCCUAUUGCGCGGCUCUCGUUUGAGUCUAACCGUUGUAGGGACGAGUCUUUUACUUGAAGGAUUAUCUGAGCCUUGUUACAUGUGAUGGUAUUUAGGUGAUGGCUAAUUGAUAUCACAAGGAGGCCUUCAACAGCCGAGGACCGGUUUGGGUAGAGUCAGAGAUUUUCCCUAGGGUAAGCCUACGAUGAGAGUAGCAGAGAUCAGCAGUGGAAAAAGGGACUUGGUGGAGUCGAGGCCGUCCUUGAGGAAAGUACGGAUAGAUAUGGAAGGUAGUAUGGGCCCGUACUACAGAAAGCAGAGGAUCCGUACUCGAAUUAAGGAAGGCUAAGGCAAGACCAAGGAACUUGUGAUGGGUGUGAUCCCUAUAGAUGUACUAGUAUCACUGACGGAUGUCAUGAUGUAUUGCGGAAUGGUGGUACUAAGGCCAAGGCCAGCAGUGGGUAGCUCAGGAGAGGGAUCGGGUUCGGGUUCAGGCUCCGAACCAGUGGACGAGAGGCUACGCGAGUUCAUCGCGUCUAAGAUCACUAUAGGCAUCCUUGAUGCGACCCCGAUCAUCUUUGGGUCGAUCAAGGAAGGGAUUGUUGAGCUGAUGGAGGAUCGCCUUAGGGCGCUCAGGAGUGACAUGGCGACCAGCCAGUCAGGAUCCCGCAUACUAUCCUUUAAGGACUUCAGGGGCAGUGGCGCGCCGGACUUCCACGGGGAAAAGGACCCCAUUUCUGCUAGACGAUGGAUUGCGGACAUGGAGUCUGCACAGCUGACAAGCUUCUGCCCCGAGGGGCCGAAGGUGAGAUAUGCAGCAGGGUGUUUGAGAGACAGAGCUAGAGAUUAGUGGGAGUCUGUUGUUGACUCCUUGGGAGCCUCGGCUGUUGAGGCUAUGACCUGGUUAGACUUUGUGACCAGAUUCAGGGCGGAGUUUGCGCCAGCUGUAGAGCUUCAGCAGCUGGCCAGAGAGUUUUUGGAUAUGAGACAGACUACGGAGACUGUGGCGGAGAUCACCGCCAACUUCUGGGAGAGGGCAUUGCUUGUGCCCCAGUAUGCGGGAGAUGAGGACAUGAGGAUGACCCGCUAUCAUGACAUGCAGCGAGCCGAAAUUCGGGAGCAUGUUAGUUUUUCAGCUUGCCCUACCCUAGAUUCCAUGAUUUCCAGAUCAAGGGAGAGGGAGAUCGAUCUAGAACAUGUCCAGAAGAGGAAGGUAGAGGAGGGGCAGACGAUUGGGGCUUCGGAGAAGAAGCCUAAGGGAUCAGAUGGUAGGCCGAAAGGCCAGUCAGGACCAGGCCACUGCAGGAAAUGCGGCAGGCCACAUGAGGGGGCGUGUAGAUUGGGAUUGUCGGGCUGCUACAAGUUCGACAAGACGGGGCAAUUCAGCAGAGAUUGUACCGCCCCUACACCAGUUAUUCAGACGUCUGAGUUGCUGUGUUUUCAAUGCAACCAGAGGGGCCACAAGAAAGACAACUGCCCCCAGUUAACAGCAGCAACAGUGCCAGUGAAGGCGCCAGGUCUAGCGACCCUGCGAAUUACUGAUGACUGGAAGGCCAAGGCUGAGGCUCCAGUGGUGAGGAGUCGGGCCUUCCAGUUGACUACCGAGGAGGCACGCGCUGCACCCGAUGUGGUAACAGGUAUGACUUCUUGUUUAUGCUUUUAUGAUAUGCUGCUGUGAUUUUGAUAUGUUAUGUAUGUGCUCUGUUUAGGAUCGUUCCAUGUGAACGGUAUCCCAGUUCAAGUAUUGUUUGAUUCGGGUGCUACCCGAUCAUUUGUCUCUCUUGCGCUUAGCAAGAAGUUUCCUGAGUCUUCGGGCAUGUUGGAUUGCCCUUUAGAGGUUGAGAUUGUAGACGACAGGUCGGUACGAGCAUUAGAGGUCUUCCGAGAUUGUGUUUUGAGGUUGUUCGAGGAGCGUUACAUGGUAGACUUGAUUCCCAUACCCUUGCGGGGGAACAAGGUUAUUAUCGACAUGGAUUGGUGGAGCCCCAAUAGGGCGGUGAUAGAUUGCGCACAAUAGUUGGUGCGAGUCAGGACCCCAGGAGGGGGAGAUUUAGUGAUUUAGGGUGAGAGCCACAGCGAGGGCCAACCUUAUGUUCGGCAACGAGGACAAGGCGUUACCUUCAGCAGGGUUGCGCCGGAUAUGUCGCUUAUGUCAUGGACACCCGGGAGGAGGGAAAGGCGACAGUGGGCAAUGUGCCUGUGGUACGAGAGUUUGCGGACGUAUUCCCCGAGGAGUUGCCUGGGAUACCUCUGGAACGAUAGGUGGAGUUUAGGAUCGACCUAGUCCUUGGUGCGGCUCCGAUAGCCAAGGCACCGUAUCGGUUGGCUCCUCUUGAGAUGCAGGAGUUGUCUACACAGCCGCAGAAAGUAUUAGACAAGUGAUUCAUUAGACCUAGUAGUUCUCCCUGGGGAGCCCCGAUUCUGUUUGUGAAGAAGAAGGACGGGUCGCAUCGGAUGUGUAUAGAUUAUCGGGAGCUGAAUAAGUUAACGGUGAAGAACCGUUACCCACUCCCGAGGAUUGAUGACCUCUUUGACCAGCUACAGGGAGCAUCUUGGUUCUCCAAGAUUGAUCUGCGUUCAGGGUAUCAUAAGAUGAGGGUCAGAGAGGGGGAUGUACAGAAGAUAGCGUUCCGGACGCGCUAUGGCCAAUAUGAGUUCGUGGUGAUGCCUUUCGGGCUCACCAAUGCUCUUGCCGCAUUCAUGGAUCUCAUGAACCACGUGUGCAGACCAAUGUUGGAUCGGUCCGUGAUAGUUUUCAUCGAUGAUAUCUUGGUUUACUCCAAGACACAGGAGGAGCACGAGGAGUAUCUGCAAGAGGUUCUAGAGACUUUGAGAAGGGAGAACUUGUAUGUUAAGUUCUCCAAGUGUGAGUUCUGGUUGCGCGAGGUGCAAUUUCUCAGACACCUUGUCAACCAGAACGGGAUAUCGGUGGACUCGGCCAAAGUGGAGGCCGUGAUGAGAUGGGAGGUUCCAAGGUCUCCAUCCGAGAUUCAGAGUUUCCUAGGAUUAGUCGGCUACUAUCGGAGAUUCAUCCAUGAUUUCUCCAAGAUAGUCAUACCCCUGACCAGGCUAACGAGGAAAGUCGUGGUUUUUCGUUGGGGGCCUGAGCAGCAGGCCGCAUUCGAGACAUUGAGACAGAGAUUGUGUGAGGCACCAAUCUUAGCCCUAUCGGAGGGCAUAGAGAAUUUUGUUGUGUACUAUGACACGCCCAUUUCAGGUUUGGGCGCGGUACUGAUGCAGAGAGGGCAUGUCAUUGCCUACGCUUCGAGGCAGCUGAAGCUUCACGAGGCGAACUACCCGACGCAUGAUUUGGAGCUGGGGGCUGUUGUGUUCGCCCUUAAGAUUUGGCGUCAUUACCUCAAUAGGGUUCGCUAUACUAUCUACAUAAACCACAAGAGUUUGAUGUACCUCAUGGAUCAGCCGAAUCUAAACAUGAGGCAGCGUCGGUGGUUAGACGUGGUGAAGGAUUACGAUUACGAAAUCCUUUACCACCCGGGGAAGGCCAAUGUGGUGGCCGACGCACUUAGCCGCAAGGCAGCGCCGAUCAGGGAUAUUUGUCUGAGGAUGAUAGUGGUGACCCCGCUGUUGGAGCGGAUUCGGGAGGCCCAACGGGAGGCCAUGAAGGAGGAACAUCGGAAGAGCGAGCGGAUUGUGGGGCAAGUUUCCUCCUUCGAUUAUGAUAGCCGAGAGCUGUUGACACUACACCGUAGGGUGUGGGUGCCGUACCACGGGGGUGUACGCCAGGUUCUGAUGAAGGAGGCGCACAAAUCUCGAUUCUCCAUUCAUCCCGGGGCGACGAAGAUGUACAAGGACCUUCUUUUGGACUAUUGGUGGCCCUGCAUGAAGCUGGAUGUAGCAUGGUAUGUGGAGUGGUGCUUGACCUGUAGGAAGGUCAAGGCCAAGCACCAGAGGCCACAUGGAAAGAUGCAGCCGUUGGAUAUCCUGCUGUGGAAAUGGGAAGACAUUACGAUGGAUUUUAUCAUAAAGCUUCCUAGGAUCGCUCGGGGAGUGGAUUCGAUAUGGGUCAUCGUCGAUCGAUUAACCAAAGAGCGCCCAUUUUAUUCCGAUCCAGGAGGGAAUUUUGGCCGAAAAGUUGGCCAACAUCUAUAUCAGGGAGGUGGUGGUGCGGCACAGGGUGCCGGUAUCGGUGAUUUCAGACAGGGACGUGCGGUUCACUUCCAGGUUUUGGAGGAAGUUUCAUGACGAGCUGGGUACUCGUCUGUAUUUUAGCACCGCCUUUCACCCACAGACGGAUGGUCAGAGCGAUCGGACCAUCUAGACAUUAGAGGAUAUGCUGCGAGCAUGUGUUUUAGACUUCGGAGGUAGCUGGGAUACCUACCUUCUGUUGGCGGAAUUCUCGUAUAAUAAUAGCUAUCAUACGAGUAUUAACCGUCCUCCCUUCAAGAUGUUAUACGGGAGGAAGUGCAGAACCCCAAUAUGUUCGGGUGAGGUUGGCCAGAGGGUCAUGAGGAGCAUCGAGGUGGUGCUCAAGAUGACAGAGAGGAUUCAGCAGGUCCGGAGCAGACUUCAGACUGCUCAGAGUCGGCAUAAAAGUAAUCUUGAUAAGCGCCGAUCAGACCUGGAGUUCCAGCUCAAGGAUAUGGUUCUCCUAAAGCUGUCGCCAUGGAAGGGCGUCAUCCGAUUUAGGAAACAGGACAAGUUGGGCGCCACGUACAUUGGACCGUUCAGAUUCUUAGCCCGGGUGGGCAAGGUAGCAUACAGGUUGGAUCUGCCAGCCGAACUCAGCCAGAUCCACAACACUUUCCACGUCUCCCAGCUGCAGAAGUUUCUGGUGGACGACUCAGCAGCGGUACCCUUAAAAGAUAUUCAGGUCGAUGACAGCUUGAAUUACAUUGAGCGGCCAGUAGCGAUCCUCAACCGGAAGUCGAAGGAACUGAGGAACAAGAGGGUUGAACUAGUGAAGGUGCAAUGGCAACAUCGGAAGGGCUCAGAAUGGACUUGGGAGCCAGGGGAGGAGAUGAUCGAGCAUUACCCAGAGUUGUUCCAGGAACGAACAGCAGACUUCGAGGACGAAGUCUAAAAUAAGUGGGGGAGAUUUGUAGCACCUGGUUCCUGGUAUGUAAUUUAUUUAAAUAUUUUGCAUUUUUGGCCUUGGACUCGGCGAGUUCAAGGACCAACUCACCAAGUAGAAGCGGGAUGGGACGCGAGAUUUAAGUUAUGGACUCAUCGAGUCAGGUCCUGGACUCGACGAGUAGGCUCUGACUGGACAAAAACCCUAAUCUGAGGGUUUGCACCCUAUUUAAUCAUCUCAUUCAGCCACCACUCUACCCUAAUGCUCCCAGAAACCCUCCCUAGUAAACCCUAAGUGUUUUGGUGCAAGAUCUAAGGCUUUUUGAGUGAUUUUUGUGGGUUUUGACCUCAAGGAAGAAGGAAGAGCAUAGAAGGAUCAAGAGGAGACUGAACAAUUCGAGUUUGGUGCAUCAUUUUCUGUCCUUGAAAGGUAUAAAGUCUGUACCUUGCUUGUUCAUUUGUUAGAUCCCUUUUUGGGGAAGAUUUAGGGUUUUUUAAGUCAUAUGAGGUGGCCAACCAUGAUUGCAAACAUGGUUGGGGGUCAAGACUUCGGAUCUAAGUCUUGGAAGGAGUCCCAAAGCAUAUUUGGGUUGCUUUUGCACCCAAGGAAGGUCCCAUGCAACAUAAGAGCCAUUUAGAGCCUUUUUGGGUCAAAAGUCCCAUGCAUGCACAUAAAGUUCGAAACUUUAUGUGCUAGAUCGAGCUUAGGGCUUGGAUCUAUCUUUUUGUCAAUGGUUGUACAUCAGAAAUCAAGGAUUUAGGGUGUGGACGUUAUCGACUCGGCGAUUCCGUUCUUGGGACUCGACAAUUCCAAGGCAUAGAGUCCGUUAUCUGUUGAGGGUCAAAAGAACCCAGUUGGGUGUUAGAAGGGUUGUAGAAGGUCCGAGGGAGUAACCCAACGUGUUGGACUUAGCCUUAGACUCGGAAUUCAUGGGACUCGUCGAGUGCUAGAAUAGACUCGGCGAGUCCAAUGCAAUCUCCUUAUGGAUGAAGAUGAACUCGACGAGUUGUUUAUACAACUCGACGAGUCGGGGUCAGGACUUGUUCAUCAGAUGAAGGUGAACUCGACAAGUGUUCAUCCAACUUGGCAAGUCGGAUGAAAGUUCAUUGAUGUUCGUAAAGAAGGGGAACUCGUCGACUCGUUGCCAAACUCGACGAGUCGAGUCGUGGAUAAGGACGAGUAAAGGAAAGGGACUCGACAAGUAGAUGACCCAACUCGGUGAGUUGGGUCAACUGGAAGUUGACUUUGACUUGGACUUGGUUGGGGGUAAAAUAGUCAUUUUACCUCAAGAGUAGAUAUCAGUUUCUGACUGAGUGUUUUGUGGGGAUUAUAGCCGGAGGAUUUCCGGUGCAGCAGCAGGCAGAGGUUUUCCAAACAGAUUAUUAGCAACUACUUGUUCGAGGUGAGUUACCUACCAAUAGCGGUGGGUCUACGGCCACAAUGUCGGCCCACCAAUAGGCACUACUAGAAAAAAGGCGUUUUACGAUGCUCAUUGCGCGUCGUAAAACGCUCAGACAACGCGAAAAUGCGUGUCAAGGAAGGCCCUGUCAUAACGAGAGACGACACGCAUUUACGACACGCAUUUACGACGCUCAUUUACGACACGCAAUGCGUAUCAAGGAAGGCCAUGUCAUAAAGGAUGACGACACGCAUUUGAGUGUCGUAACCUUACGACACGCGUUUAGGACAUGCAUUGUGUAUCAUUAAAGCCCCUGUCAUAAAUGAAGAUGACACGCAUUUGCGUGUCAUAAUCUUCAGCAACCAUUUACGAUAUGCAUUUACGACACGUCUUUACGAUACACAUUUACGCAAAAUACAAAAAUAUGGAAAUAAAUAUAUAACAAAACAAUCAAUUUCAUUCAUUAACAUCAUGUCAAAAAAUUGUAAUACAUAGCGGAAGUAUUUGUUGAGAGCCCAAAAAGUUACAUAAAUCAAUGAAAGUAAAAUUCAUAACUUUUCUAGUUUUCAUAAUCCUAACAAUAGCUGCAUCAACCUGCGAUAUAUUUAUAAAAAAAAUGUGAUUAUAAAUUUAUAAUUACAAAAAAAAAUAAAGCAAAAAAAAAUUGGACCUGAUAUUGACGAUCUUGGGAAACUCUCUCUGUGGUGCUUGCGUUUUCUUCCACAGUUUCCUUCAGCUGGAUAUCAUUCACAUGUACAUGGAAUGGAAUGGAAUAAUGAAAUAAGCAAAGGAAUGGAAUGAGUCAUUCCAUUCCAAUUUCAUAUGAACUUCACAUUAUAAAAAAUUAAUUGAUCUCACCUUUAUACGAUAAAGAGGAGCAGUAAAUACAUCAUUAAACAUGAAGGAAUCAUUGUCAUCCACAUCAGUUUGAACCUAUUCUUUUGUCUCCUUUUCUUCUUUCUCUUUCCCUUGUUCUUUUUUGUCUUGUAUCUUUUCAAGUGGUUGGUACAACAAUAGAGGUAACGGGACAUGUGCCAGUAUUGGGUCCUGAAGAUCUUGUUGCUUUUGUGCUAAGUGUUUUGUGAUUGAGAAGCAAAUGGUCACAAAUUGCAUAUGGGUUCUGGACAUGCAAAUAAACUUAACUAUCGAUCACAUAACAAAAGCAAAUGAAAGUAUGAUGUUAUAAUAAACAAUUCAAAUGCUAAUACCUUUGACAUGUUUGUAUCUACAACAUUUUGGGAGCUUUCGAUGCUUCGAAGAAUUAAAAGUAUUGAAAUAACCUCUUCCUUCUUUAGACUAUUAUGAGGCUUCCCAUCUUCACAAUCACCACCAAUUGCCAACAUAGAAAGAAAUAAAUACAAUUUUCCGGAAAAUAAUAAAAAUUCAUAUAUAUUUUUUUCAUUCAAAGAAUCAAAAUCAACAGGUAUAGUAUGCAUUCAAUUUAUAUUUCAGGAAAAAAAAACUAAUAGUAUACCUACCUGUAUGUGGGUUCAUAGCAAGUUUUCUCUCUUGGAUAAAACAUUAUUUUUUUAUUUUAUUUAUACUAAAUGUUUUUUUUUAUAUUUUGAUAUAAUACAAAUUAAUUUAUGUUUUAGAUAAGCUCUCUUUUACUUNCCUGUCUUUUACUUAUUUACAUUGAAAAUUGACAAAUAGUUCUUUUUCCACAAAAACAGACAAACUAUCUACAAUGAGUUUUUUGCCCUUUGCCACUAUUUAAUCACCUUACCUUAGUUUUACACACAAAAUCCAAUAAUGGAAUAAUGCAUUGAACAUUACACAUUUGCAAAUAAGAUACACAUUAGCAAAAAAUGGUCUUAGCACUAACUUUCACCACCCACCCACCCGAUAACAAAAGAAAAUAUAAUCCGCCCACUCAGUUUCACUUUAUUUGCAAGUAAGUAUAAACAAUAAUAUUGCAGGGUUUUUUUUUCAGUAUGAAUGAGUAUUCAGUCACUAUUCAUCCAUACCUCUUUAAGUAGUUGAUACCAAAUGCUACCAUUAUUCAAUCUCCAUCUAGGGGUAGGGCUAGGUGUUGGUGUUGUUGGAGCAGAAGAAGCAUCAAUGAUAUUGAUAACAAUGAAAGGGGAACUCAAAUCAUCAAGUUCAUCAUCACUUGUGUUUGACUUUCUCAACACUGAUGAUCCAGUGCGACCCAAGUGUUUUAUACAUACAGCCACUCCCUCUCCUCCAACCAAAAUGGUUUUUAUUAUUGAUGAUGCUGAUGGCGGAUCAUAAACAACCGAACCAGCUACACAUGGGACACUGCUCACACAGUCUUCGCCACCCUCUGUAGAAUAUAAAGCCAAAAGAAACCUGUGUUUGUUUACUACUCAAAAUGAAGACAUAAAAGAAGAAAGGAAUAUGCAUUGUAUUGGAAAAAUGAAGACUAAAAACCUCUUAUAUUAUCCAUAUCAAUAAAGCUAUAUUUAUAGCUUCUUAGACACCCACGAUGAAGUAUGAAAACAAUCCAUGCUCUUGACUCCACCUAAUUAGCUUAAGAAUUAACUAUUAUAUAAAACAUAAAACACAAAACAAUAAUAAUUAUCAAAUCUAAAGUUUCAGCCAUGCACGUGAGCUAUGACUAACAAACCGAUUAACCCAACACCUUCCACCCCCAAAUCCUUAGCAUAUAUAAACAAACACCCUCUAAAUGCAUGUUAUUAGACAUACCAAAAUAUCUUUAAUUGGUUGGCUUGUGUGUCCUUCACAUCAACAUAAUUACUUAAUUAAUUAAUUAUACUGAACUCACCUCUGAGUCUAAGGCUUCAAGCACAACUUCAGGAAUAGCAUCUGGACAAAACUCAUCUGGAACAAAACUAUCUAGUAUCCCUUUUAUUAAUGCUACACCAAAACUCAAACAUACCUUCAAAAAAUUUUAAAUAACUUUAGCUUUGUGGAUAACUACACUACUAUAAAAGAAAAAGAGCCCAAUUUUAGAGACCUCUUUUCUGAUUGUGCUAUCUAACAACAUAUCCUUAGGAAGCAUCAUCAGGUCACUUAAUGCAUUCAGGAGAUGAAAAGAUUUGAAUGAUGAAUCAUCAGCAUCUAUAUCAAAUAAAUCAGUCAGCCACCUCGACCAAUUUUCAAUUUGCACAUUGCCAAAUGAACNNNNNNNNNNUAUAUAUAUAUAUAUAUAUAUAUAUAAAGGAUCACUUGCCAUGGGAAUUGGUCGCCUAUGAUUCAGAUCAGAGGCCUGGAAUCGUCAAGGUAGAAAACACAAGUCAAGAAAAAAAAUAAAAUAAGAGACUUUUAGGCAUAAAUGGUAUAUACCCUGUAAUAGGGAUAACAAACUCCUUGAGUGCUUUUUCACUUGUUACUCCAAUUAAUUCGCCAAGACCUUGAGCAUCCUGUUCUCUCAAUUCUGCAGACCUGCUUAUUAGGCCCUGAAGAUAUAUGGGAAGCAAUGGUUGAAGAGCCUUUGGGAGACAUAACCUGGGUAUAACAAUUGGUCCACCCUAUAUGUCCAUCAACAAAUAUUUAAAUAAGAUAAACCUUAAUCACUACUAAAUGCUGAUUAAAAUACACAUAGUUGCCCCUCGAGUUCCAAAACAUUAAAACAACUCUAUUUUGUGCUUAGAUUCCAAAAUAGGACCAAAACAAAAUUCAUACGCAAGUGCUCAAUGGAUGAAAAAACUCAUAUGUACAAAUUCUAAGCCAAAAUACAAGAAUACAUUAGUUCUACAUAAACCCUAUCAACUCGAAAAUAAAAUUUUCUCGUAUAAUAAUUACAUAACCAAAUUAUGUAGUGAAAUCACACAUUAAAGCAAAUGUCUUUGUUAUUGUGAAUUUUGAUACAUCAUAUAUUAUUAUAUUUUUACCUUUAUUAUAGAUUGGUUACCCAACUUUACAUGCAUUUGUUGAGUUUAUUUCUGGAUUUGACAUGCCUUCUGACAUUCACUCAAAGAAGAAAGACAACAUUCUUCUAGAAACUGGGAAACCUUUUCGAUGGCUCUCUUCCAUGAUGAGUUAUCGUUGCCACUAGCUCAUAUCUUCGACCGUAUUUAUUAUAAUUUUUUUUAUAAAUUAAUAAAAAGAUGAAAAUGAUAUAUANNNNNNNNNNNNNNNNNNNNNNNNNUAUAUAUAUAUUAUAUAAAUACAUACCUCUGGUGAUGAUAAAAAAAGGAAAUCACGAUUCAGAGUAAGGUGAAGAGGAAUGUGGAUUGGUUUGAGUAAUUUUGUGCUUCCUUGACUUACAUAGCUAAACCUCAUUAAGUGUAGUAUUAUUAUCUCUGGAAGCUCUAAUAUUUCACUGAUUUACUUGCACAUACUAAUUCACAUAAUAAUAAAAAGAAGUAUACAUUUCCUGCUGAUGAAGCACGAUACCCUUCAAGUGUCUCUGGAGCUGAAAAAAGAUGAAGUGCAUCUUCUAUUGUAUGCAUAGGAUCUGGACAUAUAUUCAAAUGGAGCAAAAGAAAUGGCUGAAUAGUUGCAGAUGCUUUGUUACCUAUUUUUGUUUUACAUUAAAAAUAUAUAAAUGAUGAAUUAAUGAUAUCAUGUUAUUGAGAUGAGUGAAAAAUGUUAAAAGAUUAAAAAAAAAUACCUCUUGCUUUCAUUACACUUUUUAUUUGGCCUUCGAAGAUCUGACUUAAUUUUGAAGGAAUAAAACUUUGUGUUCUUGUGAUUGUAGUUUUGUUCUUUGGUCCAACUGUUUCCCAAAUAUCAUCAUCAUCUUCAUCACUUAAAGAUGAAACCAGUGAAACUUUUCCACCAUUAAAAUUACAAACUUCUCCUUCAAGUUUAAGAAGUUCAUCAUGCAUUUGGUGCAUUACAAAGCUUAAAAACACCUGAGCAUCUUCUUGCCUUUUUAAAAAACAAACUUCAACUCAGCAUCCGAAAUUCCAAACAUAACAUAUAUAAAAUUUGUUGAUUAAUUUUAUAACAUUAACACAAACCUUGGUCUUCCAGAGAAGCUAUUUGGCAUAUCUGGAGAGAAAUUGUUGAGAACAGAUUCAAACAUGAUAGGUCGAAAAGGUUUCCCAGUUUCUAGAAGAAUGUUGUAUUUCUUCUUUGAGUGAAUGUCAGAAGGCAUGUCAAAUCCAGAAAUAAACUCAACAAAUGCAUGUAAAGUUGGGUAACCAAUUUGUAAUAUAGGUAAAAAUAUAAUAAUGUAUGAUGUAUCACAAUUCACGAUAACAAAGACAAUUGAGUCCAACUCCAUCGGCGUUUGCUUUUGAAUGAAUUCCUUGGGAUAAACCUUCCAUAUACGCUCUGCUCCCUUUCCUUUUGGAACAAAACACCAUAGCAAGACUCCAAAUAUGUAAUAAUAAUCGAUCGAUAAAGUUUCUACAUAAGUUGCAGGUGAUCAAAAAUGGCGGAAAUCAGGAAAUGUAAAUUGUACCUUUAGCGAGAUUAGGGUAAAGCCAUCACAAGUUAGAGCCAUCAUCACCUGUGGGAGACCUAGGGGAAGUUGAUCGCCUCUAUCCACCUGCCAAAAAAGUGAAUCGUCUUCCCAUAAGUUUUCGUCACUUUCUCUCGAUCUUGCCGCUCAACCGGACCAAGGACGCCGGGAAGGAAAAGGACGUCCCUCUUCACCUCAUACUCGUGGAUGUGCCACAUUGGCUUUUCUGAAUCCGGCAAGGUGAAGAACAAUUUUUAUGUUACGAUGUUUUCAACUCCGAUUAAAAAAGCCCUAGAAAUUAUCCCAGUGAUUUUGUGAUAUAUGAGUUGUUGAGGUAUACAGCAGAGGUGGUAUCGUGAUUAGGGUUUGCAGAGAAAAGGGGGAAGAAGAGAAUGAAGGGGAUCAAGCGGGGUAUUAAAAAAUUUAAGAUUUUUGAGAGGAUUUCAUUUCCCCCUUUCAAGAAGGCGCGUUUUAGUAAAAAUUAUAAAGCGACAAUCACAGAGGACGCAUAUUUUAGAUAAAGUGCCCUCCGUGUUUUUAUUUUUUUUACAUUCGACACUAAUUUAAGGGCAUGCAAUAAUGCGUGACCUAAAUCCUCAAAUUUUUUGAAGAGACGACACUUUUUUAUUGUCACUCUCGUUUGCGUAACAUAAAUCAAUAAGUGUCGUGAUUUGCACAUCGUAAAAGGGUCUUUUUCUUGUAGUGAGGAGUUGUAUGAUUAGAUGAUUGUCUUUGUGAUAUCAUCUAGGUUGCUGCUACCUGAUAUGUUAUAUGCUGGUAUGAUAUGUUAUUUGUGAUAGUAGUAGAGUUCGGUUGUUUGGACCGAAGGGUAGGUCAGACACCCCAGAUAUGUCUGACAGUAUGUGAUGAUAUGUUUAUAUGCUGGCAUGAUACGUUAUAUGGGAUAGUGGUAGUAGGAGGGGAACAAUCUCCAAGUUCGGUUGUUAGAGCCGAAGGGUAGUUCGGACACCCUAGAUAUGUCUGAUAGUAUGUUUAUGUUAUGAUAUAUGUGAUAGUAGUGGUAGGGGUGGAAUAGUCCAAGAGGGUCGGUUUUUAGGACUGACGGGUAGGUCAGCACCCCAGAAAGGCUUGACACGGGUAGGACGAUACCCCAGAAUGGCCGCAUGGGUAGGUCGGCACCCUAGAAUGGCCGCACGGGUACCUAGAAUGGCCGCACGGGUAGGUCGGCACCCCAGAAUGGCCGUACCGGGUAGGUCAGGCACCCCAGAAUUGCCUGGCAGUAUGUAUGCUAUGUGAUUGUAUGUUAUGUGGCACGAUGGGGGAACUCACUAAGCUUCGUGCUUGCAGUUUACAGUUUUUGUUUCAGGUACCUCUUCAGCAAAGGGGAUGGAGCUGGCGCGGUAGUGGCACAUCAUGAAUGGUUUUCCGCACUAGUGUUUCUUGGUAUUGUACUAUGACAUUAUUCUUAUUUUUGUGAAUGGUUUUCAGACAUGAGAUGUGGUUUUAUGAAAAGUUAUGAUUAGAUGGUGUUUUCUUAUAAAUGUUUUUACAAGUCAAUUUUAAAAAUGAAAUUUUUGGACUUGUAAAUUGGGUCGUUACAUUCCUUCCAUGGUAAGACUUUAAGCAAAACCAAAUCUCCAACUUCGAAUGCCAUCAGUCGUCUUUUCUUGUCAGCAUAGCUCUUUUUACAAUCCUGAGCUGCUAACAUCCUUUCCCUAAUCACUCUUAACUUUUCAACAGUCUGAUGGACUAUCUCGGGGCCCAUAAACUGCCUUUGUUCAACUUCAAGCCAACAUGACGGCGUACGACACUUUUUUCCGUACAAAGCUUAAUAAGGUGCCAUCUUGAUGCUUAAGUGGAAACUAUUAUUGUAGGAAAACUCUACCAGAGGUAAGUGUUCAUCCCAGUUACCUUGGAAUUCUAGGGUACACACUCUUAGCAUUACUAUAGUGUUUGAAUCGUCCUUUUUCUCUAACCAUCGGUCUGUAGAUGGUAGGCUAUACUUAAACACAGCUUCGUACCCAAUUCUUCUUGUAGACUCCUCCAAAACCUUGACGUGAAACGGCUAUCAUGGUGUAACGCCCAUGUUUCUAGGCUAGGCAUUAAUGAUAAUGUAAUAGUCUAGGUUAACCUUUGUAACCCGUCUUGAAAUAAUAAAAAUGUAUUAUUUGAGUAUUAUGUGUUUUGUGCUUAAUUGUGUGACUUAAAUGAAUUAAGGAUAAAAAUAAGCAUCAAAAUGAAAUGUUAGAUAAACUCGAUAUCUAUGAAGGAUGUGGUAGUGGUCGUGGCAAGGUUUCCAAAUAUAUAAAGAAUGCCAAAAUCUGAGUUAUAACGAAAAAGUUAUGAUCUGUCGAAGUUUCGUUACAGAACCGGCACGGCACUGCGUGACGUAAAUAGUGAAUUUACGAUAGAGCGAUAUUUAGUCUUAGUGAUCUAAACAGAAGUUGUAGAAUAAGUUUAACCGAGAGCGUGCAUAAGAAGAACGUCUAAAUUUGACUUCGUAUGAGGAAGUUAUGAUUUUUCGAAGUUUCGAUUUAGCAGUAUGCAACCCAAAUCUCGAAUUACAGAUCGAGUGAUACUUGGCCGAAACAAUCUAAACGGGAAUCGAAGAUCUCGUCGAUAGUAGUCCAAAAGUGAAAAGACAUACGAAAACGGACGUCGGAUGAAGAAGUUAUGAAUUUCUAACGGAGUUUUCCUGUCCGACCUGCUAAAAAUAAUAUAAUAAAAAUAAGUUCAAAAUUAGCCGACGCAGUCUAAACGAAAGUUGUAGAGCAUAGUCUCACCUAUGUGUGGAUAUAAAGAACAUAAAAAAUGGAGCUCGUAUGAGGAAGAUAUGAUAUUAUGAAGUUUUUAAAUAAUUAAAAUAUAUAAAUUUUAUUAUAUAUUCGGAUAAUAUCCGAAUCCAUGACUCAGCCGAUCUGAUCCGAAGAUUACGCCCAACGUACUGCUUGUAGAGGCAUUACGCCCAGCAUAAUCAGGAUUUACGCCCAACGUAAAUCGAGGUUUCAUCCCCUAUAAAUAGAAGUCGUGGGCAGCCGAGUUUUGUUGCUCAUUUCUUCCUCUCUCUCCCGUUUUACCUCGUUUUACGUGCAAGCUUUACCCCCGAAGCCGCGGUAUCAUUCCCGAGACCCGAAGCCCCGGGGAUCCCGAGAAGUAAAGUUUCUGAGCCGAAACUCUGCCCGUGUAAAGCCCGGUUUUGGAGAAAACGUCCUGGUUUUAUCGGAAAAUAUUAUUUUAAUAUAUGAGGUGAUGUCCGAUCAUCUUCUUAUCAAGUGAGUGUAUAUUCCCUUUCUUCUAACACAUAGAUAUGAAGUAUCUACUUUAGAAUAUGUGUUACAUGUGUAUAAAUAUACGUGUAUAUAUAUGUUAUCUGUUUAUUUGGAAUGAGUAUCUUAUUAGUUUUUAAGUUACAUAUGAAUGCAUAUGUAUGUUGUUAUCUACAAAAUGUUGGGUAGAACUUGUGUAGAUAGUUGAUGUGUGAUAAACUGAUGAGAUGCCUCGAUGUGAUUGUGAUCUAGUCAUUCAACAGAAUAUGGGUGACGACCACGGACUCUUUCUAGACUGUCCCGUGGAAUGCUGGCAGGCUCAUAACCUGUAGGUGUUGGUGAACUUGGGUGUUCAUUUGUUGUAUUCUAUCCCCCUCAUGGUUGCCUUAGGACAUUCAUUGUUGAGAAAACCCCUCUGCAGUAGUGUCCGUCCUGAUGAAAAUCCUAGAUUAGGUCCCUUGUAAUAGUUAUUGUCAUAGUGACGUAAAGUGAGGAUAACAGGAAUGGGUAAUCAGGUUAUUGUUGGUUGGUGAAAUUAAAUAUAAUUAGUUAUUGUGGGUUGAAAACCCUAUAUGCUCACCAGGCUCCCAAGCUUGACCCACUCAGUUUUUUUGUAUUACAGGUAGUGGUGCGAGGGCAUAAGUUGGAGAACUUAUGAAGAUGUUUUUGUUUAUAGACCAGUAGUUGUAUAUAACAGUGUAAGGUCUAUGUUUUACUGUUUAUGCUUUUGUGUCUGUAUCGGAACAUGACAUCCUGAGUUUUGAUAUAUAAUGAAAAUACAUUUCUUUAAGAAAUGUUUUGAUAAACUUUAUUUUAUCAUGUUUUGUUUUAGGGACAAAUUCUGCAACUCUUUUAAAUCAAUGGAUUUACUCUGAAAUUAUUUUAAAAACAUAAAUGAAACCGGCCUUUUCUGGCCGUGAUUUUGGGGAUUUCACACAUGGUCUGAUACUAUCUUUAAAGGAACACCAUGAAGUCUUACUACCUCCUUCACGUAAGCAUUUGCAAGCUUAUCUGUAGACCAUCUUGUUGGAUUAGUGUCUAAGUCCAUAACUAUUUUGGUAUGUACUUGACCCGAUGGUGCAUGGUCCUUUUGGGUUGCCUUCACCAAAGCAACUUGAUUGGAGAAAUAAAUAAAGAGAGAGAGGUUAUUAUGAUUUAUUAAUAUGUUAUAAGAAUAAUAUAUUAAAGGAGAAAUCAUAUUUGUUUAAUUAAUAUUGGUCAAUAAUUAAUUAAGAAUUAAUUUUGUGAUCAAGUGUAAUUAAUUAAACUAGAGGGGCUGAAUUGUAAUUAUGUGAUAGUUACAAAAUAAGGUAAGGAUUAUCUUAAAUAUAGGGUGAACGAAUUUAAGGAGAUAAUGCCUUAGAAUUCGACUAGGAUAAGGGUUUCUAAGACUUAUCUUAUGGUUGCUUGGUGGGCAAGCAACUAGAUAAGGAUAAGGACUAAAACCCUAAUCUUUACACCUAUAUAAACCCCCUAAGGCUCAUGAAUUCGUCUAAGCCUUCCCAAGAAGUCCUAAGGACGAAUUCCUACCUCUAUCCUCUCUCUUUAUACCUUCUCCAUUUGCUCUUGGUGUUUGUGAGCCAUUAGAGGAGUGACACUUGUGACUCUAAGCCUUCCAAAGUCAAUUCAUGGAGAAUUGGGAUUGUUAUUACUACAUAACAAUCAAGGUAACAUCUUAAACCUAAUUAUAUGUUAAUAUUGAUUUCCAUAUGCUAGAAUUAGGGUUUAUAGUCUUGGAUUCAUUGCAUGUACAAUAGAGAAACCUAGAUCCAAGCAUUAGGGUUUGUAUGAGCACAUAGGAUGUCUUAUGACCAAAACCCAUCAGUGGUAUCAGAGCCUAGCUUGGUUUCAAUUGUAUUGAUGCAUUGUAUAACUGGAAAAUUCGUUUUUUGGGUUUCUGGAGGCUGGACUCGCCGAGUCCAUAGAUGAACUCGCCGAGUCCAUGCUGACUCGACGAGUCCAUGCCUGACUCGGCGAGUCGGCUCGUCAGAAGGAGGGAAAACCGGGAUUUCUUGCUGUUUUUGCUUAAGGAUAGUUGCCUUAUCAUAUUAGAUCAAUAUAAAUCCGAUUUUAUGAUAUAUUUGACUAUAUUCUUGAUCUAAUUGAAGAUAUUUAUCAAUUAAUAAAAUAUUUGUUUCCUUAUGUGAUAAUUGAUUAAUUAUUUUGAUUAAAUUGAUAAAUUGUUUUGCAAGAAAUCAUUAAAUAAAUCAAAUAUGGAUAAUUAUGUGAUUAAAUGUUAAUUUAGAUUAUUUGUUAUUUGAUCCUUGUUGUUAUGAAAAGUUUCAUAUUUUCCCCUUUAGGUUUUAUAGUUUAAAUUUGAACCCAAAAGUUUUGUUGUUUUGAAAUUUAAAUAGUUGAAACCCUAAUGUUUUGAAAAAGGUUUCAAAACUUGCCCUCAAGUUUUGGAAUUUAAAUUUUGAUUAAAUAGUUUAAUUUUGAUGUAUAUUUAAAUUCUAAACCCUAAUGUGUUGAAAUGUUUCAAAACUUGCCCUCAAGUUUUGGAAUUUAAAAGUUGAUUAAAAGUUUAAUUAGGAAUGUUAAAUUCUAAAACUCUAGUAUUGUUUUGAAAAAGUUCAAAUCACACCCUUAUGGUUUUAUUAAUUAAUUAAGGUGUAUAAUUAAAAGAGGUUUAAUAAAUCCAUAAAAGUUUUGGUUUACAAUUUAAUUGAAUUAAAAGUAUAAUUGUUAAAUUUGACCACCUAGUAUUUUAAAAGUGUAAAAUACACCCUAUACUAUAUAUAACAUUAAAAGUCUAACAUUAUAUAUAUGUAUGAGUAAAAGUCAGUCUUACCGUUAGUAGGCCUCAUUCACGAAGCUGGUCUAUAAGGGGUGUUUAAGGAAAUUGCCUAUAAAAUGGCGAUUGAAUGGGUAUCCACUCUUACCCACCGCACUCUUGACUAGUGGAGGGUCGUUAGCCGAACGGGUAGGAUAGGACGAAACCUUCCAUUAUAAGUAUAAUGAAGUAUAAAAGUAACUAAAUGUUUUCAUAAAAUUCCCAAUCUUAGUUACUUAGGCAAAAGUGAAUUGAUGCAAUUCCAUGAAAUUACACUUUGUGCCCUUGCGAAGACGUUAGUGGAGCGUGUGUGGUUUACCGGCACACUAAAUGGUUCUAAGCAAAGGUAGCAAAGGGUGACUCAAUGUUUGUCAUAGUUCGGUGGAGCGUGUGUGGUUUACCGGCACAUCGAAUAGGUGACUGUAACAUGUGAGGGCACCAUGUAAGUUUGCAUGGUUAUUCACACCCGCUUUGUGAUCCUCGGCAUCCCAGUCACAAACAAGAGGGGCAUAUCGAGAUUUAAACAUGCCAUUGAAAUGUUCAAUGAAUCUCAAAGGAUCUAGGAGUUUUCAUAGAUUUAAAACUUAAAUUUCUUUUUCGUUUUUCAUGGUGGAAAUUAGUGAAUCGUCAUUCACUUACCUUCAAAUGUUCUGCAAUUUGGGUUACGGCAUCCCUCUCCCGAGUUGUAGAAUAUUGUGUUGGGUCCUAGCCUUAGUAUCUCAUUUGGGUGAUUUACUAAGGACUCAAUCAAUCAACUAACUUGAAUUCUUUUUCUCCCGUUUUGUAGAUGUCAAAGUUCGACAACUAUGGUCUUCCCAAAUCCCGUGGAACAAGCAUUCCACAUGAAGAUGAUAUUCCACGAUUCGAUCGAGGAACAAGAAAUCAUGCUUCACUUCCUCCACCUCCUCCAAUUAUUCUCCCUAACCCACAAGUUCAAAGGCUUGAAAAGUUCAAGAUCACUCAAGCCCUUUUGGCAAGUAAACAUAAAGAAGGAAAGUCGGUGUGUGCACACGUCCUAGGGAUGAAGUCACACAUUGAUAGGUUAAGAAUGUUGGGAUCCGUUGUCUGUGAGGAAAUGGCUGUUGAUUGGGUUCUUCAGUCACUUCCUAACUCAUAUAGUGAGUUCGUAAGAGAGUACUAUAUGAUGAACCGCGACGUGACCCUUAUAGAUCUCACCUAUAUGCUUAUUGCUGCUGAAUCAGCAAUGGUUUGGCGCAAUAGAAAAGCAAAGUUGAUUGGUGAAUCUGCCUUCAAGACCUCUAUGGAUAUAGACAAUGGCAACGAAAGACAUGCUAUGAUCGAAAAGUUUGAUCAUAAGAGAAAGGCAAUGUCUGAAGUAGUUCCAUGUCAUGUUCCAAAAGAGUCAAUUUGCUUUUAUUGCCAAGAGAAAGGGCAUUGGAGACGAAGCUGCCCCAUUUACCUAAGAGAUCUAAGAGAUGGGAGAGUCGAAACGUAUGGCUCUAAUAUAGGUAAAAUCCAUUAACUAACUCUUUUAAGCUUCUAUUCUAGAUUCUUAAUACAUAAUGUGAUAAGAUUACAAUUGAUGUUUUGUAGGAUCGAAGAAAAGAAAGGAAGCUUAAGGGAAGAAGUGAGCAGAAUCUAACCGUGAAGGAAUGGAUUUCGAUCGCAUUUCUCGAAGAUUAGAUUCUUGAGCUACUACUUAGAGUUAGAAUUAGAUUGCUAAGAAAGAUGUAUUAGCAUAGUUUUUCAAUGAAUUGCAUUGUAAGGACAAAUUUUUCCGCAAUAAAAUAAAUUUUGAUUUUAAAUUUUAUUUAUUUAUCCUUACAAUGGCGUGUAUGAAAAAUUGAUGUUAAAAUGUUUCUAUUAUUAGCAAUAAUGGAUUUGGUUCUUAUUAUGUUAUUUAUGGAAAGUCGAGAAUUUACCAAAUAGGGAGAGUUUCUCAUCGCCCAAGUUUCAAUUGGACAGAAACUUGGAAUCAUGCAACUUGGUUGCACGAUGAAUGAGAAAUUUCAUAUUUGGAAAUUAGACUAAUUCAUUGACAAAGUGUCAAGUGAAGGACUAGGAGAUCGAGUACACAAAGUUGCGUGUUGAUCAAGUCCACCAUAAGAGUAACAAAGAUAUUCGUCAUGAUUUACUAAAGGUUUAGUAAAUAUGAUUAUACUUAUAAGAUUAAGUGUAAUUCUGAAUUGAUUGAAAAGGUUUAAAUCAAUAGCAGAACGAAUAAGAAGAAUCAAGUAGGCAGAAAGAUAAAAGUUUCUCCAUUCUAAGAAGAAGGGAGAGUACCUUUUAUGCUUUAUGAUAGGUCUUAAUGAUUAAGAACCAUAUCUCAAUUGAUCCUCUAAGUGAGUCUUAGUACAAUUGUAUGUCUAAGAAGAGGAAUCAAGAAUUGAAGAAAUGGUUAAAUCAAGAAGUCAAUCAUACUUCGUUCCAAAACAAGUCUUAGAGUUAAGAUUGUGACAUUGAGUGAUAAGUAUAAAGAAGGUUUAUAACAUUCAUUAAAUGUGGAAAGUUGUGAUGUCUUGGAUAAGACAAAGACCAACUAGGACCAAUUUAUGAAGUGUUUUGAUAAAAGCUACACUAACUCUUGAAUAUUUGUUUGUCAAGAAAUGGUUAUUGACAAGAGAAUCUUAUAUGUCAAGGAGUCAGUGGGAGUCUUAAUGGUCUUGAAAGGUUUCAAGAACAAAUCAAAUAAACCUUAUCGAUCAUCACUAGCACACGAGUUGAGGUUUACAACCUAUCGUGUUGACAUUAUUUUGAUUCUGUGCCAAUCCAAUCGAGUUAAUUAUGCAUGUGAGUUCUAUGAGUUCUCAUUUUGAACGCAUAAAAGGCAAAGCACCUUAAUCAAUGAAAGGUACAUUGAUAGGAAAGGGUGAGCUGCUUAACUACUUGGAAGACAUGGUGGGCAGCUGUGCUACCAUAAAGGCAAGAAAUCGAGAUCAAGAAAGUUCGAUCCAUAAGAGUUUGAAUUUGUCGUAAACUUUGGUUUUGACAAAUUCACAUGGAUAGGAACAAAUACACCGUUUAAAUCUAAGUGUCAUAAGAUUUCCUCCUUCAUGAAAAUGAUUGUGAGGAAAUGCUUUCACUAAGACAGAUUUUAAGAAGAUAGUGAUUGUAAAAUUGCAUUCUCGAAUUCAAUUAUGGUUACGGCAUCCCUUUCCAUAAUUUGAAUUGUGAGGUUUGGCAAUUAGUCUUAAUUGUUUAGACACACAUAUGAACUAUCGAAGGCAAAGGUGUAUAAGUUCAAGAAGCCUUGAUAAAAGAUUAUCAAAGCACUAAGUAUUAGAAACAUGAACUUAAGAAAUUCAAUAAGCAUUUUUUUUCUGAAAGUUAAGAUGUUUAUGAAUACAUGUCGAAGCUAGUGGGAGCAUAAGUGUUAUGUUUUAUAAUAAUCAUCAAGAUAGUGGGAGCAUAAAAGUUAUGAUUGUAUGAUUAUUAAGGAAAGUAUUGCAAGGUUAGCAAUAUUAAUUAUAGAAAACAAGAGUCAUACUUUGCAAAGUCGCAAUAGUUGAAGAGUUGUUUUGCUAUAAUUAAGGGAGAGAAUAUUAUGCUUCAUUUCAAAUCUAAAGGUUUAGGUUGAGAAAUGUUAAUAAAAUUUAGUCAAAGGUACAAAGUGUGUUCUUAAAAUUUCGAUUAUGAUUACGGCAUCCCUCUUCACAAUUCGAAUUUUGAGAACAUAGCAAAUAAAACAUUAUGCGUCGUGUCCCAUACGCUUCGGGUAUAGGAUCGAUUGCAAAUGCUUUAAUGUUUGACCAUUCUAAAAUUUUCCAAAUGUCGAGCGCAUUUAGAGGGAAAAGGGACUAGAAUUGGUUUUGACUAAAAUAAUUAAACAACUAUCAAAGGACAAUCCAAAGUUCGACGAGGAUUGGUCGCUUGUGAGUAGUUGGAAGUAUAGUAUUGGAAAAUAUGGAAAUGUUUCCAUAUUGGAUGGACCAUAUCGACAUCAUUACGAAUAGAUAAGAUUCUAUUAAGAAUGAGUUGUCAUAUGGAACAUAUGGAAGUGUGUCCAUAUUGGGAAUUGAAUAUUGAGAAAUCUAUGACUAGAUUAGAAACUUCUAUGCAAAAGGAUGUUCAAAGAAUGUACUUUGAGUGAGAGACAUCACAUCUAUGGAAUUGUCUUGUAACAAUCUCCGAUAGAGGACUUUGUAAUAUCAUUGGCAAUAGUCUUUGUGACUUUGGUGCAGUGACAUUACGAAAGGAUCGUUGCAUAAAAUGUUAGAAUCUAGCAUAUUCUAUAAGUAGCAAGAAUUUGAUAUUCUUUCACUUAUGAAAAGGAUUUGGAGUUGUGAAAUGAGAAUGAUUGGAAAUGUGUUCAAUUUGAUCUAUUUCACAAAGUAAGAACCAUAGGUAAACAUUGUGUGCAUGCUAGGAGCAUGGGACAAGUGUAAUAAUUCAAGUAAGAAGUUGAUUACCCGAAACGACAAAUAAUGAGUAAUCGAUAUGGUGAUAAAUAAAAGGUGUUUUAUUUAUACUCAAAGGUUUGAGGCCAUAUGGGAUUAGUAUUAUUCUUGUGUUUCACAUUUGCAUGUUUUGACUUCCAGAAUAAUUGAGUUUAUUAAGAAUAAUCGAAUUAUUCGAACGGGCCACAGUCGUUCAUAUGUUGGAAGUAGAUAUGAAUGAAGACUGUCGUGAAUUGGUGUGUGGAUUGUCUAAAAGAGUAUUAGACAUAAGCAAAUGUUUGCUGCAACGUUCAUGAGUGCUUAUGAAUAUGAUUUGAGCAUUGGAUUAAACCCACGCUCACUUGGAUCACUCCAUGAAUUGUAUCACGAGUGAUUGGUGAGACGAUAACAUCUUAUAUUCUUGAAACCGAGAUGUGUGAGUUGUAUCUUGCGAAUCGGUUGCACAUUGAUAAUAUGUAAACGCACUAGUAACUUGGUGUUAUAAAACAUAUUGUUGUGUGUGAUUUGGUUAGUAAGUGCAAGCAAGCAUUGUAUCAAAGUUUAUCCGUUCCUUUUAUCCAAAGUAGGAUAAAAGCGAUAUCUUUGGGCCCCUCGAUGAUUUAGUGAUGACAAACGUAAAUGCUCGGCCGGGCUAGGGCUAAUUUGAUUUGUUCAAUUAGUCAGUCGUCAUAAAUCGGGAAUCGAGAUAUAGUACAAAGAGAAUGAUUUGAAAUCAUAUCUCAUAUGAUAUCUAGAAUGGAGGAAUAUAUGAUCCCUUAUCUAAGGACACGCGUAUCUGAUAUGAUCAGAGUUGACAGCGGCUUUGGAAAGCUACGAUUGCAGAUCAGGAUCUGAAGUCAUACGCAGAAUAGUUGUUAGACUUAUCCAAGUGGGAGACUGUUGGAUUAGUGUCUAAGUCCAUAACUAUUUUGGUAUGUACUUGACCCGAUGGUGCAUGGUCCUUUUGGGUUGCCUUCACCAAAGCAACUUGAUUGGAGAAAUAAAGAGAGAGAGAGGUUAUUAUGAUUUAUUAAUAUGUUAUAAGAAUAAUAUAUUAAAGGAGAAAUCAUAUUUGUUUAAUUAAUAUUGGUCAAUAAUUAAUUAAGAAUUAAUUUGUGAUCAAGUGUAAUUAAUUAAACUAGAGGGGUUGAAUUGUAAUUAUGUGAUAGUUACAAAAUAAGGUAAGGAUUAUCUUAAAUAUAGGGUGAACGAAUUUAAGGAGAUAAUGCCUUAGAAUUCGACUAGGAUAAGGGUUUCUAAGACUUAUCUUAUGGUUGCUUGGUGGGCAAGCAACUAGAUAAGGAUAAGGACUAAAACCCUAAUCUUUACACCUAUAUAAACCCCCUAAGGCUCAUGAAUUCGUCUAAGCCUUACCAAGAAGUCCUAAGGACGAAUUCCUACCUCUAUCCUCUCUCUUUAUACCUUCUCCAUUUGCUCUUGGUGUUUGUGAGCCAUUAGAGGAGUGACACUUGUGACUCUAAGCCUUCCAAAGUCAAUUCAUGGAGAAUUGGGAUUGUUAUUACUACAUAACAAUCAAGGUAACAUCUUAAACCUAAUUAUAUGUUAAUAUCGAUUUCCAUAUGCUAGAAUUAGGGUUUAUAGUCUUGGAUUCAAAGCAUGUACAAUAGAGAAACCUAGAUCCAAGCAUUAGGGUUUGUAUGAGCACAUAGGAUGUCUUAUGACCAAAACCCAUCACAUCUUUCAUUGGCUACUAUGAAGUGUGCACUCUUAGUAAACCGAUCAACGACCACCCAAAUCAUGUCGUGACCGUCCUUCGUUCUGGGCAGUUUAGUGACAAAAUCCAUGGUAAUGUCUUACCACUUAUCCAUGGUUACACAUAAAGGUUCUAAAAUCCUAUAUGGUUUCUGAUGUUGUGCCUUAACUCUCACAUAGGUCACACACUUGGCCACAUACUUUGCAAUGUUGAGCUUCAUCUUCGGCCACUAGUAGUAGGGUUUCAGAUCCCUAUACAUUUUUGUGCUGCCGAGAUGAAUCGAGUACAUGGUCUUGUGAGCUUCUUCCAUCAGAAGAUCUCUUACUUCGCCCAUCUUGGAAUACCUUUAAUCCUUGAUUAUUUGUACCGAAAACCAAGUUUUUGCUUAAACAUUCUUCCUUUUGGUCAUUCUCCUCUAAAACUUCCUCCCAAGCUUUGUUGAUGCUUUCCACAAUCAUUGUGACAACCUCUAUUGAUUGUUUUGAUUAUAUUUCUCUUCAAUCUUCUGUCCUAACUCAGAUGCUACAUGAAACUUGGUUCUCUGAACCAUGUAACAUACUCAUCUUAGUUGGACUCGAUAUGAUACGACCACUAGGGUCAGAAUCAGAAUCAUCUUCUUAGUCAUUACCAAAACGAUGGUAAUGAAGAACUUGAACAAAACAGAAUCAAUUACUAGCUUCUUAGUAACCUUGCGACUUUCACUGAUCCAAGUGCAAGUCCUGUGCUUCCGGUAGUAUAGGCCUCUACUACCAUUCACACCUACUCAUACUCGUUCAAGGUGCUAUCUCACAGUUUUCCAAGUCAUCAUUCAAGAGUUUCACAUAAUCAUUUAACACAUCAGAUAACAAAAUCAAGGUUUUAUAUUAUUUCUUGAAAUGAUUACAUAAAUGUUCAACUUCGUCCUAUACUAUGCCUCUAAUAAGUUGCGCUACAUGAUGCUAUCCACAUGGCCACUUCAUAACUUGAUCUUCGGAUAUCAGUCCUCACUCCUGCUUCCUUGCAUUGUCAGCUGCUUCGUUAAGGAUCAUUUGGAAUGCCCUUGGCUGGGGCGGUGCGUUUGGCCUUGCCGCUUUAUUCUUCCUUGGGCGGUUCUUCAAAAUAUGCCAUCCUUCAUUGCAUUCAUAGCACACCCUCUUGCGGGAUGUACACUCAUUGGCGUAGUGCCCAGGAUUUUCACACUUAAAACAAGUGACCUCCCGUCACAUUUCCCAUGGUGCUUCUUUUUGUACUUUUCACACCAUUUCGCUUCAACUCCUCCUCCUCUCGAACCAGACUUCGAGAAAUUACUUUUCUUGUUGGAUUUCGAAGAUCCAUCAAACUUCCUUUUCUUACCAACCUCUGCCCUCUCCAGACCCUUCUCCCUUAUCCGUGUCUCAACAAUCUUCAUAGCUCUAACGACUGCCUUCAACGUGCUUGCCAUUUUGACUAUUGGGCCAAAGUCUGAUGGCAAUCCGUUAGCAAAUUUCUCUAUCUUGGCGAGUUCAGUCGACACCAAGUAUGGAAAUAACUUCAUCUUCUCAGUGAAUGCAGUAGCAUAAUAAUCAAUGCUUAUUCUCCGUUCUUCAAUUUCUGGAACUCAUUGUUUAGAUCUAUCAUAUCUAUUUCGGAGCAGUACUGCAUUUUCAACUGCAUUAUGAACUCUUCCUUAGACAUUUUCAGAGCUUUUCCUCGUGGCAUCGUAUCCGUUAAUAACUUCGACCAGCUUAAAACUUUGGUCUUUACUUGUUUGACCGCAAAGACAAUUUUUUGUUUGUCGCUAUAGUUGCAGCUUUCAAAUACCAUCUCUAUUUCGACAUGAUCUUCAUUGUGAUUUGACGAAACAUAUUUGGACGGUUAUGCUUUUCAUGGCCAAUUUUCGAAGAAGUACUUCUUUUAAAUUGACGAGUGUGACAUCCACCAUUUUCACGGUCAGAAAAGACUGAUUUUGUUUAUGCUUUAUAAUAAAAUCAGAGUAACCUUUUUAAAGAAAAGUGUUGUGGAAUUUGUUCCUAAAAUAAAAUAUGAUAAAGAUUUAUCAAAACAUUUCCAAAGAAAUGUAUUUCAUUGUAUUAAAACCUUGGGAUGUCAUUAUUAAUACAAAUCAGAAACAUAAGCAGUACAACAUAGGCGUUACAACAUUUAUUUAAAUCUACUAGCCUAUAAACCAUAAUCCUCUCGUCAAGUCAUCCAACUAUGCUCUUGCCACUACCUAUAAUACAAGAAACUGAGCCGGUCAGGCUUGGGAGCCUGGUGAGCACAUAGGGUUUUCAACCCACAAUAAAUAAUUUUGUUAAUUUCAACAAAUGAAAUAAACCAGAUUACCCGUUUCUAUUUAUCCUCACAUUACGUCCCUAAAACAUCUAAUAUAAGGGACAUAGCCUAAGGAUUAUUGUAGCACCUGGUUCCUAGUACGUAAUCCUUGUAAUUAAUAUUUCUUAAUUUUGCAUUUUUGCCUUGGACUUGGCGAGUUGAAGAACCGACUCGUCGAGUAGAAGCGGGAUGAGAAGCGGGGUCUGAGCUUUGGACUCGGCGAGUAGACCCUGUUUGGGCAAAAACCCUAACCAAAGUGUUUGCACCCUAUUUAAACGCUCUAACUUGGCCUCCUUUGUCCCGAACACUCCCAGAGAGCUGAAGAGCGAAACCCUAGCCCCCAUUUUGUUCUUGAGAGUGAUUUUUGGCUUUGUGAAGAAGGUUUGGAGCUUAGAAGAAGAAGAAAUAGGUUGUAGUGUGCAAAGAGGGGAAGUAGAUCCGGAAUCUACACUACAAGAGGCUUCCAUUCAGCCGGAGGAUUACCGAUUCAGCAGUCAGGCGCUUAGCAAGCAGAUUUUCAGCAGCUACUUUUCGAGGUGAGUUACCUUCCAGUAGCGGUGGGUCUAAGGCCACAAUGUCGGCCCACCAGUAGGAGACGUAUGAUAGAUGAGUGUCUUUGUGAUAUCAUCUAGGUUUGUUACUACCUGAUAUGUUAUAUGCUAGCUUGAUGUGUUAUAGUAGUAGAGUUCGGUUGUUAGGACCGAAGGGUAGUCAGAUACCCCAGAUACGUCUGACAGUAUGUGAUGAUAUGUUUGCAUGUUGGCUUGUUAUGUUAUAUGCGAUAGAGGUAGUAGGGGGUGAAAUAGUCCCCGAGGUUCGGUUGUUAGGACCGACGGGUAGUCAGCACCCCAGAAUGGCUUGACAUAGGGAGGGCGGCACCCCAGAAUGGCCGUACAGGUAGGUCGGCACCCCAGAAAUGCCUAGCAGUAUGUAUGUGAUAUGAUUGUAUGGUAUGUGGUACGAUGGGGGGGACUCACUAAGCUUUGUGCUUACAGUUUUCAGUUCUGGUGUCAGGUACCUCUUCAGCGAAGGGGAAGGAGCUGGCGCGGUAGCGGUACAUCAUACACACACAUUGGAUUUCCGCAUUAUGAGAUGUCCUGGGAUUGUACUCUGACAUUAUUAUUAUUUUCAUGUUUUGGGUUUUCAGACACGAGAUUUGUUUUAUGACAUGAUAUGAUCGGAUGAUGUUUUACUGCAAAUGUUUUACAAACCACUUAUUUUAAGUGAAAUUUUUGGGCGUGAAAAUUGGGUCGUUGCAAUUAUCAUCGGGGUAACAACAUUGCUUAGGGGAUACUGUGACAUCCCCAAAAUCUUGGCCAGAAAAGACCGAUUUUCAUUUAUGCUUUUAAAAUAUUUUCAGAGUAAAUCCUUUUGAUUUGAAAGAGUUGCGGAAUUUGUUCCCAAAAACAAAACAUGAUAAAACAAUGUUUACCAAAGCAUUUCAUAAAAGAAAUGUAUUUUCAUUAUAAUCAAAACUCGGGGUGUCAUGUUCCGAUACAGACCAAUAAGCAUAAACGAAUACAUUACAAGUCAUAUAACAAAUAUAAACAUAUGCAGACUUGUAAACAAAACAACUUGAUGGUUCAUCCAUCUCAUGCCCUUCCGCCACUACCUGUAAUACAAUUUAAAACUGAGUGGGUCAGGCUUGGGAGCCUGGUGAGCAUAUAGGGUUUUCAACCCACAAUAAAUAUCAUAUUUAAUUUUCACCAACCAACAAUAACCCAAUUACCCAUUCCCGUUAUUCUCACUUUAAUGUCCCUAAAACAACUAACAUAAGGGACCUAGUCUAAGAAUAUUUCAUCGGGGCGACAACACAUGCUUCGGGGGUACCUCAGCAAUAUAAGUCAAAUAAGGCAACCAUGAGGGGGAUGGAGUACAGCGAAUGAACACCCAAGUUCAUUAACACCUACAGGUGGCGAACCUGCUAAUGUUUCCACAAGACUAUCUAGAAAAGUCCGUGGUCGUCAUCUAAACUCCGCUAGAUGACUAAAUCAAACAACAACGAGGCCUCUCAUCUGUUUAUUACACACCAACUAUCUACCCAUGUUCUACCCAACAUAUUAGUAGAUAAAAAUAUACAUUUUUAUACAUAGUUUAAAAACCUGUAUAGCAUGCUUUAAUCAACACAUAUUUCACAUAACAGAUGAGGCACACACACACAUAACACGUAUCUCAUAGAGAAUAAAUCAUAUCUAUGAGAUAGAAGAAAGUGAAUACACAUUCACACACAUAACCACAAAAUUAUACACAUAAUACGUAUUCCGUAUAAAAUACUUCAUAAUUAUGCGUUAGAAGAAAGUAACUACACACUCACUUGAUCAGAAGAUGAUCGGACAGCACUACGACUUGCAGAAGUAGUAAUCCUCAGCAGAUCUGGAAGAUCUUCACAAAAAUCGAACUUCUCGCGGGCAGAGCUUCGGCUCGGGAACCGCACUUCUCGGGAUCUUCGGGAUCUCGGGACUUGCCUCGGGGCUCGAGUAUGAUACCGGGGCUUCGGGGUAUUUCUGGCACGCAAAACGAUGCAAAACGGGAGAGAGAAGAGAGAAAAUGAACAAAAGAAUCGGCUGCCUUCGGAUCCUAUUUAUAGGAGGCUGAAGCCUCGGAGUACGCGAGGUGUACUGGUCCGAAAAACGUCACUGCUUACGUAUCCGAAGACUCGAGUGCGAAUGUCGACAUCCCUCGGUGUACGCGGGGCGUACUUCGGAUCGGAUUGCUGACUCCCCUUCGGAUAAUACCGGAUUUUCUAAUAAAAAUUAAAUACAAAUUAUUUAAUAAACUUCGGAAAUUCAUCUCUUCUUCAUACGAACUCCGUUUUCGACGUUCUUUAUAUCCACGCGAAGGUGAGACUACGCUCUACAACUUUCGUUUAGACUCCGUCGGCUAAUUUUAACUUUAUUUUUAUUAUUUAUUUUUAAUAGGCCGGGACAGAAAAACUUCGUUAUAAAUUCAUAACUUCUUCGUUUGACGUCCGUUCUCGCCUAACUUUUUAUCGCUUCGAGACCAACAACGAGACCUUCGAUCCUCGUUUAGGUUGCUUCGGCUCAAAACCGCUCGAUCUCAAAUCGAGUAUUUCGGGCUGCACACCGCUAAACCGAAACUUCGAUAAAUCAUAACUUCCUCAUACGAAGUCAGAUUUGGGCGUUCUAUAUAUACAUUCGUAAACCUCGUUUCAACUACUACAUCAUCAACCAAAGAUAUCAAGUUUAUUUUACACUUUAAUUUUGACGCUUAUUUUUAUUCUUAAUUAAUCAAACCACAUAAUUAAGCAAUUAAGCACAAAACACAUAAUACUCAAAUAAUACAAUCAUAUUAUUUCAAAACGGGUUACAAAGGUUAACUUAGACUAUUACAUUGCUAAAAAUGGCAAGCCCGGAAACACAGGCGUUACAGAUACCUCAACAUUUUAUGUCAAAUAAGGCAACCAUGAGGGGGAUGGAGUACACCUGGUGAACACUGAGUCCAAAUAAACACCUACAGGUUGCGAGCCUGCUAGCGUCCCAUUGGACUGUCUAGAAAAGUCUAUGGUCGUCAUCUAUACUCCGCUAGAUGACUAGAUCAUCGUCAAUAUCGAGGCCUCUCAUCAUUUUAUUUCAUCACACGCCAACUAUUUCAUCUACCCACGUUUUACCCAACAUAUUUGUAGACAUAAAUUACAUAUACAAUUCAGAUCUAAAAAACAAAAUNUAUAUAUAUAGUUUAGAUCUGAAAAGAAAAGUCUAGAUCUGAAAUGAGAAAGUUUGGAUUUGAAGGAAACAGUUCAGAUCUGAAAGAAAGAGUUUAGAUUUGAAAGAAAAGUUCAUAUCUAAAAAGAAAAAGGUUUAGAUCUUUCUUCCAACAUAGAUCUCAGGUAAACAGAUAAUAUAUAUACACAUAACACGUAAUUUAUAUAAAAUAGUUUAGAUCUGAAAAGAAAAGUCUAGAUCUGAAAUGAGAAAGUUUGGAUUUGAAGGAAACAGUUCAGAUCUGAAAGAAAGAGUUUAGAUUUGAAAGAAAAGUUCAUAUCUAAAAAGAAAAAGGUUUAGAUCUUUCUUCCAACAUAGAUCUCAGGUAAACAGAUAAUAUAUAUACACAUAACACGUAAUUUAUAUAAAAUAUUUCAUAUUUAUGUGUAAGAAGAAAGUAAAUACACACUCACAUGAUAAGGUGGCGAUUCGGACAACGUUUUGCUUCUUAAAAUAAUCUCCAUUGAUGAAACCGGGAAGUUUGGUUGAAAACCGGGCUCUGCGGGGGGGCAAAGUUUCUAAACCGAAAAACUCUUUUUCUCGGAGACUUCGGGCGCUCCGGGGCUUUCUUCUAGUGCUAAGGAGGUCCCCUAGGCUUCGGGGGUGUUUAGGGUGGAUAGAGAGAGAAAGAGAGAGAGAGAGAGAGAGAGAGAGAGAGUAGAGUAGAGAGUGAAAGAAGUGUGAAAUAUGUGAGAAAACAUGGCUAGCCUCGCAUCCUAUUUAUAGUCAGGAGGUCUCGCAUUACGUUGGGCGUUCCUCGGUCUACAUGGGGUGUUCCUCGGUACGCAGGGCGUACCCUCGUACGCGGUACGGUUUGCGAGGUUCGGAUUUGUCACCCUUCAGAUGGAGCUAUGUGGCCAAUUCCGGACCUAGCCUUUGCGAACGCGGGGUGUUCUCUUCGGAUAGCCUCGAAAUAUGUACCUCUUACUUCAAAAAUUCAUAUAUUUUGCAUACGAGCUCCGUUUUCGACGUUAUUUAUAUCCACGCGUAGGCAGGACCGUACUCUACAACUUUUGUUUAGACUCAGUUGGCUAAAUUUGACUUUAUUUUUAAAGUUAUAUUUUUAACAGGCCGGGACAGGAAAAGUCUAUUAAAAAUUCAUAACUUCUUCAUCCGACGUCCGUUUUCGUUUUUCUUUUAACCGUUGAACUACUAUUGACGAGAUCUUCGAUUCUUGUUUAGGUUGUGUCGGAUAAAAAUCCCUCGAUUAUAAUUCGAGCUACGGGCUGCACACUGCUAUGCUAAAUCUUAGAAAAUUCAUAACUUCCUCGUACCAAGUCAGAUUUGGACCUUCUUUUUAUGCACGCUCUUGAUUUAACGUAUACUAGGAUUUUCAUUUAGAUCGCUAAGGCUAAAAUGCACUUUAUCGUAAACUCACUUUUUACGUCACGCAAUAUCGUGCUAGUUUUGUCGUGAAACUUUAACAGGUCAUAACUUUUUUGUGAUAACUUGGAUUUCGGCAUUCUUUAUAUGUCCGAAAUCCUUGUCACGACCACUACAACUUUCUUCAUAGAUAUCAGAUUUAUAUAACAUUUUAUUUUUGAUGCUUAUUUUCAUUCUUAAUUUAUUAUAUCAUUAUAAAUAAGUAUAUAAUCACAUAAAAUCACGUAAUUCACAUAAUAUUCAAGUAAUUCAUCUUUAUUACUUUAAAAUAGGUUACAAUAGUUGACCUUGACUAUUACAUCAUCAUACUAAUGUUUAGCCCAGAAACAAGGGCAUUAGAACGAGUAUGUUACUAGGGAGAAGAGAAAGAAAAAGAGAAACGGAAAACAUGAAGGUUUCACGAGAACUUCUCACUGAUAUCACUAUUCCCGUCGGUAACGUCAUGGACAUUGCCGGUGAUAAGGUUACCUCGUUACCAGAGGCAUUUUCGGUGAAAAACGACAUGAGUGAAGCUUUUCAUCGGAGUUGAUAGAGAGAAAAAGAGUAACACGGAAGAGGGAAGAAUGAAGUCGCUAAGGGUAUUAUUCGUGUCACACUUUAGCAACGAUACCAUUUAGUGGUGUCGAAAGACAUUUGUGGCAACUCGAAACGUAAUAGUCGCGACACACUUUUGAGGGAAUAAUUGGCAGAGGGUUCGAGUAUUAGCGGUGACACCGUUGCUGGUAUUAGUUAGUGGUGUGUAUGGGGCGGUUUGGUUCGGUUAUUGGUUAAAACCGAACCAUAACGAUUAUGAUUGGUUAAUGCAUUUUGGUAGCCAUUGGGUAUGGUUAAUAUUGGUUAUGGUUAGUAGUUUUUAUCGGUUAACGGUUUUGGUUAAUGGUUAAUAUUGGUUAACCAUAAUGUUCAAAAUAAUAUAAACGACGAAAGUAUUUUGGCAUGAAAAAUGAAAAUAAAAUACCAAAAAGUCCUCGACGCCGAUGUUUGUAACCUAACUUAUAGUAAUAUAAUAAAAUGUGUAUCUGUAAUACUUAGAGUGAGAUAACACAUAGUCACAUUUAAAAUCAAAAAUAUUUAAUAAAAAUAUAAAACAUUAAAAAAAUUGACAUUAAUAAUUUCAUAUAUUGAUAAUUGAUAUUAAUAUUAAAAUAAAGUCAAACAUUCAUACACGUUCAAUACGAUUAAAUUAAAACUAUUAAAUAAAAAAGCCAAACAUUCAUAUUCUGUGUUAUUAGAUAUAAAAAAAAAAAAAAGUCAAUCACUCAUCUACAUUCAAUGUGAUUAAGUCAAAAACACUAAAAAAAUUCAAAAAAUUAAAAAAAAAUACAUUCUUAAUAUAUCACAUAGUUAAAAAGAACCAAAAACUUAACUUACCUAGAAGUCUUGAGUAUAAAGUCAAAAAAAUCCUUCGAAUAGGACUAUAAAGUCCAAACAAUCUUUGAUUAUGAUUAACGGUGUGAGAAGCCUUCGAUUAGGAUUAUGAGUGUGAAGAUUAAACUAAUUGUGAAUAAUGUUUACAAAUUGUAGAAUUAGCCGAUUAUGAAUUACAACAUUAAUUAAUAAUCUAACUCAAUGUAUGAUUGGAAGAUUAUGUGUGUCUGAGUGAUCAGUCUUUGAUGAUUUGAUUGCUCGUUCGUCUCCUGGUAAGUGAAGAUUAAUAGAUUAUAUUUUCAAAAUUUUAAUGGAUCUUAAAUAAGUUUGACUAUAUNUCUCUUUCUCUCUCUCUCUCUCUAUAUAUAUAUAUAUAUAUAUAUAUAUAUAUUAAAAUAUAAAGUUAGCGGUUCGGUUAAUAAUGGUUCGGUUAACCUAUAAAACCAUAACCGAACCGUUAGUUAUUGGUUAACAAAAAUUAGAAACCGAACCAACGGUUUUUAAAAUGGUUCGGUUAUAACGGUUAAUUUGGUUUUGGUUCGGCUUUUCGGUUAUUAUGCUCACCCCUAGUAUUAGUUUCGCCGUUAUUGUUAUGUACGAAAUCAUUUUUCAAGUGUUGGAUUAUGACAAAAUCGACGAAUAGGGUUUAACCUCAGAUUUUGACGCGGAUCGGGGUUGAUGAGUUUCGCCUUUAGCGGUGACAACCACCAUUACAACGAGACCUAAUCUAAAUGUUGGGUAUCGCUUGUAAUGGUGGUUGUCGCAACUAAAGGAUUCGCCACUGAAGUCCUAUAUUGUUGUAGUGAUAAAUGUUAAACCUAAACACCAAUUUAAACACACCAACCACUAGAAAUUGGUGGCGACAAGUUCAUGGCAUUAAGAGCGAUAACAAAUGGUGUAUAAAUCCAUUAUGAUCUUCGUUGCGAUUUAACAGAACAUAUUUGGACGGUUAAUGAUUUUGAAGCUCAAUUUUGGAACAAUUUUUUUUUUGAUCCAUCAUGUUAUUAAGUUUUAAGUUUUUAAUUUUUUGAGUUGUUAUGGUUUAGUUUCUUGUUGUGUAAUUUUUAUUUUGAUUUAAUAUAAAAUUUAGUUUUUAAAAAAUUAAUUGCUAAAAAAAGUACUGAUGUUAAAAAAAUGAUGUUAAUCCGCCUAACCUAAAUGUAAAUGGUAUGUUGAAGACGGUGUGUAGCAAAAUCAAAUAUAAGCUGCUGGUUGAUGCAUCGGGUAUUGUAUUACGUGAGGUUGAUAGUUUGAUUUGUUGAAAUUAUCUUUUGUGUGUUUGAGAAUUCUUUUAUGGAAGUCCCUAUAAAAAGGAGUUCAAACUCAAAUGUUGGUUGAAAUAUUGCGAGUACACUUCACUUAAUUUGAUUGCGGUUAGGAAGCAAUUUAAUUUCUCAAAAGAUUAAAUGCCACUAAUAAAUUAAAAAAAUAAACUAAAAAUCAACACCAAAUUAAUGCCAAAGCUUUAAACCAUAUAUUACUAAAUUAAUUCACAUACGCCAUCAAAAAAAAAUUCAUGUCACAAACCCAUACUCAUAAAACUCACUUUCCAGGUACAAAGUUUGUAGCAUAUGACCAUGCAUUGUUUGCAACAGGGUCAGCAAGGUGGUCAGCGAGGUUCUCCAAUGGUCCCUUUCCGGUAACAAUGGCUUGAACAAAGAAUCCAAACAUAGAGAACAUGGCUAGUCUACCGUUCUUGAGCUCCUUCACUUUCAGCUCAGCAAAUGCCUCUGGGUCAUCAGCCAGACCCAAUGGGUCGAAGCUACCACCAGGGUAAAGUGGGUCAACUACCUCACCAAGAGGUCCACCAGCAAUUCUGUAACCUUCAACUGCACCCAUCAAGAUCACUUGGGUAGCCCAGAUGGCUAAAAUGCUUUGUGCAUGGAUCAAACUUGGGUUCCCCAAGUAGUCAAGACCACCCUCACUAAAGAUCUGGGAUCCAGCCUUGAACCAUACAGCCUCACCAAACUUGACACCAUUACGCGCCAAGAGUUCGGGGAAGACGCACCCAAGAGCUCCGAGCAUGGCCCAUCUGCUGUGGAUGACCUCAAGCUCACGGUUCUUGGCGAAUGUUUCAGGAUCAGCAGAGAGCCCAGCAGUGUCCCAACCGUAGUCACCGGGGAACUCACCGGUCAGGUAAGAUGGGGCUUCGCCGGAGAAUGGGCCAAGGUACUUAACACGGUCGGGGCCGUACCAUGGACUUCCUGAUGGUGCGACUUUCUUGACUGCUGUCUUCCUCAUGGAAACCCUUCCAUUUCCGGUGAUUUCUGAACCAGAUGGUGUUAUUUUCACUGCUUGUCCGAUGAAUGAAGAAGAUACAGACAUAGUGGAAGCUGCCAUUCUGUUAAAUUUGGUUGAAAGAUGUUGUGGAGAUAGGAGAGUUUGAGUUAUGAAGAUGGGGAGAUCUGCAAGUUUAUUUAUAAGGUGGUUUUUUGGUCAGAUAGAUAUGAUCGAUGCUUAUCUAGAUACAAUCUUCACCUUCAUUUUGAUUGGCAAACAACAUUCUAGUUUUAUCUAAGGGUCAGUAAUCUGCGUGCUGUGAGUUCUCUGGUCCACCAGAGAUUUUUGAAGGGGCUGCGGUAUAUUCAUGGCUCUGGUUUAUUGAGGGAAUGUAAUGGCUCCCAUUCUCAGCCACAAGCUGUUCUUGGUGGGGUUUUUCAUCUUUAACCAUUUUACAUUUUCACAAAGUUACAUAAAUAGUCAUCAUGCUUUACAAAGUCACCGGUUCAGCAACAAACUUUUUUUCCAUGAUUAAAAAUUCAAAACGGUCCGUAUGGUUUUAAUAUUAUUAGUAAUCAUCUUAACAUUUCUAAUUUUUAAAGACAAAUAUUCAUAUAAAUGGUUAUGUGAUUUUCCAGAAUAUCAAGUGGAGCACAUCAUUUUUUCGGUCUUAUGGAAUGACUAUUUGGUUUCAAUUCCUAUCAUAAUUGAUCUUAGAGCAUCCACAAUAGGGGAGUUUAAUGGAAGAGUUGAAUGAGGUGUCAUGCCUACUUGUCAUUCAAUGGAUACAACUCCACCAUUGUGAAAUGCCACCUUGGCAUUCAAUGAAUUUGGAGUUCAAUGGUCAUUGAACUCUUCAAUGGGAAAAAGGAAAAUCUUUAAAUCUUUAAAUAAAUAUUUUUUAAUAUAUUCCAUUGAACUUGUAGAGUUUAAUGCAUUGUGGGAUAAAAAUGAAAAGAGUUGUAUGGAAUAAUGAAUGAUGACGUGACACUCCAUUGAACUCUAUAGAGUUCAAUGCAUUGUAGAUGCCCUUAGUCCCACAUAAAUAAACUUUUAUACCCUUCUAUAUUAUAAUUAGUUUAUUUAAUAUAUAAAUAGCUAUGUUUUAUAGUUAACAAUAAAUUUUGUUCAUNNNNNNNNNNNNNNNNNNNNNNNNNNNNNNNNNNNNNNNNNNNNNNNNNNNNNNNNNNNNNNNNNNNNNNCUCUCUCUCUCUCUCUCUCUCUCUCCCAUCACACCCUCCUAAUCUUUAUUUCUUUCACUCGAUCGGUCAACCUCUUUUCUUUCUACAUAAAAAUUAAUCCAAAAUGCAGCCUUUUCCCAUACUCUGUGCUUGCACCGCCACUUUACCUUCUUGAAACCAAAUUACUAACCAUACACAAGUCUACAAAUCUACUAAUGUGUCUUCCAUUUCUCAAAAUCGAAAAAUAGAGAAGGUGUAGAACAUUGAGCUCACUUCUGUGCAUCUCCCACCUCUUUUACACAAAUAUGAAAUUAAAAUUGAAGAACAACUUUGUGAAGAACCUAGAUUGUGGAGAUGAUGAUGAAUAAAGUCGAUAGUUGGUGGUGCUCGGUGAUGUUUGAUGUUAGCGGCAGUACACUAGUGUUGUGGUGAUCGCCUGUUCAGUUGGUUAUAUUCUGGUAGGGUGGACGAUGGUGACCGUAGAACAGUUCAUAUAUAUAUNNNNNNNNNNNNNNNNNNNNNNNNNNNNNNNNNNNNNNNNNNNNNNNNNNNNNNNNNNNNNNNNNNNNNNNNNNNNNNNNNNNNNNNNNNNNNNNNNUAUAUAUAUAUAUAUAUAUAUAUGUGUGUGUGUGUGUGUGUGUGUGUGUGUGUGUGUGUGCGCGCGCACACUACAAGAAAUUUAGGUGUUUAUCCACACACGUUAUAUGUGGCUAAAAGACCUUUAUGUGUAGUUAUCUUUAGCUACACACAGAUUAAGUGUCAUAAUGUAUUGACUCAUGCCUAUAGAUAUAUAUCAUUAACUAUACAUUCAUUAUGUGGAAGUAUAGUGCAAUUAGUACACACAUACAUGUGUGGUUAAAACUAGUAAGUAUGUGCAUAUAGAAAGGGAGCUGAUCCGUUCACAACAAUUUUUCUCCAUACACAAUAAUUGAUGCUUUAAAAUGUUGUAUUAUACAACUAUAUAAUGCAUGAAUUGUUGUGUAUGGCAAAAAACUGUUGUGUACGAAUCACUUCCCAUAUAGAAGUACUAAAAAUUGUUUGAGUUGUCAACGAUGUGGCUGAUGACAUGUCAAAUUAUGUGGCAAGCCCACACAAAGUGUUGGUGAUAUGUGUUAUUCGAUAUGUGUGGGUAAUAAUUGUUAUAUGUGUAGGUUAAGAUAAGAUAUAUGAAAUAUAUAAAACACAAUAAAUGAAAUAUAAAAUUUAACAACACAAAUUGUUAUUACUUUUAAUAAGGAGUUAACGAUAUAUAAAACUUCUUUUGGAAUGGAAGUAUGUAGCACCCAAAGUCAGAAAGGCCAAGAAAGGAAAGGAAACCCUAAGUUUAAGGGACGACUCAGCAAGUCCAAGGAGGUACUCGGCGAGUCCGAGCGGGAUCCGGGUCGAGGAGUAAAUGACCGACUCGGCGAGUCGGCCAAGGAGACUCGGUGAGUCUGGUCUGUACGAGGAAAUCCCUAAAUUCGGGACUUGGAGCCUAUUUAAGCGCCUCAUUCUCUUCUCUAGGGUUCCUCUACUGCCUCUCUAACCNCUCAACCCCACCCCCGCCCCGCCAUAUCCAUUGUUGAGCCAAUUAUUGCUUUGAAGAGUGCAUUAAAGCUUGGAGAAGGAAGAAGGACCUUGGAGGUGCAAGAAGGAGCUAUAGAUCUGGGCUUGGGAAGAUAUUUCUGAACAUUUGGAGGUAAUAAACUAGUUCUUGGACUCCUUUGCACCUAGAUCUAUGUGUGAGUUUUGGGGCUUUUGGCCAUGAUUGGUACCCAUUUAAGUUAGAAGCCAGAUCUAAAGUUGCUACUUCGGAUAUAAGCAUAUUAUGGGCUUGUGAAGCAUAAAGUAUCAGCCCUUGAGUUGAUUAUGGAGCCUCUUUGCAUUAAACCCUAUUUUAUGGUGUGUCUAGCCUAGAUCUCCUUCUCUACACGUAAAGUUUGCAACUUUACGUGAGGAAUAGGCUUGGGAAGGGUAGAUCUACAGUUUGGGGUCCAUGCAUGACUCAAAAGUCCUCUACAUGUAUGUAGAUCUGAAUGGACUCGGCGAGUCCUUUGAGUGGACUCGGGGAGUAGCAUGAAGAUUAGGAGGAACUCAACGAGUGGGAUGAACAGCUCAUCGAGUCGGAUGAAGUUGGGCAGGAACUCGGCGAGUUGGAAGAACAACUCGGAGAGUCGGUUGAAGAUUGCCUUGGACUAGGUGAGUCUGUUCUUGGACUCGGCGAGUCAGGUCGCGAAACCCUAAACCCUUCGACUUGAGACUCGAAUCAGUGAGUCGAGUGGAGACUCGGUAAGUUGGACAGGUCAGGACUCGGAAAUCGGUAGACUCGGCGAGUCAUGGACUGACUCGGUGAGUCGAGUCGCGAUUGGAAGGACUUAGAGCAUAUGAACUCGGCGAGUCAAUAGGUAGACUCGGCGAGUAGGGUUGACCUGGAAGAUUGACUUUGAACAGGACUUUGACUUUGACCAGAGUUGACUUAGUUGACUGUUGGGGGUCAGUUAGUCUAAGUGUUUCAUUGAUAUUGGUAGCUCGGGGAGCUAGUGGAGCAGGAGUUCAGAGAGUUUCCGGGCAGCAUCCAGAAGGUUAUCAGCAUGUUCAGCAAGUGCAUGUGAGUUUCCCUUUGUGCCAAUGGGUCUACGGUCACAAUGUCGGCCCAUGUAGUUAUGAGUAGAAGACCCGGGGGUUAGCCCUAGGCACAGUAUGCUAGUAUGAUAUUCAGGACGAGGUCCAAUGAUAGCGGGCGGGUGCCCAAGGAAUGGUUUAUGUGAUAGUUUAUACUUGUUGUAUGUGUGAUACUUGUAUGUGUCUGGUAGGGAGGUGAGUGUGGGCGAGGUCCCGUAUCUCACCAAUAGCAGAGUGUGGAUGGUGUUCCACAUCUCAGUAGCAGCAGAGCAGGGGCGAGGCCCAAGUUAGGGAAGGAGUGAGGGUGGGCUGGGCCCGUACCUCACUAUCAGCAGGAGUAUGGACGGGGUUCCAUGACUCAUCAGUAGCAGGACAAGGGCGGGGCCCAGAGAUAGGCGAGGCCUUAGGACAAGAUCCGUUAGUAUGUGUUUAGCUUAUGUGAUGUGAUGUGAUAUGUUUAUGUGCUAUUAUAUGUUAGUGGGCGAGGCCCUGUGACAGGCGAGGCCUAAGUGAAACAGAUCUGUAUCCGAGCGGGGCUCGAAGCCAGGCGGGGCCUGGAGCGGCGGGGCCGUUGUAGCGGGCGAGGCCCGAGGUAGGGGGGGAGGCCCAGGAUAGCGGGCGUGGCCCAGCGUGUGCAGUAUGUGGUUAUGCAUGGUAUGUGGUAGGGUGGGGAACUCACUAAGCUUCGUGCUUACGGUUUUCAGUUUUGGUUUCAGGUACUUCCGGUAGCGGAGGGAAGAGCUCGGGGGUGAUCGCAUGGCACACACCAUAGAUUAGACAGUCUGGGAAUGUUUUACUCUGACAAUGAACAUGUGUUUUGGAAAAUUAAUACUCUGAUUAUGUUUUGAAUUGGUGACCUUGCUUAAAGAAAUCUUUUAUUAAAAGAAAUUUUUAGUCAUGAAUUUUGGGACGUUACAAGUUGGUAUCAGAGCCUUGGUUUGAGGGAUUCGGGCAUACUCUCGGGUGUGCCUGAACUCAAACUAAGGGGUCGGAUAAAAAGUUUUCAAAAUGAAAAGACAGUUUUCUAAAAAGAGAGUUUUGGGAAAGAAAACAGUUUUAGAAAAGCAAAAAGAAUUCAGAAAGAAAAGAACUUUGAAAAGAAAAAAAUGGUGUGGUGCAUGCAAUCAGCUGGUCUUAAGUAAGUACCCCAAAUUACCCAUACAAGUUUAUGUUAUGAUUAUCAGUUAGUAGAACAGCAUGCUAGAUUAGGACUAAGGAUCUAGGGAGGAUGCCUUAUGUGCCUAUUAUAUGUGCUUUGAGUUGCAUGAUAGUGUUGAUUAGACAGUGGUAGGAUAGCCUGUUUAGGUUAUGCCUGAGUAUAUGAGUUUGUGUUGCAUGCUAGUUCAGAUUCUUGCUAUGUGGAUAUGAUUGCUUAUGUAUGUUAUGGUUAGAUUUUCCCCUUGUCUGAAUGCUGCCUGCUUUGUGCAAUAUGGGAUUCCGAGUGAUGGGAGUAACCAUUAGGUGGAUACGUCACGUCACAUGUGAUCAGGGUUGAAUAAUCUCAGAGUGCUAAAUUUGGCCCUAUUUCGCAGCUCUCGUUUGAGUCCAACCAUUGUAGGGAUGAGUCUUUUACUCGAAGAAUUAUCUGAGCCUUGUCACAUGUGAUGGUGUCCAGUUGAUGGCCAAUUGGCAUCACAAGGAGUCCUUCAGCAGCUGAGGCCUGGUUUGGUGUGAGUCAGAGGUUUCCUUAGGGUAAGCCUAGGAUGAGAUAGUGUUGGGAGCAGUAGUAGUGGAUAAGGGACCUGGUGGAGUCGAAGCAAUUCCNGAGGAAAGUACAGAUAGAUAUGGAUGGUAGUAUGGGCCCGUACUACUGAAAGCAGAGGAUCCGUACUCGAUUCGGGAAAGGCUGAGACAAGACCGAGAACCUAGUAGGGUGAGUGUGUGUCUGGUCUCACAGCAGUGAUAAGUAUUCUGAUAGAGGAUGUAUUAUAUAUUCAGCAUGGUGACAUUGCGAGAGAGACCAGUGGGUGGACCAGGCGCCGGAGAGGGAUCGCUCGGGGUCNAGCAGCUCGAGGAGCGGAUGAGGGAGUUGAUAUCAGCUGAGGUUACGCGCAGUAUUCUAGAUCAGACUCCUGUGAUCUUUGGCACGGUCAAGGAGGGUAUAUUGGAGAUUUUGGAUGAGAGGCUGGGAGCCUUCCGUACCGAGAUGAUGGCAUUGAUGGGAGCACGUACCUUGACAUUUCGAGAGUUCAGGGCUUGCGGGGCACCAGAUUAUCAUGGGGCUAGGGACCCCAUCGCUAGCAGCAGAUGGUUGGUUGAUGUUGCCAAUGCAUUCCGUACGAGCCGGUGUCCUGAGGGGGACAAGGUUAGGCUCGCUUCUUGUCUUCUGAAGAACAGAGCAAGGGAUUGGUGGGAGGAGAUUAGUCAUGCCUUGGGGGAUGAUGUCGCGUUGGAUGCGAUGACUUUGAGCGAUUUCUCGUCCAGGUUCAGGGCGGAGUUUUCGCCGAUUAUUGAGGUGCAGCAGUUGCCACAGGAGUUUCAGGAUUUGACGCAGACCACUGAGACUGUGGCGGAGAUCACCGCCAAGGUCAGGGAGAGGGCUCUUCUUGUACCGCAGUGUGUCGCGGAUGAGGAGAUGAAGAAGGCCCGAUACCAUGAGAUGUUGAGGGAUGAUAUCAGGGUGUUCGUGAUCAGGUCCAGCUGUAAGACGCUAGAAGAUAUGAUUUCUCGAGCUAGAGAGAGGGAAAUUGAUUUGGAGCAGAUCCGGAAGAGGAAGCCGGAUGAGGUUUAGGUAGCCACAGGUUCGGGCAAAAGGCCUAAGGGAUCAGAUUCGAGAUCGAGGGAUUAUCAGGACCGCAGUCGGUGCGGGAAGUGUGGCAGGGCGCACAGGGGUGCGUGUAGGAGUGGUAGCGGUGGUGAUUCUGGCUGCUUCAAGUGCGGUCGGACUGGUCAUUUCAGUAGAGAUUAUACUGUUACCACCACACAGGGAUCAGACUUGAUAUGUUUUCACUGCAAUCAGCGGGGCCACAAGAAGGCCCAGUGCCCCAGUUUGUUUUCAAUAGGACGGGUGAUGACACUUGCCCCUGCAACUUUGAGGAUCACAGACGGCCGUCAGGGCCGUGCAGAGGCGCCUGCGGUAGGAGGCAGGUCUUUUCAGAUGACUACCUUGGAGGCGCGAGCAGCACCGGACGUUGUAGGUAUGCGAUUUUGUUUUCAGUUCUUUUAUUUGUGCAUGAUUAUAUUGUUAUGGUUCUGGAUCAUCAUUGGUUUGAGUAUUUUAUUUUUUGAGCGGUUGAUUGUGAUCGAGUUAUAUGCCAUCUUAAUACCUUGGAUAUUUGAAUGGUAGUUAGGAGAUGUGCUCUAUUAGAGAAGGUUUCAUAGGAUGCAGUAAUUGUAGCAUGCCUGGGAGGGACUUGGUAUGUCUCGCUAGAUCGGAGUUGUAUAAUGUUAGAGAUGGAUUGGUUAGAUCCCUAGCUAUGGUGAGCUUGGGUUCCUCAGCAGCUUGAUUAUGGAAUGGUAGCAAGGAUUGGGAUUCUUUUGAGUAUUGAGCAGCAAGGGGUAAGCAGGAUCGAAGUGGGGGAGAAUCCUCCGAGUGUGCAAAGGUAGGAUCACGCAGACCCAAAAUGAGUGCGCGACCUCCGAGAAGGAAAAGAAGUAGUUCAGCGUUUGAUGGAUUGAGGAUUUCAGGGUUGGGAUUUUGAGAAACUCCCCAUCAGCUAGUGCGUGUGAUGGUGAUGGUUAGUAUGUGGUUGGGAAUUCAGGUUGUGGAUCGCCCGUAGGACUCGAGGGAGUCGGAAUGAGGAUCUUGAGAGCUAAUGGCACAUGGGUGCCUUCGUAUUAGCAGUCAGUGGUAGAAAGUGAUGUAAGACUACGGGGCAGCCGUAGCAUUCACUAACAGUUAGUGGUAGAAAGUGAUGUAAGACUACGGGGCAACUAUAACACUCACUAGUAGUCAGUGGUGGAAGUGUUGUAAGACUACGGGGCAACCAUAGCAUUCACUAGCAGUCAGUGAUGGAUGGUGAUGUAAGACUACUAGUAAGCCGUAGCAUUCCUUAGUAGCUUCGUUAGCGGAGUUGGGGCGAGGCCCUUAUCUCCUAGCGAUCAGAUAGGGAUCAGGAAUGGGUAGUGGAUGAAAGUGAUAGGAAGUUUGCUUGUAUAGCCCUAGAGAGGUGAGACCUUGGGAGAGGCCGCUCCAGGAUAUAGUUGGGUGAGGCCUGUGGGCGAGGCCCGUAUGAGAGUAGCGGUAUAGGUGAGACCUGAGAGUAGGGUUGCUCAGUAGUAUGGCCGGGUGAGACCCGUAGGCGAGGCCCGAGAGAGAGUGGUUAGACAAGUAGGACUAGAAGGAUAGAGGCGGGGGGGACCCGUGGGCGAGGCCCGUGUGUUUUAGCGGCAUAGGGGGGACCUGGUAAGGACCUUAGUGUCAAGAUAAGGGAUCGGGGAUCCAUGGAUUGUAGUGACUGAAUGGCAGAAUAGAUUGCGCAGUUAUAGGUGGUCAAAGUUCCUUCGAAAGUCGCUGGGAGCGACUAGGAGUAGUGUUGGGACUAGCGACCGGUGGGAUCCGGUAAUCCAGAUAUUGGUAGGACGGUAGGGAUUAGGGUGGUCUCAGUUCAUCCGGAAGGCAGAUAAGGAAUAGCAGAAUUUUCAGUCAGUAGUAGUGCGGGUAAGCAGUGUAUGGUGGAAUUCAGUUAGUUGUAUCGAGGGGUGCUCGACACCAAGUUUUGACAGAGAGGAGUGUCAGUGGUUACUGGCGGUGAUGACCUGUACUGGAAGUAGCGGGGGUGAUGGAGUUGGCGAAGGAUAUGACCUUCACAGUGACAGAGGAAAUAGUUGGUUAUGGAGCAUUGCCUUGGGAAGGCAAGGAAUUCGCACAAGGAAAGAAGGGGUGAACCCCUAUAGGUUCAGUACAGUACUCGGUGAGUACCGGAAGGAUUGUCGGUUGAGUAAGUUGUGUUUCCAGGAUGUUCAGGGUCAGGGUGACCUGAGUCUAUUAUCCGCAAGGAAUGAUGUUAGUCAGAAUGACCGGGCGGAAGACCAGCGAAGGUAGGCAGCUGGUGUUGGAAUGAUUAGUUGGGUAUUGAAAGCAUAUCGCAGGCAGUGGCCCAUAGCAAACUUCGAGGAUGAAGUUUAGUUUAAGUGGGGGAGAGUUGUAACACCCAAAGUCAGAAAGGCCAAGAAAGGAAAGGAAACCCUAAGUCUAAGGGAUGACUCAGUAAGUCCAAGGAGGAACUCGGCGAGUCCGAGCGGGAUCCGGGUCGAGGAAUAAGUGAACGACUCGGCGAGUCGGCCAAGGAGACUCGGUGAGUCUGGUCUGUACGAGGAAAUCCCUAAAUUUGGGACUUGGAGCCUAUUUAAGCGCCUCAUUCUCUUCCCUAGGGUUCCUCUACUGCCUCUCUAACCCAGAACACCAAACCCUAGCCGCCAUAUCCGUUGUUGAGCCAAUUAUUGCUUUGAAGAGUGCAUUAAAGCUUGGAGAAGGAAGAAGGGCCUUGGAGGUGCAAGAAGGAGCUAUAGAUCUGGGCUUGGGAAGAUAUUUCUGAACAUUUAAAGGUAAUAAACUAGUUCUUGGAAUCCUUUGCACCAAGAUCUAUGUUGAGUUUUGGGGCUUUUGGCCAUGAUUGGUAUCCAUUUGAGUUAGAAGCCAGAUCUAAAGUUGGAACUUCGGAUCUAAGCAUAUUUUGGCCUUGUGAAGCAUAAAGUAUCAGCCCUUGAGUUGAUUAUGGAGCCUCUUUGCAUUAAACCCUAUUUUAUGGUGUGUUUAGCCUAGAUCUCCUUCUCUACACGUAAAGUUUGCAACUUUACGUGAGGAAUAGGCUUGGGAAGGGUAGAUCUACAGUUUGGGGUCCAUGCAUGACUCAAAAGUCCUCUACAUGUAUGUAGAUCUGAAUGGACUCGACGAUUCCUUUGAGUGGACUCGGCGAGUAGCAUGAAGAUUAGGAGGAAUUUGACGAGUGGGAUAAACAGCUCGUCGAGUCAGAUGAAGUUGGGCAGGAACUCGGCGAGUUGGAAGAACAACUCGGCGAGUCAGUUGAAGAUUGCCUUGGACUUGGCGAGUCUGUUCUUGGACUCGGCGAUUCAGGUCACGAAACCCCAAACCCUUCGAGUUGAGACUCGAAUCAGUGAGUCGAGUGGAGACUCGGUGAGUUGGACAGGUCAGGACUCGGAAAUCGGUAGACUCGGCGAGUCGAGUCGCGAUUGGAAGGACUUUGAGCAUAUGAACUCGGCGAGUCAAUAGGUAGACUCGGCGAGUAGGGUUGACCUAGAAGAUUGACUUUGACCAGGACUUUGACUUUGACCAGAGUUGACUUAGUUGACUGUUGGGGGUCAGUUAGUCUAAGUGUUUCAUUGAUAUUGGUAGCUCGGGGAGCUAGUGGAGCAGGAGUUCAGAGAGUUUCUGGGCAGCAUCCAGAAGGUUAUCAGCAUGUUCAGCAAGUGCAUGUGAGUUUCCCUUUGUGCCAAUGGGUCUACGGUCACAAUGUCGGCCCAUGUAGUUAUGAGUAGNGGAAGGUUGACUUUGACCAGGACUUUGACUUUGACCAGAGUUGACUUAGUUGACUGUUGGGGGUCAGUUAGUCUAAGUGUUUCAUUGAUAUUGGUAGCUCGGGGAGCUAGUGGAGCAGGAGUUCAGAGAGUUUCUGGGCAGCAUCCAGAAGGUUAUCAGCAUGUUCAGCAAGUGCAUGUGAGUUUCCCUUUGUGCCAAUGGGUCUACGGUCACAAUGUCGGCCCAUGUAGUUAUGAGUAGAAGACCCGGGGGUUAGCCCUAGGCACAGUAUGCUAGUAUGAUAUUCGGGACGAGGUCCAAUGAUAGAGGGCGGGUGCCCAAGGAAUGGUUUAUGUGAUAGUUUAUACUUGUUGUCUGUGUGAUACUUGUAUGUGCCUGGUAGGGAGGUGAGUGUGGGCGAGGUCCCGUAUCUCACCAAUAGCAGAGUGUGGAUGGUGUUCCACAUCUCAGUAGCAGCAGAUCAGGGGCGAGGCCCAAGUUAGGGAAGGAGUGAGGGUGGGCUGGGCCCGUACCUCACUAUCAGCAGGAGUAUGGACGGGGUUCCAUGACUCAUCAGUAGCAGGACAAGGGCGGGGCCCAGAGAUAGGCGAGGCCUUAGGACAAGAUCCGUUAGUAUGUGUUUAGCUUAGGUUAUGUGAUGUGAUAUGUUUAUGUGCUAUUAUAUGUUAGUGGGCGAGGCCCUGUGACAGGCGAGGCCUAAGUGAAACAGAUCUGUAUCCGAGCGGGGCUCGAAGCCAGGCGGGGCCUGGAACGGUGAGGCCGUUAUAGCGGGCGAGGCCCGAGGUAGGGGCGAGGCCCAGGUUAGCGGGCGUGGCCCAGUAUGUGCAGUAUAUGGUUAUGCAUGGUAUGUGGUAGGGUGGGGAACUCACUAAGCUUCGUGCUUACGGUUUUCAGUUUUGGUUUCAGGUACUUCCGGUAGCGGAGGGAAGAGCUCGGGGGUGAUCGCAUGACACACACCAUAGAUUAGACAACCUGGGAAUGUUUUACUCUGAUAAUGAACAUGUGUUUUGGAAAAUUAAUACUCUGAUUAUGUUUUGAAUUGGUGACCUUGCUUAAAGAAAUGUUUUAUUAAAAGAAAUUUUUAGUCAUGAAUUUUGGGACGUUACAAAGUACAUUAAUCCUUGGUACAAAUAUUACAUCAACAAAAGUUAUCUCUAAGCUUUCAUGAAAUUGAAGACCUUAUGCCUAACACAACCAUUGUAUCUAGAUAAGAUUUUCCUACUUAUUUACUUUGUUGUGUGCAAAUAUUAAUACACUUGACUUAAGCAUCACCAACAUUUGGACAUAAUUGUUGACGUUGAGGUGGUUGGUUAGAGCAUUAGUCAACUUUAAUAUUCAAGUGAAGACGUAUCAAAUACAAGUGAUUGUAGUUCACUCCUAUAGCAACAAGAGGAGCAGAGGCUUUAAGUAGUUUAUCCAUUUCAACAUGAAACUCUUUUCACACAUGAACGAUCUUAUGACACCUGUCAAAUGCCUCUUAAAAUAUACAAUCAACACUUGGUCAGUAGCUUUCUUCUCUGUGGCCAGAACCAUGACCUCUUCAUUUCCCUAUAUUAAUGAUGACAGGUUCAUAAACUAAAAGGACUGUAAAGUCAAAAUAGUUGACAUUAUGUUGACAUACCUAGUGGUGUGAAGAGAAGAAUAAAUAGAAUGUUUGUAAUAAACCCGCUUUCUUGGGUGAGGAAACCAUGACACUUGUUCAGAAAUGAAACAUCCCAACUAGCACCUAACGACUUUUGCUACAUUGAGAUAUACUAGCAAACAACAUAAGCAAAUCACAUGGAAAAUUAUUACAAUUAAUAAAACUCAUAAAUAAAGUGGUAAAAACAGCCUUGCACACACUCUUGAUUAAAAAAAUAGUUUAUAUUAGUGUAACAUCCCGAUUUCUCGAUAUCAGUUUAAAGUUCUAGAGUCAUGUUUCAAAGACAACUCGACGAGUUGAUAGGCCAACUCGUUGAGUAGUGACCAAAUCAGCCAUGUGGAUUUUAGACCCUACUCGUCGAGUUGGAGGACCCGACUCGACGAGUAGGUGCUGGAAAGUGAAAACCAUAAUUUUUAGGGUUUGCACCCUAUUUAAAGGUCCUUAACUUUCCUCCUCAGCCUCCCUUGUCACCUUCACGUCCAAAAAAACCAACUAGUCUCUAUUCUUGAGUGUGUGAGACCAAAAGAGAGUGUAUUGGAGCAUUCUUAAGGAGUUAAGAGCUUUGAACAAGGGAUAGCUUGUAGAUCCAACUUUUCCAGUGUUGUGACAACAAUAUUGAGUUAUAAAGCUACCACCUUUAUAUUUCAUUGCUUAGAUCUUCCUUUUUGGUAAAGUAAUUGUCAUGUCUAGGGCAUGAUGGGGUCACACUCGGAUUUAAGCUUGCCACAAGGGCAUAGUUUUAGAACUUGACUUCUUAAGGCCUUAUGAACAUAAAUCCUUAAGCUUUAUGAAGCCCUAGCCCUCCUUCAUGUCCAAAACCUUCUCCUAAUGCUAAUUAUGAGUGUUUUAGCUUCAUAGAACCAUGCAUGCAUGUAAAGUUAGCAACUUUAUGUGAUAACAACACCCUAGGAGCAUAGAUCUACUGUUUGGAGCUUUGGAGCAGCUUAAAAUAGUCUGAAUGAGUGAUGGACUGAAGGAGACUCGACGAGUUUCAUGGUUGAAUCGAAGAGUCGGUUGAAGAUUGCCCAUAAUGGUUUUGCAUGGACUCGGCAAGUCAGUAAGAAGACUCGACGAGUCAGUUAGGGUUCUUCCUGACAUUUAGACACGCGUAGACUCGCCGAGUUGGUGGGGAAACUCUGCGAGUUGGCCCAGGGAUUUCACGGUUUUCUGAGUUUUGGAGGAACUCGAUAGGUCAGUAGUUGGACUCGACGAGUUGGGUCAACAUGGACUGUUGACCUUGACUGUUGACUUGGAGUUUGACCAGGGUUAACCAUGUUUGACUUUGGAGGGUAUUUGGUAAAUGGGUAUUUAAGGAAAUGGAUCAUGGGUGGAUAUAGGUAAUGGAGUUUGGGGCAGUAUUUUGAGAGCGUGAUUUCGUGGUUUAGUUCGGCAUUGCAAGGUGAGUUAUCCUCACUAUAUCAACAGGGUCUAAGGCACCAAGGUCAGCCCUUUAUCUGAUUUGUAUUCGGGUAUUUGCUUGAUAUGUUUUUUGAUCUGCUAGAUCUGCAUCCUGGUAGUUAGGAUGGUAUUAUGUUUAGUGACCUGGUUUAGGUCAGUAUCCUGGUAUAUGGGAUGAUGUUAUGUUAGUGACCGGUUAGGUCGGUAUCCUGGUUAUAGGACGGUUGUUGUGUUAGUAAUCAGUUAGUUUGGUAUGAUUAUCUGUUGUAUACAUGCUCGCGUAUAAUAUUUAUGUGCACAUGAUUGUUUGAUUGUUAUGGGGGUUGGGUUGAGGCGGGUCCUGCUUCGUGUUGUAGGCCAACAUACCCAUGGCGGACCGGAAAGACUACAGGCCCAGGAAGGCACAUUGUCCAACCAAUGGCCCAACGAGCGGUCCGGAUAGGCUGAAGGCCCCGAGAGGGUGGUCCAAACGUGCCGAGGCUCGGAGAGUGGGCCAGGUGGACUGAAGGCCCGGUGCGGGCGGUCCAGUCAUACUGUAGACUCAAAGAGUGGACCAGGUGGACUGAAGACCCAGUGCGGGUGGACCAGUCACACAGUAGACUCGGGAUGCAUGGCUGUUCAGUGUUUGUUAUAUGAUAUGAUUAUGGAUUGUAUGAGGUUGGUAUUUUGGGGGUAACUCACUAAGCCUUCGAGCUUACGUUUAUCAAUUUAUGUUUCAGGUACAACGAAUUAACCCAGGAAGACGAAUGUGUGAUCGUACACUUCCCCAUAAUAUGUUUUGGAUUUUCUGGGAUACUCUGAUGUGAAACUAUUUUGGAAACCUUUUUGUAAUAACUAUUGGCAUUUGAAAUGUUUUUAAAAGUUUAAAUUUGGCUUGGAUUUUAUGGGUGUUACAAUUAUUUCAAUUAUCCAAGACGAUUUUAUGUCGAGAUUUUAAGUUAACAUUAAAUCUCAAUUAUUUGUUUGAAUGAUUUUUUUCUUUUAUCUUAGAGAUUUGUUUGAAAUUUAUUAAUUUUUUUUAUAAAUUUGAAUUAAUCAAAGACACAUAUAAAAAUAUCUCAUCAAAUCAAAUAAAUUUAAUAUAUAAAAAAGAUAGUAUCCGAUUAAGUCAAUCUAAAAAUACCAACAUAUAAAUAUAACUCACAAAUCUUGAUGGGAAUAAGAAUCAAACUCAAAAUCAAUCAAAUAAAAAAACCUUUGAUUUGUGUUAUAAGUAUAAAAUAAAUCAGGAUUCCAAAUAAAUAUUACAAUGAAAAAAAACCUAAAAUGUUUGAAACAAAAUAUGAAAUUCGCCAUCACUGUCAAUUUAAAAAAAAAACCUUUAUUAAUACUAAUGGGCUAUUUGGUAGCAUCCUGAUGAAUCAUAUCUGAAUGAUCUAGAUGCCUGGAUGAUCUAGAUGCUCUUUAGGAAUUUCUAUCGGAAUGAUAAAAUAAUGUUUGGUUAGGCAUCUAAAUAUCUGCCUCUUAAUGAGGAAAAUAACCAUUUUAGCCCUCUAAAUUAUUUUUUGAAUACAAAAUAAACAUUAUACAAUAUCCAACAAAUCGGUUAAAACAAAUUGGCUUUUGAUAUUCAGAUUCAUGUGUUUCUUCAUCAACAAUCUCUUUGAAGAGGACUCGUUUUGUUUCUGUUUUUAGAUCAUUAGGCUUUCUUGCUUCUGGAACAUUGAUGGGCCUAUUUUCUUGCUGAAUAUCUUCCAUCACUAGCAACUUCAUCUUGCUCCUAGAUCACAUAUCAACUAAACAAGUUGAAAAAUAACCAAACACAUAUUUUCAUAUAGAACAUUUCAAGCAAACACAAACACAUUUUCAAAAAAAAAAAAACAAAUCAAUUGUUAUUUUCAGAUUUCCAAAGGACAAAAACAACAUCAACUGAACACAUAUAUAGAGCAAGAAGAACAAAGCACAAAAAUCGAUUUCAUACAAAAUCGAGCAGCAAGAACACGAUUGACACCAAUUUCAUGCAAAAUUGCUCAACAAUAACACGAUUGAAGCAACAGAUUCGAGAAAAAAAACCAUACCUGAAAACUUACCGACGACGAGUAGGCGGAGAAGUAGGAGCGUUGUCGAAGGCAUGCAAGGGGAGGCGGCGACGGAGCCAAUAAUUGGAAGUUGUCAACGCUUAAUGAAGAUAAAGAAUGAGGGAUGAAAGGUCGAUCUCUAGAAAGAAGGAGAAGAAAAAAGAGUCGGCCGCAAUUUGUUGUUAGGGCAAUGGUAGAAGAUGAAAAUUUUUUUAUUCAGACUUCUCCUCAUAUCUUAACGAAUCAGAUUAGUUUUAGCUACAUCUGACCGAUUAAGAGCGUAAAAAUGUUUCAACCAAACACUCUGAAUCUUAAUGAUCCAAAUGCAACCUCUUAAUGAGACCAUUAAGAGGCAAAACAAACAGCCCCUAAAUAAAAAAAACAAUAUAGUUUCCAUAAAAAUCGAUUUAAAUAUUAAAGAAGAGAAGAAAUCAGCAUUUAUACGACGUAAUAGUUUUUUAAAAUUAAAAAAAAAAAAUUAUUCAUAUUAUAAGUAUAAAAUACAUUUUAUUCUUAACUCUCAUUUGUAAUUUGCCAUAUGUUUUCAUAAGAGUUUAUGGUAAUAACUUAAAUUUUUAUUUUUCCAUAUACCAUUUUUCAUUUACAAAAUUGUUUGUGCUUAUUUUUUUUUGUUAUAUUAAAAUUUAUUAUAUUUUAUUAUAUAAUAUAUAUCAUAAUUUUUUUCAUUAAUUUACAUAUAUCUUAUUUUUACGUGUUUAUUUGAAACAAUCGUUAUAAUGCAAAAUAAAUACCACUUCUCCAUAUUAAUUAUUAAUUUUUAUUAAAAUACUUUAUUAAUUAUUAUAAUUUUUAUCUAUUGAUAUUCGUUUAAUUUUGUAAGUUUUAUUUUCACAAAGUAUAACCUAAUUAAUUUCUCAUCAUCUAUAGUAAAUGAAAGUUUUUUUUUUCACAUGCAAUCACUAAUUAAUUUUGACACUUGUCAUUUUAUAAUAUUUUUUAAAUAAAUAAUAUCCACAUAUCAAUUUAUGAUUUUUNNNNNNNNNNNNNNNNNNNNNNNNNNNNNNNNNNNNNNNNNNNNNNNNNNNNNNNNNNNNNNNNNNNNNNNNNNNNNNNNNNNNNNNNNNNNNNNNNNNNNNNNNNNNNNNNNNNNNNNNNNNNNNNNNNNNNNNNNNNNNNNNNNNNNNNNNNNNNNNNNNNNNNNNNNNNNNNNNNAUCAAAUGUAAUAAAUAUUAUUUUAAAAUUUCAUUUUAAAAAAUAUUUAUUAUUACAUUUUAAUAUUUUAUAUUCUUUAAUCAACCGUGUAAUACAUUUUAAUACAUAGAUUUUCCAUCUAAUAAAUAAAUAAAAUGUAACCAUUUUAAUCACUAAAUAAUUAAUCAACCAAAGAUUAAAACCCACUGAUAAAAAGGAAACUAAAUCAACACCAAAUUGAAAAUUAAACCAUAUAUUACUAAAUUAAUUCACAGAGAGUUCGACAUCAAUCAAAUAUUAUCUCGCACUCAAAUUCACAAAACUCACUUUCCAGGUACAAAGUUUGUAGCAUAUGACCAUGCAUUGUUUGCAACAGGGUCAGCAAGGUGGUCAGCGAGGUUCUCCAAUGGUCCCUUUCCGGUAACAAUGGCUUGAACAAAGAAUCCAAACAUAGAGAACAUGGCUAGUCUACCGUUCUUGAGCUCCUUCACUUUCAGCUCAGCAAAUGCCUCUGGGUCAUCAGCCAGACCCAAUGGGUCGAAGCUACCACCAGGGUAAAGUGGGUCAACUACCUCACCAAGAGGUCCACCAGCAAUUCUGUAACCUUCAACUGCACCCAUCAAGAUCACUUGGGUAGCCCAGAUGGCUAAAAUGCUUUGUGCAUGGAUCAAACUUGGGUUCCCCAAGUAGUCAAGACCACCCUCACUAAAGAUCUGGGAUCCAGCCUUGAACCAUACAGCCUCACCAAACUUGACACCAUUACGCGCCAAGAGUUCGGGGAAGACGCACCCAAGAGCUCCGAGCAUGGCCCAUCUGCUGUGGAUGACCUCAAGCUCACGGUUCUUGGCGAAUGUUUCAGGAUCAGCAGAGAGCCCAGCAGUGUCCCAACCGUAGUCACCGGGGAACUCACCGGUCAGGUAAGAUGGGGCUUCGCCGGAGAAUGGGCCAAGGUACUUAACACGGUCGGGGCCGUACCAUGGACUUCCUGAUGGUGCGACUUUCUUGACUGCUGUCUUCCUCAUGGAAACCCUUCCAUUUCCGAUUAUUUCUGAACCAGAUGGUGCUGCUUUCACUGCCUGUCCGACGAAAGAAGAAGAUAGAGCCAUGGUGGAAGCUGCCAUUUUUGUGAGAUUUAUUUUGAAGAUGUUGUGAUGGUUAUACUUAUGAAGAUGGGUAGAACUGGAAGUAGAUUUAUAGGGUAGUUUUUGGAUCAGAUAGGUGAUCAAUGCUUAUCUUGAUACAAUCUUUAGCUUCAAUUUGAUUGGCUACAGAGAUUCUUGUGGGUCCGUAAUCUGUGGUGUGAGUUCUCUGGCCCCCCUGAGAUAUUUUGAAGGGGCAGGAUAUUCGUGGCUCUGGUUUAUUGAGCCAAUGACUGGCUUUCACUCACUACUCUUAGUGGUGGUUUUUUAUAAUAUGCUGUAAGCUUGUAACCAUCCAAUCGUCUAAGUUUAUAACUGACCUAUUAUUACAAAUAUAUACUAACCAGGCAAAACUUUUGGUUAUAAAAGUUAAUGUGACCGAGAGACUAACACAAAAAAUUAUAACAGGAGUAGUUAAUAAUCCGCGAUUUACCGCUAUGCCGAGAGCCGUAGGGAGGAUCCACCAUUUACCCCUAAGUGUGCAGAAUGCCUUUUUUUUUUUAGUAUUAAAAUAUCAAGAUCGGACACGCGUUGUAAAAUUCUUGUUCGAAUUGUUUGCAAACUCUUCGUCACAAUAAGGGGAGUUUAAAUAUGCGUUUUAAUAUAAUAACAUUGGCAUUGAUUAAAUGUUAAUAUUCAAUUAUCAUCCCACAUGAGAAUGAAAUAUAUUAAUGAUUUAUUAAUCUAAAAACAUUAUCAUCCCACAUGAGAAUGAAAUAUAUUAAUGAUUUAUUAAUCUAAAAACAAUUUUUUUAUGUCAUUAUUUUUUGGGGUUACAGUCGAGCUUGGAGGAUCUCGACUUUAGGUAUGCCCAUUUUAUUGAGAGGAAUUACUAAUAAAUUUCGGAAAGAGGAAAAAAAUAUGAUCGUGGACAUAUGGUUUAGGAAUAUUUUCAUGUUCGUUUGACACAAGUAAAGUUCUUGAAAUGGGUGCUUCAGUUUGUACGAGCGGCUAACUUGAUAAAGUUCAAAGACAUAAAGGCAAUUUUCAAAAACUCACAUGAUCAGUUAUCGAACAAGCAUGUCGUACUAGUGUGCCCACUACACAUGUUAGUUAGCGGUUUCAAUAGGAAAAGAGCAUCAUUAGCUGUCAAUGAUAAUAUUCUUUCUCUAGUACUCGAUCCUUACGACUUUUAUAUUUAUAUCAUGUAAUUUAGAAUUUAAUUUAAUUUCUAUUAAUCUUCGAUUACAGUUUAUGUGAUCUAAUUCAUGGAUGUUUUGGCACUACAUAUCUCAAUGGAGUAUGCCAGGGAAAUUUUGGUCAUAACAACAGCCUCCAUGGGUUUAUAUAUAUUUUUAAGGUACAUAUAACAUCCUAUUUUUAGGCUUAGAAAUUUUGGUCAUUUAUAGUGAAAAUAAUUUUUUUUAAUAAAAAAAUAAAAAAGGAAAAAUAAAAAUAAAAAGAAUGACUGAAUGAAUACAUGAGCUAAUAAAAGGUUUAGAUCAAAUGUUUAAAGAAAAUAGCGAAUUUAUACUUAAAAUAGGAAAUAAAUAAGGAAGGGUCAGUGGUGGCAACUUUGGAAAACUUGUUUAAUUUAGAUCUAACUAGACAAUUUAUUUGUAAAGAGUUAAAAAUGUAACGAAAUGAUACUUAUAAGCUUAAGAGGGAGUUUUUCAGUUGGAAAUGUUGUUAGAAACCCUUAUUGGAAAAAAUUAGGACAAAAGGACUAAAAUUGUCAAGUUGAUGAAACUUGUGUUAACCUUAAUGUAACGACCCUAAAAUCUUAAAUUAUGUGUUUAAUUACUUUGUAUCAUUUUGUUGAAAAAUGAACAUUAAUGAUGCAAUAAUCAAUUUGUUAGUAAAUUUCAUUGUAUAUCCUUACAUUUAUCAUGUUAUAAUCGAAAAUAUAGGACAUUUCAGCAAAAAAUAACCCUGUAGGAAAGUCGCAUUACACCUCGAUAUAUUCGUGUGGAUAUAAAUUCUAUGAAAAUCCAAAUUUGUAUGACGAAGUUAUAGUCAAUAUAAGUUGGAAGUACAAAUUUUAAUGUUUAAAUGUGUAUGUUNNNNNNNNNNNNNNNNNNNNNNNNNNNNNNNNNNNNNNNNNNNNNNNNNNNNNNNNNNNNNNNUAUAUAUAUAUAUAUAUAACAUCUCAAAACCAUAAUAACCAUAACAUAAAAUCAGAGUUUCAAAACAUAUUAUCUCUCUAAACCAUAACAAUCACUGGAUGAUGUGUAGAGUCACGUGUAACAUCUCGUUUAAAAUUAGAUAAAUAAAAUAAAAUAAGUAAAUAAAUUAGAUAAAAUAAGUAAAUAAAUAAUAAACCCUAAAACCUCAAGAUGAAUUUUAUAUUUUUAUGUUAGCCUUAAAUCCAUAAUAAUUAUCAGAGUAUUAGCGCAAUAAGUUAAAUGUUAUUAAUUCUGGAAAUAGGGGUUUAAAAUGUAAAUUUCGAACUAGUUAAGAAUAGAUUUGUGGAAGCUGGGGAUUGUUUGGUAAUUUGGACUUGAAUUGAAAGGAUUAUUGGAAACAGGUAUAGAGUAAAUUACAGAUUUAAUUUGUAAAGGAAUUGAGAUGGAGGGACUGAAAAUAUAAGAAAGGGACUAAUGUUUGAAGAGAUAGGCAUGACUUAAACCCAUUCCCCCUCCACCCUCUUGCUACUCGGUUGCACCCAUAUAAACCCUAACCCUAAUAUCUUCUCAGCCGCCACCUUAUCCCUCCAUAUCUCCAGUCGCUUCCAUCACCUGUGUCGCCGUCAUGAACCACUGAGCACCACUGCCGCUGCUCCCACUGCCGAUGAAAACGAAGAUCAACGUUUGGACACCGUGACAGUGGGGAAGUAGGAAGAAAGGAAGCUCGUGGUUGUUAUUGCUGUUAUUCUCGGUUAGGGGUCGCAAAACCUUUCUCUUCUCCGUUUCCUUUUGUUGCUACGUUGUCAUCGUCAUCGCUCCAUGUGAGGGUGGUUGUGUUUGUGUUUUGUGAGUGUAGGUGUGUGUUGCUGCUGUGGCAAGUUGGAGAGGUGUGUGUGUCUUUUGUUGGCCAGAAAAACGAAGAGAAUCACCAUGGCAACCAACCAUGGUGGUUUUCACCGUUCUGGAGCCACUAGCCACCACCCUAGGUGGCUGUGUGUGUUGGAUUGACAUUUCUUCUGUACCAGGAUGCUUUUGAUAGUGUUUGGCCUAAAAUUAUAACUACCACCAUUAAAAAGUGGUGGCUGUCGCCUCCUACCGCCAUGGACCGCCGCCGACCACCAAUGCCCGAGGUGGCAGUGGGUGGUGUCUGACUUACUAAACAUUAAAUAACCUAAACAUCUAACCUUAGACCGAGUGGUACGUGUUUGGGUUGGAAACUCUUACUAGGCUUUAGAAAAUCCUAAGGUCAAGAAAACCCUAGUUUUGGAGUUUUGUCGGGACCCGCGUUGAAGUGUUAAUUGAACUUUAAUUAUACUCGAUAAGGCCCUACGAUUAACUUAAUGCAGUAUUGAACUUAAUGAAUUAAGUCCUUAAGGGGUUAUGUGUGGAGCACUAACCCUAGUUAUCAUUUUAUGUGGAAACCCUAAAAAUCAAGAAGCCUUAUUUUCGGCAAUGAUCAGGGCACAUAUUUGGGAUAUUCCUUGGAUUAUUAUUAUACCCGAGAAUGAAUAUGUCAAACCUUAAUCACUCCUACUUUUAUUUGAUUAAGUCCUUAAUGGGUUAAGUGUCCUUACUUAACCCUAAUCGUCAUUUUAUGUGGAACCCUAAUCACUAUUUCAUGUGAGGUAGUCACUGCUGCAAUUGACGAUGACUUGUGAUCGAGUAUUGAAUCAAGUAUCUUCCUGUAGGUGAUUGGAAGUGAGUUGAAGCUGGUAGAGUUCUUCGUUACUACGGUGGUUACCUACUAGCAUAUCGAGCUGAGUUUCACCUCACUGUGUUAGAUCUAUAUGCACAAGAAUCAUUAUUCAGUGACAUUGCUAAUAACAUAUGAUCCUAUAAGGUCACACUUUAAUCAAGUUGGUACUUAUUGAAUAUUUAUUAAGUAUUUUAUAAUUAAUAAUAAAAGUUCAACUCAUGUAUUUAAUUAAAGAAAAUUUAUUGUUUUGUGAAAAUAAUAAUAAAUGAAAGACUAACUANAUAUAUAUAUAUAUAUAUAUAUAUAUAUAUAUAUAUAUAUAUAAGUCAUGUACAAAGUUUUGGACACUUUCACCAAAGAUUGACAAACUAGCUAGUUAAUUAAGUGACUAAACAAUAAACUAGAAAAUCCAAUGGACCAUUUUAGUCCUUAAAACCAUGGGUUAUCAAGGCGAGGAGGUUGAAAGUCAACCUCCAACAUUCUUGUCCCCCAUGUUUGUUCAUUACCUUGCAUGUAAUACACACCAUGAUCAUAUUAUAUAAGGCUAGUUGUUUUAUCACUAUAUGACUAGAAGAAAAAAAUCAUUUACACUUUCAUCCAUAGAAUUGUAGGUUCUCUUGGCUUCUCCCUAUCUCUCACUUGAAGUUAGUUCUUGGUUUUUUAGAGUUCGUCUUUUGUGUCUUCCUUUUACACUUAUUAUCUAUGUGCUUAAGGCUUAAAGAGAAAAAUAUUAUACAAGAAGAAAUCUAGCAAUUUUGGUACCUUAUUCUUGUUGGUGGAUUACUUGUAGAGAAGAUCAGACUUGUUGUUCUUGCCAUCUACUUCAACACCCCAAAUCUAAGAGGGUCCAAAGUCUACGAAGGUUGUAUUUUCUAAACUCCCUAUGGUUGUUAUAAUAUCAUUCUAAGCACUUUAAAAGGAUCCUUGAUGGUUUGUUUUGUUUUCAAAUUUAUAAGAAAUUUUUAAAGCUUCCGUUGCCAGUUUUUGUGAAAAACUAUUUAUUUUAUGCAACAAACCCCUUCAGUUGUAACACUAUAAAUUUUCAAACAAAAUUUCCAUUUUUAAAACACACAAAUCUUAAAAUCACAUUUCUCAAAAAUCACAAAUGUAUCAAUUGUAAGAAUAUCCCAGAACCCUCAAACAUAAUCUCGAACAGGUGUGUACAAUCAAGUCGGCGCCUUACCGUGAUUCUGAGAAGUACCUGAAACACAUAACACACAACAUAGUAAAAACGAAGCUUAGUGAGUUCCCCAAAAUACCACAUACACAAAUAAUAAGCCACUCAUAGCUAUAGCUCGGCAUGGACCUUCCAGUCAUGCGUCUCGGUGAGGACCCUCCGGUCUCACGGCUCGGUGUGGACCCUCCGGUCAUGUGUCUCAGUGAAGACCCUCAGGUUUCACAGCUCGAGUUGGACCCUCCAGUCCUGUAUCUUAGUGAAGACCCUCCAGUCUCACAACUCGGUUUGGACCCUCCGGUCCUAACUCAGUAAGGCACAAAAUAAUAUAGCAUAUAUGACAAAGACAAAAUGCAUAAUAUCACAUAACUCAGUAUAAGCACAUAGGACCAUCCGGUCGAUAACUCAAAUAAGACCCUCUGUUCACAUAGUAUUACCACUCAGGUAAGUAUAGUGAUAAGACUCGUCUCGGAAGUAAGCAAAUAGAUCUAGUACCCCACGAACAGUUUAGACUCCGCCUACAUAAUAUAAUUAUCUCUAAUAAGCAAUUUGUAAUAACCAUUCCGAGAUGUUAAGCUAGCUCCCCCACUAAAUCUCAAAAAUGGUGAAAAUACCAUUUUACCCCUCCAUGGUCUCUAAGGUCCACAGUUGACCAAACCCUAAAACUCAACGUAAGUCAACGCUCAAGUCAACAGUCCAUGUUGACUAAACUCGUCGAAUGCAUCCAUGCGACUCGUUGAGUACCGUCGUUUUCUCUGAAGUAUCGGGAAAAUCCAACUCAACUCGUCGAGUUGUCUCAUCAACUCGCUGAGUUGUAACGCAUUUAGACUAUCAGGGAAAACCCUAGCUGACUAGUCGAGUUGUCUCAUGCACUCGUCGAGUCCCUCUAUACAAAUUCUCAUUUAGACUAUUCUAAGCAGGAAUAAGGUCCCAAACUCUAGAUCUAGCCUCCCAAGGCUGAAAUACCAUGUAAAGCUGCAAGCUUUACGUCUAUGCAUGGAAUCUAGCGCUCAAAAUGCUAAAACAAGCUCUAUAUAGGGUUUAAUGCAUAAAAUCUUGCCACUAGCUUGAUAAAGCUUGGACCUUUGGGCUCAAGGGACCUCAUAUUGUCCAUAUCUGAAGUCUCAAAUUCAUGGCAGGCUCAAACAACUCAAGUACUCAAAGAAGGAUGGAAAAAGGCCCUAAAACUCCUUAGAAAAGAGAUCUAACCAAAUAAUGAUCAAGGUGGUAACUUUUUACCUUCAAACAGAAGCUAGAAAUGAAUAAGCACCAGAUCCAAGAGCUCCCUCUCGUCCCAAGCCUUUUGUUCCUCAAUCUUUCUCCAAAAAUGCACCAAAAUACACAAUAUUAUCCUCUCCUUCUCUCACACAUAGAUAUAGCUCGAUUAGGGUUUCUCUCAGAGUUUUAGGAUGAUAAGGGAGGAUGAAAUGAAGGCUUAAGGUCCUUUAAAUAGGACACAAACCCUGAAAAUUGGGGUUUUCUCACUCUGCUCCUACUCGUCGAGUUGGGGUCCUCCAACUCGUCGAGUAGACUCUAAAAAUCACGCAACCUUUAACUCCUCUACUCGGCGAGUUGGGGCAUCCAACUCGUCGAGUUGCUCUGACAUCAUAAAUGCAAAUUUAUUAAAUGUUAUAUAUGGGAGCAGGAUGGUACAUGUAACGACCCAAUUUUCAUGACCAAAAAUUUUGUUUUAAAAACAUUACUUUAGAAAAUAUUAAAAGCUAAAAACAUUGUCGGAUCAAAUCAUAACACAAGUGAACCAUGUCUAAAAGCCAAUUCAUACAUUCAAUCAAAAUAUCAGAGUACAAAUCCCAGUGAAGCUCGUAAAUGCGGAAACCGGAGAGUGUGUGUGUGACAUGCUGCUACCGCGCCGGCUCCUUUCCCCUAGCUGAGGAGGUACCUGAAACCAAAACUGAAGACUGUAAGCACAAAGCUUAGUGAGUCCCCCCGUCGUACCACAUACCAUACAAACACGUAACAUACAUACUGUCAGGCUAUUCUGGGGUGCCUGACUACCCGGUACGGCCGUUCUGGGGUGCCGUCCUACCCGUGUCAAGCCAUUCUGGGGUGCUGACUACCCGUGUCAAGCCAUUCUGGGGUGCUGACUACCCAUGUCAAGCCAUUCUGGGGUGCUGACUACCCAUCGGUCCUAACAACCGAUCCUCGGGGACUAGUCCCCUCUUACUACCUUUAUCUCAUAUAACAUAACAAGCCAGCAUGCAAUCAUAUCAUCACGUACUGUCAGACAUAUCUGGGGUGUCCGACCUACCCUUCGGUCCUAACAACCGAACUCUACAACUAUCACAUAUACAUAUCAUGCCAGCAUAUAACAUAUCAGGUAGUAGCAAACCUAGAUGAUAUCACAAAGACAAUCAUCUAACAUACAACUCCUACUGGUGGGCCGGCAUUGUGGCCGUAGACCCACCGCUACUGGAAGGUAACUCACCUCGAAGUAGCUGCUGAUCUGAUCGGGAACUGACUGCCUACUGCUGCUGCUGCUGCUCCGGAAAUCCUCCGGCUGCAAUUCCCACAACAUACUCAAUCAAACACUGCUCACUGACCUUUGGGUAAAAUGACCAUUUUACCCCUGAUCAUGCCCUAAGUCAAAGUCAGAGUCAACUUUCAGUUGACCCGACUCGCCGAGUUGGCUUUCCAACUCGCCGAGUCCCUACCCAAACGACUGCCCUGAAACCCGAUCCUACCCGUCGAGUUAGGCGACGACUCGACGGGUUCACCUUCUUAACCAAUAUUCAAGUCCUUCAUUCUACUCGCCGAGUUGUAUGAACAACUCGCCGAGUUCAUCUUCAUCCGAAGAACACUUAUGCUAAGACUCGCCGAGUUGUAUGAACAACUCGCCGAGUCUGUUCUUGAUCUAAGGAGAUUGCCUUGAACUCGCCGAGUCAGGGCAUUGACUCGCCGAGUACCUCCAUAGAUGAGUUAAGCUUCCGACUCACUGAGUCACACCCCGUGACUCACUGCUCACUCGACACUACGAAAAGGGGACAAACUCGGAGACUCGCGAACAGACUCGCCGAGUCAUAUGAACGACUCGCCGAGUCGUUGCCAUGCAUCCACUAAAUACACAGAUUUGCUCGAUUCCAGUCCAUGCCAUUCAUAGAUCUGGGCUUCUAGGACACGAAUCACACGUAAAGUUUCCAACUUUACGUGUGGAUAUUCACCAAUAUGGAUUUUAGGGCUCAAAAUGUCUCAAAAGGGUAGAUCUAGGGCUAACAAGCAACAUGGGGCCAUAAAGCUAACAGAUCUGAGCUCCUGGAGCUCAAUCUUGCCUAGAUCCAGAGGCCAAACAUCUUAUUACGACAUACAAUGCACAUACAAGCUUGGGGAUUUGACCAAGAAGGACCCAAAUGAAGUUUUAAGCAUAGAAUCAAGGGGAAAACGGGUUAUACCUCAAAGGAACUGCUGGAAGAACACAAAUAAUGCCUGGAUGGCUUCCCUUCUUCUGGAUCUACUUCCUUCCUCCUUCCAAACCUUCAAAAACACACACACUAACCUCAAACUCUCAAGGAAUAGCUUAGAACGAGAGAUACAGGGCUUUAAGGGUCAAUGGGGGCCGGCUUGGGGCUGAUAAGUCCUUUAAAUAGGGUGCAAACCCCUGAAACUUAGGGUUUCAUCCAACAGCUAUGACUCGCCGAGUCCAGGAUAUGGACUCGCCGAGUCGCCAACUUAAACGUGUCCCGGGUCCCGCAUCCACUCGGCGAGUCGGACCUAUGACUCGCCGAGUCCAAGGCUAAAAGAAAGGAAAUACUCAAAUAACAUUUACGUACCAGGAACCGGGUGCUACAGUACAUCAGUUGUAUCAAAACCAUCUUUUAAAUGUUAGAAUGAUUUUUAUGUUAUGAUAAUCUUUGGUUUUUGGGAAACAAGCAUGGAUUUCUUUUUAGCUUGCAUCAUGUUAAUGAUUCGACCGAAGUGGCUUGCAUCAUGCUUGCAACUAUGACUCCUGAACUUCAAAAAACUUUUGAGUUUCAUGAAGCAUUUGAAAUGAUUGAACAACUGAGUCAUGUUUCAAGUUCAGGCUAAGCAAGAUAGGUUUGAGACCUUGAAUGCUUUCAUUGGUUGCAAGAUGGACAAAGGAUCUUUUGUGAGGUCACAUGUACUAAAAAUAAAAGCUUAUGUUGACCAACUUUCCUGCCUCAGAUUCUAAUUUGGGGAUGAGCUAAAGACCAAUGUGAUCCUGGCCUCACUGCCUAAGUCAUUCAACCAAUUUUUGAUGAACUUCACAAUGAAUUAUUAGGAGAUGAGCAUUAAUGAGCUUCAUAACUUGCUCAAAAUUGUUGUGAAAAACGUCAAGAAGUCUGGGAACAAUCAAGUGCUGAUGAUUCAUGAGGGUCUAAUCUCUAAGAAGAAAACUAGUACUAAUAUCGGUUAGGGGAAAGGAAAAGCUGCCAAGAAAGGCAAGGGCAAGGGAAAGGGUAAAGGGAAGCCUCCUUCCACUAACCCAACUCCUAAACCCAAGCCUACUGCUAAUGUUGAUUGCUUUAAAUGUAAUGAAAAUGAACAUUGGAAGCGCAACUGUCCCAAAUACCUAUAGGAACUUAAGAAGAUCAAAGCCAACUAGUUUGGCACCUCAGGUAAUAUGUGAUUGAAUUACAUGCAUUCCGUACUAAUUCUUGGGUAUUCUAUACUGGAAGUGGUACUAACAUCUGGAAUGAUUUGCAGGGACUAAGGAAUGUUAGAGAACUAAGAGAUGGCGAUUUGGAACUUCAUGUUGGCAAUGGCAAUCGAGUAGCUAUCAAAGCCAUAGGACAAUAUCAUCUUUUUCUUCCAAAUGUCCUUAAUCUUAUUUUUAACAAUUGUUGUUAUGUACCUAGUAUAACUAGGAAUAUUAUAUCUACUUCUCGCUUGUAUGAACAAGGUUGUCGUUAUAAGUUUGACUUUGAUUUUGAAAACAUUUUCGUGUUUAAGGAUAAUGUGUUCUAUUUUGAGACUAGUCCCACAAAUGGAAUAUACGAAAUCGAUUUAAAUGGUUCAUACACAAAGGAUAAUUCAAUAUUCAACUUAAAUAAGAAAACAAAGUUAGACUCAAAUAAAACUUUUUUUUGGCAUUGUCGACUUGGGCACAUAAGUAAAACUAGCAUUACUAAGCUCCAAAAGGAUGUGAUAUUAGAGUCAACAGGCUCAAAGUCUUUUGAUGUAUGUGAAUCAUGUAUAUGUGGCAAGAUGACCAAAGCUUUGUUUACCGGUGUUGGUGAAAGAGCUUCGGAUCUAUUAGGACUCAUACAUACUGAUUUAUGUGGACCUUUUAGAACAAUGACCAUAAGCGGUGAAAGAUACUUCAUUACACUUAUUGAUGAUUACAGUAGAUUUGGAUAUGUGUAUCUCAUGAAACACAAAUAUGAACAUUCAAUGUCUUCAAGGUUUUCCAAACUGAAGUACAUAAUCAACUUGGUAAAAAUAUUAAACCCAUACGAUCAGAUCGUGGUGGUGAAUAUCUGAGAUAUGAGUUUGAUGAACAUCUGAAGAAUUGCGACAUAGUGUCACAACUCACUCCACCGGGAACACCUCAGCAUAAUGGUGUCUCAGAAAUAAGAAAUCAUACUCUACUUGAUAUGGUGCGAUCAAUGAUGAGUGAUACUUCCCUUCCUCAUUUAUUUUGGGGUUAUGCCCUUGAAACCGCAGUUCGAACUGUAAACAUGGUCCCAACUAAAAAGGUUAGUAAGACUCCCUACAUGUUAUGGCAUGGAAAGGAUCCAUCAGUGUCUUUCUAAAAUAUAUGGGGUUGUGAAGCAUAUGUUAAAAGAGAAACUUCUGACAAGCUUGACCCUAGAUUUCAUAAGUGUAUCUUUGUUGGAUACCCAAAAGAAACCGGGUGUUCAUAGCUCGUAAAACAAUGUUUCAUGUAACUGAAUUUAUCUUGCAUAAAGUAAGUGGGAGCCCCCUUGACCUCGAAGAAAUUCGAGAGAAACAACCUUUAGUUGAAAACGAUAAUCAACAAAGCAUUUUUGAACAUGAACUUAUUAUUCAGAUGCCGGAAACCACACCAAUUGUACGAUGUUCCAGUAGAACUCCUCAUGAACCUGACAAAUUUGGAUUUGUCAUUCCUGAAUAGGAAGUCUUCUUGAUGGAUCAAUAUGAGCCCAUCAACUAAAAGGAUGCUACUGCAGACCCAAAGUCUAACAAAUGGCUUGAAGCCAUGAGAACUAAAAUCCAAUCCAUGAAUGACAAUCAAGUAUGGGACUUGGUUGAUUUACCUCCUAACAGUAGAGCUGUUGGAAGCAAGUGGAUCUUCAAGAAGAAGAUCUACAUGGACGGAAAUGUACUCAAAUUCAAGGUGUUGACUAUGAAGAUACCUUCUCGCCAUUUGCUAAGAUUGAAUCUAUUAGAAUUAUCAUGGCAAUAGCUGCAUAUUAUGACUAUGAGAUUUGGCAAAUGGAUGUCAAAACCACGUUCCUUAACGGAUAUCUUGAGGAAGAUGUUUUUAUGGAACAAUCUGAAGGUAUUGUCAAGCCGGAUAACCUAAAGAAGGUACGUAAACUAAAGAAGUCCAUUUAUGGAUUAAAACAAGCAUCUGGGGUGUGGUAUCAUCGUUUUGAUGAAAAGUGUUGGGUUUUGAGCAUUCUAACACUCCUAUGGUGUACAUGCAACCCUAAAUACCUUGGAUCUAUGUUUUCUCUAUUAUACAUGAAAUAUCAAUUUCCAAGGUAUUUAUCCUAACUAGCAUAUUAUGAAGUACAAGUAAUAUAGAAACUAGUAGAAAUACAUACCUCUUUGUUGGUGCUUGAUUCCAUGGAGCUCAAGAGCCUAGUGCCCCAAAUGUGACACCUCAAAUGGUUCACACAACAUCAUAUGCACGUGGAAUAACUUAGACAGAAAUCAUCACUUCAUGAAAUCGACUUGCCCUCCAUAUACACACAUAGUGGCCGAUUUUUCACAAGAAUAUGAUGCUUAUAUAGUUGUUACAAUUAGGGUAAACCCUAAUUGUCAUGGCUUUCCAUUUCCUUAGAUCCAUGGGUUCAAAUACACCAUGGAGCAUCCAUGGAGUAUCCUAUGGGUUUUAGCCUAACUUAACAAUCCAUGGAGUCUUAGCCCACUAUACAGGUAUGUAUGAUAUACACAACCAACCCAUAUAUUUAAUUAGUCUUCUUUUGAUCACUUAAUUAAUUCUAGAUUAAUUCUUGAUCAAUAUUAAUUAAAUAAUCUUAUUAAUAUAUUAUAACUUAUAAUAUAUUAAUAAACCUUAAGUGUUAUUUCUCUCAUUUUAUUCUAUCCAAAUGCAUGAUGCCAUGCAACCCAAAUGGACUAUGUCGGGUCGGGUCAAGUAUAUACCAAUUAUAGUUAUGGACUUAGACACUAAUCCAACAAUCUCCCACUUGGAUAAGUCUAAUAACUAUCAUUGCAAGUACGGCUUCACAACCCGACCAGCAAUCAUAGCUCUUAAAAGUUGUUGCCGAUCUCUGAACAAAUCAAUGACGCGUCCAUUAGAUAAAUGAUCAUAUAUUCCUCCAUUCUAGACAUCAUAUGGACUGAGACAUGGAUUAUAAUCAUUCUCUCUGCCAUUUGUUAUUUCCCGAUGUCUGAUUUAAGAUGAUCAACUAAUUGAACAAAUCAAAUCAGUCCAGGCUUAGCCAAGCACUUAGGGGUGCCAUCACUAAAUCAUCUAGGGGCCCACAGAUAUCUCUUUUAUCCCAUUAAGGGUAAAAGGAAUGGAGAAACUCCAACUCAUAUGCUUGUACUGACUACUAUUUGAAUCAUACAUAAAUUCACGUUUAUAACAUCGAGUUACCAAUGCGUUUUCGUGCAAUCAAUGUAUAACCAACUCGUAGUCAACAACUGAUAUCUCUAGGUUUGAAGAAUAUAAGAUAUUAUGUGGUGUAAGUGUUCUUAUCCAUGUGAAUUUGUCAUCACCAUAAUCACAAGACAAGGUGUCACACCCCAAAACCGAGAACGGCGGAAACGUUCUGGGGCGGAGGACGUCAUGUAAUGUAUCACAAUAAAUGUAAAGUAGUAAACAAGCAACAACAUCGUCCAUUCAUUAAUAGUAAAAGUUUAAUAUAUGUGUGUUCUUUCAUAGUAAUAAGACAUUACAACAAGUAAUCAAAAUAAAAGACGAGUCUUGACUGCUCUGUCUUCGCAAAACCUGGUCAUCGUACCUGUCUACUGGUGACCUGAGAAUACAAGUUAUUUUGAAAGUGUAGGUCAGCAUUUAAGCUGGUGAGUUCAUAAGUAUUUAAUGUCAUCGUUUGUAUAAGUAUGAAGAAAACAUUUGGAAUUAUUCAAUGUAAUUGUUUGUAUAAGUUUGAAGAAAACGUUUGGAAUGAAUCAAUGUAAUUUUUCAUAUAAGUUUGAAGAAAACGUUUGGAAUUAAUCAACGUAAUUGUUUGUAUAAGUUUGAAGAAAACGUUUGGAAUGAAUCAAUGUAAUUGUUUGUAUAAGUUUGAAGAAAACGUUUGGAAUUAAUCAACGUAAUUGUUCGUAUAAGUUUGAAGAAAACGUUUGGAAUUAAUCAAUGUAAUUGUUUGUAUAAGUUUGAAGAAAACGUUUGGAAUUAAUCAAUGUAAUUGUUCGUAUAUGUUUGAAGAAAACGUUUGGAAUUAAUCAAUGUAAUUUUUCUUAUAAGUUUGAAGAAAACGUUUAAAAUUGUUCUACAUUUGUAUAAAACUGAAUAAAAUAGUUUGUACAUGUUUGAAAGUUUCUAGAAAAUCUGAUAUUUUCUACUAGUAUAACCAUACUAAGGCAUUUGAUAAUCCCGUAAACCAGUGUGUUUCUAAUACUCCAUGUGAGUUUUAUAACCAUACUAAUGACCCAGACUUCCUGUAACAACGUUCUUCAGGCGUUGAAAUGUUAUGACAUUUGUCACCCCAGGCCUGCGGGCCUAGCUGUAGCUAACAACUUAGGUGCGGGAUUGUCAAUCCCGUAUAGAUCUAUACACAAGUAUCACGCUCCCCCUACAAUGGAUUAUGGUAUGUAAUACAGGACUUAAAAUGCAUACUCGAAAGUACGUGAAAUGUCUCACAAAACUUAGUAUCAAACAGAUUUACGUAUGAAAAUGUCCAUUUGUUCUUGAAUAUGAAAGUAUUUCUUUGAUAUAGUAUUUCUAGUAUGUAAAUGUUCAUGAUUUCCUCGUAAACUAUACCUAUUAUAGUCAUUCAAAGUGUGUGUUUCGUUCGUAUAGCAAAUCCUAGUGUAAUGUUCACUUGUUAUGUAAAGUAUAACAUCUAAAAUGACAUAAAUGAUCACAUAUACUUAAAGUAUAAAUAAAGGGUUUGAUUCGCAUAUCUAACUACUUUAUAAUACAUACAUCUUGGUGGGGACCACAAAAUUUAAGACAAAGUCUUAAAAACAAGGGGAAUCAAUUUUGACCUUAGAUUUUUUUUGAACGGUGGAGAUUAUAUUAUUGUUGGUGAUCCAAGUAAACAUCUUUAAACCAAUCACAAACAAGUAUUCUAGAUUUUCAAUUCUUUAAAGUUUAUGUCUUCCAUAUUUAAAUUUACAGGGAACGGGAAAGAAAUCACCUUUCAUUUAAAAUCACAUUUCUCAUCUUCUCGAAUUGCCGUCUCUCUAGAACCUCCUCACUAUCUUCAUCUUCUCCAUUAACGACUCUGGAGAUCAAUGUCAUCAUUACCUUUACUUACAGCUAAUCCGUUCACCAUUACCUUACUUCCAUCAAACCCCCACACCAACAAUAGAGUUUCUCAUGACAUUCUCCCUCUCUCUUUCUUCAACGCCACCUCCAUUCUCAAACACGGGUAGGAUAAAAUUUUUUCAAAUCUUUAUGUGUAGAUCCAUUUGUGUGUGUGUUUUACAGAAAGAGACUAAGGCCACAGGUAGGAUAAAACAUUUAAAAUCUUUAUGUGUGUGUUUUAGGGAUCUAUAUGUAUGUAAACCUAUUUAUAUGUAUAAAUUUGUGUAUUUAUGUUUAAUAUAUUUUCGAUUUUGAUGUUCUAAGAGUUUUAUAUUUCAUAUUUUCAGAUUUGAAUCUGCAAAUUCUACACAAAAAGACAAAAAGUUGGAUCUCUUAUAAUCUGUUGUAGAUAUUUGUAGGUCUUACUUACUCAAUGCAGUGUAGAUAUGUGUUUUAGAUGUGUUUUUUGUUGUAUUUUGUAAGUAUCUAUAUUUUGUUUAAAGAUAAAUGAAUUAAUUAGUUCUAUGUUUUUUAUUAUUAUUAUUUAGAUAUGUAUAAUGGAUUUCAAUGAUUUGGAAUAAGAACUAGGAACUGUAUGUCACAGAUUAAGAUUUGUAUUGCAUAAAUUACGUUUGAUUUUUUACAUCUAGAUUUUUAAUAAUUUUAUAUUUUGAUGCAUGAGUGAAGGACAUAAAAACACAACAAAACUAAUUUCCGGUUUUUGUUUUUCUCUUUAGAUGUAAGGUUUUGAUGGUAAAACCUAAAGGUGCAAAAUUUGUUGUUCCAUGAUUUAGUGUGAUUUGUAUAUUCUAUCUAUUUGUAUUAGUAUUGAAUGAGUUAUUUGUUUAUUUUUAUUAAUAAACGAGAAAAAUAUUUCCCUUUUUUUGUGUAGAAUAGUCUUUCUAUUUUUAAAUAUUUGGAGUUAUACUUUUUAUAUAAAAAAACUUGAAUGAGAUAUUGUAACUAUUCUAUUUACAAAUAAAAAAAUAUUUUGCUAGACAAAAAAUAAAUAACAAUUGAAAUAUUUUGAAGAGGUUGUAAAUUUUGUUUAUAGAUAAAAAUAUUAUGUUUGAGUAUAUAAUAUUAAAUAAGGAAAACUGUUUUCUUAUAAGAAACGAUUAACUUAAUUAAUAAAUGACUUUUGUAAACAAAAUUAUAAGGAAAAAAAUCAAAGAUAAAAAUGGCGUUGCAAAAAAAUAGAAAGAGUUAAGAUUCUUUCAAAUAUGCUGAUUAUCAUAAAUGUUGCGAUUGGUACAAAGUGCUUUGGGUAUUCUAACAGUUUAAAAAAAAAAAAACUUUUAGGUUUGUGAAAAGAAAUGUGGCGAUAUCAUGGGUUUGUAAAAUACGUCUUUUCGUUAAAAAAAUGAUUUUUUUAUAUUUAAUACUAAUAUUCAUUUUACAUUUAUAUUUAAUUAUAAAACUUUUUGAUUAAUAUAACAAAAUAGACGUCAUUUCAUUUUAAAAAAUGAAAUCAAUUAUGUAUAAGGUAUAUCCAAAUUUAUAAAUAGUUGUUUUUUAUACAAACAACAGUUUAGGAUGAUUAACAGUCUAGGAUGAUUAGAAAAAAAUUUGUCUAUAAGUUAAUAUGCUAACAUAAAAGAUGUUAUAUAAACAAGUUAAAAUAACAAAUAUUACUGCAUAAUAUUUUAAAUUUUUUUGAAUCUCUAGAUAUAUGAUUAUGUUGUUUUAAUGGGUUUUGUUUUGCAAAAUUUACUAUGAAUUAAGAAACCACAAAAAUAUAAACACUUGAAAGAUUAAUACAAGUGAAAAACAAUAAGUGAGUUUCCUUAAAAAAAAUGAUAUGUACAAAGAAAAAAAGUGAUUAAAUGUAUAUAACUUUGUACAUAUUUUUUAUUAUCUUUCAUAUUUAAAUAAUGGGUUAAUAACUUUUUUUGGACGGGAGUUUUAGUUUUUUCAAUAUCUCUGAAUAAAAUAUAAAUGAUUUUGAACUAUUACUUUUAUCCAAAAAUCUAACACACUUAAUUUUUUGUUAAUUUUUGGUAACAAAAGAACGAAUUAAAAAAAAAAUUCUAAUUUAUUGAAUUUUAACAUGCUAAAAAAAUUGACAACUUUAAGUGUAUUUAAUUAUAUCUUAUAAUAAUCAUAUAAUACUAUUUUAUUAAACUUAUAAUUAUUAUAUAAAUAUAUAUACUAAACGAAGCCUUAAACCAGAUCCUCCCGUUUUUACUAUUUCGUUUAUUAGAAGUAUUUAAGAAUUUUAUUUGUUGCUUAUUAGCUUAUUACUUAUUUGCUUAUUGUGGUGAGAAUAAAUAUUUUUUUAAAAUGUGUUUGGAUUAGCAUAUUGCGGUGGGAAUAAACAAUAAGUAAUAAACAUUUAAGUGUUUGACAAAAUAAAACAACUUAUAUGAGUAAAAUGACCAAUAAACAAUAAAUAAUAAGCAAUAAGCAUUCCCCCUCUUGCUUAUUAAAAUCAGUUUAUUUUGUUUAUUCCUACCGCAAUAAGUUGAUUUUUAAAGAUUACUAUCCAAACACUUAAAUUUGCUUAUUGCGGUUGGGUUUAGCAAUAAGCAAUAAUCAACUUAUUUUUUCCCUAUCAAAACACCCACGUAAUAUUAAUUCCAAAGCCAACUACACGAUUUAUAUUUGGAUUUGGAUUACAAGCACAAAGGUAACACAUCAUCAAAUAUGAAAUUUAUUAAUUUAUCAUUGUGGUCCCAUUUUUUCAACUAUUUGUAUUACCCUCAUUUUAAGUAUAUUUUAAAAACUAAAAAACACAUCUUUAUUUAAAACCAAAACAAGAAUGCAUGUAAAAUAAUUGCACACAAAGAAUAUAUUCUAGAAAUAAAUUUCUGAAUCAAAACAAAUUGCGGAAAAAACUUUUUUCGCUAUAAUUUGUAAUCCAUUNUUUUUUUUUAAUUUUUUAAAAAUUUUUUUUUUUUUUUUUUUUUUUUUUUUUUUUUUUUUUUUUUUUUUUUUUCUAAAAAUAAUAAGACUUUUCUGUUAAAAAAAAUUAAGACUUUGAUUUCUGAUAAAAAAAAAAGACGAGUCAAGAAAAAGACCUGUACGAAAAACGAACGGUCGAGACAACCCGUAAUACAUCGAAAGCAAAUUAUUCGUUGUUCGGGAAAAAUUUACUAAUCUCCGGAAUGAAAUUAAUCGUCGUCCGCUGCAUCGCGCGGGUAGCCUACUAGNNNNNNNNNNNNNNNNNNNNNNNNNNNNNNNNNNNNNNNNNNNNNNNNNNNNNNNNNNNNNNNNNNNNNNNNNNNNNNNNNNNNNNNNNNNNNNNNNNNNNNNNNNNNNNNNNNNNNNNNNNNNNNNNNNNNNNNNNNNNNNNNNNNNNNNNNNNNNNNNNNNNNNNNNNNNNNNNNNNNNNNNNNNNNNNNNNNNNNNNNNNNNNNNNNNNNNNNNNNNNNNNNNNNNNNNNNNNNNNNNNNNNNNNNNNNNNNNNNNNNNNNNNNNNNNNNNNNNNNNNNNNNNNNNNNNNNNNNNNNNNNNNNNNNNNNNNNNNNNNNNNNNNNNNNNNNNNNNNNNNNNNNNNNNNNNNNNNNNNNNNNNNNNNNNNNNNNNNNNNNNNNNNNNNNNNNNNNNNNNNNNNNNNNNNNNNNNNNNNNNNNNNNNNNNNNNNNNNNNNNNNNNNNNNNNNNNNNNNNNNNNNNNNNNNNNNNNNNNNNNNNNNNNNNNNNNNNNNNNNNNNNNNNNNNNNNNNNNNNNNNNNNNNNNNNNNNNNNNNNNNNNNNNNNNNNNNNNNNNNNNNNNNNNNNNNNNNNNNNNNNNNNNNNNNNNNCCGGGGCUUUGGGAGGGUCUCGGGGGCUUAAACGCAGAGUUUCGGCGCGAGAAAGAAGGGAACUGAGCAAUGGAACUCGGAGCCCUUGAAAUAUAUUUAUAGGGGCAUUUUUGAGGUGUGCCACGUCAUGGCAAGGGAUGGACACGUCGUGGGGAGUCAAACUUAUCCUCUUCCAUUGAUUGGACGCCCUCAGUCACUUGUCGGGUCGCGGCAAGCUUGUGCCACGUCGUAGCAAGCCUGACAGCCUCGGAUUUCGAACGUCGAAUUUGUAAAACCCAUAACUUUUGCGUACGAGCUUCGUUUUGACGUUCUUUAUAUGCAUGCGUAGCUGAAAAUAUGCUCUACAACUCUCGUUUAGACUUCAUUGGCUAAUUUUGACUUUAUUUUUAAUUAUUUAUUUUUAACAGGCCGGGACACGAAAAUUACGUUAAAAUUCCAUAACUUCUUCAUCCGAUGUCCGUUUUCGUCAGACUUUUCGCCGUUGCGCUACUAUUUUUGAGACCUUCGAUUCUCAUUUAGGUUGUUUCGGUCAAAAGUCUCUCGAGCUCUAUUUCGAGUUUUUAGCUGUCUACUGUUAUAUCCGGAUCUUGGAAAAAUCAUAACUUCCUCAUACGAAGUCAGAUUUGGACGUUCUUUUUAUGUACGCUCACGGUUUAAUGUUAUCUACAACUUUCAUUUAGAUACUUAAGGCUAAAAACUAUUGUAUUGAAAUUUCGUGUUUUUCGUUUAAUCGGUGUUGCCGGUUUUGCCGCGAACUUUCGGUUGGUCAUAACUUCUUCGUUAUAACUCGGAUUUUAGGGUUCUUUAUAUAUACAAAAACCUUGAUGCGAUUUGUACUACUUUAUUUAACCCAAAUAUGAUUUUAGGAAAGUUAUAUUUUGACCUAAAUUUGACUGGUUUUACAUUACAUUGUCUCUAAAUAUCGGGUUGUCACAUCAUCCCCCCGUUAGAGACUAUUUCGUCCCGAAAUUAGAGUUUUAAGCAGAAUUGAUAAAUAUGCUACGGAUAAAAGUUUUAUUUGCUCCUCGUGUUCUUAAGUGAACCCAGGUCCUCGCUUGGCAUUCCAGCGAACCUUUCACUAUCGGGAUACAACUUUGCUUGUUUCGUUUGACUUCCCUGGUAUGAUAACUCCUCUUUGUCGAACGUGUGUUGAGUGUUUUUGUCGUCUGUGAGAGUAUUACACCUUGUACCUUACAAGUAGUGUCUCCAGAUCUUCAGAGCAAUUACCAUUUCUCCUGACUCAAGAUCAUGUGUUGUAUAGUUAACUUCUUGCGUCUUAAGCUAUCUUGAGGUAUAUGCAGUGACCUUUCCUCUUGCAUAAGAACACAACCAAGCCGUUGGUUGGAUGCAUUGCAUUACACCAUGAAAUAUUCUAUCCCUUUUGGGAGGGAUAAUAUUGAUGUGAUGCGUCAGGCUUACUUUAGCGUUUGGAACGCUCUUUCUUGUUUAUAGACAAGUCUGGUGCUCCUCCAAGUGAGAAACUUGGCCGAAGGAAUCCUCUUUUGAGGAGUUCGUUAAGCUGUCUGGGAAGUUCUAGUAUCUUAGUUAGAGUUAGACGAUAAGGUGACUUGGCUACUGGGGUAGCCCUUGUAACUAAGUCAAUUCUGAACUCGAAUUGACGUUGUGGUGGUAAUCCCGGUAGUUCUUCUGGAAAGGUGUUGGGAAAGUCGCGUACUUUUGGGAUGUUCUGAAUGUCCUUCGCUUCUUGGCUCGUAUCGACGAUGUGUGAUAUUCCCUUCGUAAGCGCUUUUGAGAUUAAAUACAUGAAAUGAUGCGAAGGUUCGUACCUGAUUUGUCUCCGUAAAUAACAAGAGGUUCUGUGAUAGGGAGGUUAAGAUGAACUGCUUUAUCAAAGCACCUGAUUUCGGCUCGACGUAGACUUAACCAACUCCUACUGAUUAUGAUGUCAAAACCUUGGGGUGGAUUAGAUGUCGUGAAGAUCUAAAAGAAAGUAUGACUACUCAUGAAUUAGGGAAAAGGAUAGGUAUUUCUAAGUUUAUUCUCACGGAAGCACGAUCACUCUCAGUCUUGGGCAGUCUCCGUCUAGAAGUUCAUAGUAGAACUCAUACCUGGUUCAUUAAUCACAAUCUUGGGUAUACGAGUCGUAUAUAAUUAAGAUUGAAACUGUGGGUCUUUGGAUUGAACUUGACGUACUGCACGAGUGGUACUUCGGGGAGGUUUGCUGAGGUUUCUUUGGAAAGGGUAAGAAACAUGACAUACUCUACGCAUGAGUACUUAGGAGUUCUGAAGUGAUAGUUUCAUUAGAAAGAUGAUUUUGGAGAAAGAGAUUUACGCACGAAACUGGUAUUGUGAGGAUCAAAUAGACUCUGAUCGUAUGAUGAAAUCGGAAUCACUUGGAAAUAAAGACACUAGAUUCGAUCAUAAAGGCGUUACAGACAAAACACAACAGUGCAACUUUUUUAAUAGAGUUACAGUACUUUAGAGUAACUACAGGAAUACUGCUGCGAACGAAGUACACUAUAAAAGGCAAGUAUACGCAGCACGAGGGUCCCUUAACUGACGGGAUCUCGCAAGAGAUAAUACUCGAGUUGCACUAGUUCUAAACAUGUUUUAAAAACAUACAUAAUACUGACGAUUGGAAGUGAACCUAUACUAUAGUAGGGUCCUUCAUUGCCUCUUUCCAUUAUGAGGUCAAACUCCUCCGGAUUCGCCGUCGUUCUCCUCUAUUGGACAGUCCCUCUUAAAGUGUCCCAUUACGCCACAUAGAUGGCAUAUUCGAGAGAUUUCGACAUUGGUGGUUGAAGUAAUGUGUUGGAUCCGAGUCUUGCAAUAAUGGACGGUGUGUCCCUUUUUAUUGCAAUUUAAGCACUGCAUUUUCCAACAAAGUCCAUGAUCGUGGUAGUUGCAUUUGUUGCACUUUGGGAGAUUGCCAGCAUACUGUCUGGCCGGGUUGGGGAUAACUGGGAUACUAGAAGAAAUGGUAGUAGGAGGUAUAGAAGUCGUGGCUGUGAAGGUUGCCACAGGUUGUUGUCUUUUGCUUGCCCCUUGGGGUGAUUUGCCUUUAGCCUUAGCCCAAAACUUUCGUUUGUUAUUCUUGCGCUUGAGAUUCGGGGUGUCGUGGUAGUUUGUUGUUCAUCGAGGUACUUGAUCGUUACUUGGAUUGGAAUUAUUGUUAACAAUCCCGCUAACAUUCGCGUUGUUAGCAUUAAGGUGGACCAGAAUAGCUGACACGACAGCCGAGACUGCAGCUUGAAAGGUAGCCGCAUUAAUCUAAAGAGUUGGUGUUUGGUUGAUGGGUUGAUCAUUUUUCUUCGGCGACAUGAUUCUGUUACACGGAAAGAAAAAUGAAUUUGUGAGCGAGUAUGGUUGAACCUAGACGUAGUUCGAUUGUUCAUGUAAAGAAUAGAAGUAUGUUCUCUAAGGUUUGACCUAUAUCCCUAUGAUGUCGUCCUAGUAUGGAGUAGAAGUAAGCUCGUAGAGUGGUCUCAAGACGUUUAUCGUCCAAUCCAGGGUAUUAUUGGUUGGUAAAUAACAUGAUCCAACCUUUGAAAGAGACUUGGAAAUGAUUCCAGAGUUAAACUACCAUAGUCCAAUAACUUGACUAGAUGGGGUUUCAGAUAGACUCCAAUGAAAUCAUGAUGAAAGCAUUUGAACAAAGAUUGACACGGAAGUUAGACGACUGUCGAUAUCAUUGAUGUUUAAGAUUUAAUAGGUUUGGGGAAAUUGACCUUGUUGUAAGUCUUACAUCAUAUUCAGGGAAGAAAAGUCUUCGACAACAUAAGGACUUAAAUAAAAGUACUUACAGUACAAGGUAAUUACAUAGAAAGUACUACACAGAUCAUAGGCAAGAACAUGGUUCUAUAAAACAAAGAAGGAAGUAAGGUAUCUCCCACUGGUGAUGGUCACGCCUAUGGUGAACCCUUAGUUCGGCUAGUUGACGUUCCAUAUCCAGCAGGUAUCUUUCGUACACCCUCUGGCGUACUUGGAGUUCUAUGACAUCGGCUCGUGAUUCAGCCAGUGCUUGAAGUAGUGCUUCAUGGUCUCUCUCAGAGCUCUCACGAGCAUCUUCCAGACGAAUGGUGCGGAGGGUAUGCAUUCUCGCAUUGGUAUUAACCUCUUCGAUACAUUAGAGAGCCGUCCUGCCCUGAAUUUCGUUUCGGGCAACUCUACGGAUUAGGAUUGGUAGAACUUUGUCUGCUGAGCUCCCUUCGUUUACGUUGUAGAAGCUUCGGUCUCCAUUAAACGGCAUAGGUUGAUAUUGCUCUUCGCUCCAUGUUUCCAUGCAUUCUACCCAAGGAGGCGUCGGGCCAUAAAAAGCGGGACGAGGUUUAGGAUUUAGAAAUGGAGCUACCGGGGGUAGGUUCUCAACCUCGGUUUCGGAGUUGUCAACAUCUGAAAGGUUUUCAACAUGGUGAUCAUUCAAAGGGAUUGGAUGAUCAUUCUCUGGUCCUUCUCCAACCCAUCCAACAAUGACUUCGUUCGGAAAGUACGGGUUGCCAUGGGGAUGGAGUCCAGCCAUGUUAUCUACGCGAGAAUUGGGGUAAGGAAAUAAUUAUUAGACGAACUAUCUAGAUAAUUAUUAGAAAAUCUUCAUUAGUUACAUCGCUAUUUGUAAAGUGCAUACCAGUCAUAUGUAAUCAACACAGGAUAGGCUUUCGAAUAAGUGACCUUAACUCCAAAUUCACAAGGAAUAGGGGUAAAGCAAAAAUUUCACCGAUUCUAAGUCUAUAACAUCCUAGUUACAUAUAGCCUUAGUGUAUCCACUUAACAACUAUCAACUUAGUAAUGAAGAUCCUUUUUAGUUCUCAAGUAAGUAAUUAUGGUAACCCAAAACACCCCUAUGGUAUUUUAGACUUAGGUUCUGUUAUAAUGUUCUCAUUGUGGUAAUGUUGGUAAGUUUUUAGACUUGUUGCCAUAUNAGUUUUGACCAUAUGUCUCUAAGCCCACUUGUGUUGCCCAACAAUCGUAAUUCUUUUGUACUGUCCUACUGACAUUGAUUUUAGUAUGAAUGCAGGCACGUAUACUCACUUAAAUAUUUUAUUAUUUUAAAGUAUAAACUCUAAAUCAGAGUAUUUUUAAUCCCAUUGUAUUUAUAGUUAGUAUAUCUUUUAUGGGUUGAUAUACUCAAUUCACUAUAAACAAUGCUCUGAUACCAAUCUGUCACACCCCAAAACCGAGAACGGCGGAAACGUUCUGGGGCAGAGGAUGUCAUGUAAUGUAUCACAAUAAAUGUAAAGUAGUAAACAACCAACAACAUCGUCCAUUGCAUUAAUAGUAAAAGUUUAAUACAUGUGUGUUCUUUCAUAGUAAUAAGACAUUACAACAAGUAAUCAAAAUAAAAGACAAGUCUUGACUGCUCUGUCUUCGCAAAACCUGGUCAUCGUACCUGUCUACUGGUGACCUGAGAAUACAAGUUAUUUUGAAAGUGUAGGUCAACAUUUAAGCUGAUGAGUUCAUAAGUAUUUAAUGUCAUCGUUUGUAUAAGUAUGAAGAAAACAUUUGGAAUUAUUUAAUGUAAUUGUUUGUAUAAGUUUGAAGAGAAUGUUUGGAAUUAAUCAGUGUAAUUUUUCAUAUAAGUUUGAAGAAAACGUUUGGAAUUAAUCAACGUAAUUGUUCGUAUAAGUUUGAAGAAAACGUUUGGAAUUAAUCAAUGUAAUUGUUUGUAUAAGUUUGAAGAAAACGUUUGGAAUUAAUCAAUGUAAUUUUUCGUAUAAGUUUGAAGAAAACGUUUGAAAUUGUUCUACAUUUGUAUAAAACUGAAUAAAAUGGUUUGUACAUGUUUGAAAGUUUCUAGAAAAUUCGAUAUUUUCUACUAGUAUAAAAGUAUUCUUCUACCAAGACUCGACUAUUUUGUAUGCUUACCUUUAGAAGUCCAAUAUCUGUUCAUAAGUGUGUGUGUGUGGUUUAAAAACUCCAAAACUAUAACAAAAUGAUGUUUUUCAUGCCUAAAUAAUAGUUAUGUGUAAAUAUAAAAUCACUAAGGCAUUUGAUAACCCCAUAAACCAAUGUGUUUCUAAUACUCCAUGUGAGUUUUAUAACCAUACUAAUGACCCAGACUGCCUGUAACAACGUUCUUCAGGCGUUGAAAUGUUAUGACAUUUGUCACCCCAGGCUUGCCGGCCUAGCUGUAGCUAACAGCUCAGGUGCGGGAUUGUCAAUCCCGUAUAGAUCUAUACACAAGUAUCACGCUCCCCCUACAAGGGAUUAUGGUAUGUAAUACAGGACUUAAAAUGCAUACUCGAAAGUACGUGAAAUGUCUCACAAAACUUAGUAUAAAACAUAUUUACGUAUGAAAAUGUCCAUUUGUUCUUGAAUAUGAAAGUAUCUCUUUGAUAUAGUAUUUCUAGUAUGUAAAUGUUCAUGAUUUCCUCGUAAACUAUACCUAUUAUAGUUAUUCAAAGUGUGUGUUUCGUUCGUAUAGUAAAUCCUAGUGUAAUGUUCACUUGUUAUGUAAAGUAUAACAUCUAAAGUGACAUAAAUGAUCACAUAUACUUAAAGUAUAAAUAAAAGGGUUUGAUUCGCAUAUAUAUAUAAACAUGUUUUAUUUCCAAAAGACAAGAUGUUAUCGUGAAUAUAUAUAUCAUACGAAAGUUCCUAUGAAGUAGUUAUGAAUCACAUAUGAUUCACUCGAUAAAAAGAGUAUAUGGUGAAACUUUAUGUUACACACGAUAACAACCGUGUGUUUACUUGUAUUCCCCCCCUUUAAAAGUGUAUACAACGAUUUAAAAGUAGUUUGUUUGAUAAGACAGUGUAAAGUAAAAGAAAUCCCUUGUUUGAAAACACAGUUAUAAAUCACAUAUGAUUGAUUAUAUAACAAAGAGUAUAACAACAGAUUUAUGUUUUUCACACGGUGAUAAUCGUGUGUUUACUUGUAUUCCCCCCCCUUUAAAGUGUAUAAAAUGCAUUUAUAAAACAUUUGAAAGUGUUGUUUGUAGGGGUAGGAACUCACUUGAUUGAAGUGGUUGAUUUGAAGUAGUCGAGAAAAGAAUCAAGCAGAACUUCGACAGGAAGAGUUGAAAACGCGGGAAAUCUCGGGAUUCUUGGGAAACUUGGGAAUCUCGGGAACACAAAACCUUCCUUCGGGACUUGAAGGUGAAAACCUGGGCUUUGGGAGGUCUCGGGGGCUUAAACGCAGAGUUUCGGCACGAGAAAGAAGGGAACUGAGCAAUAGAACUCGGAGCCCUUGAAAUCUAUUUAUAGGGGCAUUUUUGAGGUGUGCCACAUCGUGGCAAGGGAUGGCCACGUCGUGGGGAGUCAAAAUUAUCCUCUUCCAUUGAUUAGACGCCCUCAGUCACUUGUCGGGUCGCGGCAAGCUUGUGCCACGUCGUGGCAAUUCUGACAGCCUCGGAUUUCGGACCUCGAACUUGUAAAACCCAUAACUUUCGCGUACGAGCUCCAUUUUGACGUUCUUUAUAUGCACGCGCAGCUGAAAAUAUGCUCUACAACUCUCGUUUAGAUUUCAUUGGCUAAUUUUGACUUUAUUUUUAAUUAUUUAUUUUUAACGGGCCGGGACACGAAAAUUACGUUAAAAUUCCAUAACUUCUUCAUCCGAUGUCCGUUUUCGUCAGACUUUUCGCCGCUGCGCUACUAUUUUUGAGACCUUCGAUUCUCAUUUAGGUUGUUUCGGUCAAAAGUCUUUCGAGCUCUAUUUCGAGUUUUUAGCUGUCUACUGCUAUAUCCGGAUCUUGGAAAAAUCAUAACUUCCUCAUACGAAGUCAGAUUUGGACGUUCUUUUUAUGUACGCUCACAGUUUAAUGUUAUCUAAAACUUUCAUUUAGAUACUUAAGGCUAAAAACUAUUGUAUUGAAACUUCGUGUUUUUCGUUUAAUCGGUGUUGCCGGUUUUGCCGCGAACUUUCGGUUGGUGAUAACUUCUUCGUUAUAACUCGGAUUUUAGGGUUCUUUAUAUAUACAAAAACCUUGAUACGAUUUGUACUACUUUAUUUAACCCAAAUAUGAUUUUAGGAAAGUUAUAUUUUGACCUAAAUUUGACUGGUUUUACAUUACAUUGUCUCUAAAUAUCGGGUUGUCACACAAGGUUAGUGGCAAAUCUAAACACAUAUGGACUGAAGGUUGUAGGCUAGUGAUUAAAAAUACUCUUGAUUAGUUCUUGAAAUUAUUUCAGGAUCAUUUAGACUCCCACUGUCCUCUUGACAUAUAAGACUCUCUUGUCAAGAACCAUUCCUUGACAAAACAAAUAUUCAAGAGUUAGUGUGGAUUCUUAUCAAGACAAACACUUCACACAAUUGGCCUUAGUUGGUCUUUAUUUUAUCCAAAACAUCACAACUUACCAAUUUCAAAUGUACCAGAGUAAGAAAACAUUUUACUCUACAUUUGACAAGUAUUUUAAACCUUUCUUAAGAUUAUGUCACUCAAGGCUCUAUCUUGGAGUAUGACUCUAAGAUUUGAUUUGGAACGGACUAUGAUUUAUCUUUUGAUUUAACCAUUUCAACAAUUCAUGAUUCCUCUCCUUAGUCAAACAAAUGCACUAAGGUGUCCUUAGAGAAUCAAUUGUGAUAUAGUUUCAUAAUCACUAAGAUAGUCAUAAAAAAGGAUACUCAAGUACUCUCCCAUCUCUUCAGAUUGGAGAAACUUUUAUCUUUCUACCUUAUUUGAUUCUUCUUAUCCGUUCUGCCAUACAUUGAAACUUUUCUAAUGUUUCAGAAUUGAACUUAAACUUGUAAGCAUAACCAUAUUUACUAAACUUUUGUAAAUCAUAACGAAUAAUCUUAUCAACCUUUGUGGUGGACCUGACCAGCACACAACCAAGUGUACCUAAUCCUUUAGUCCUUCACUUGACUCACACAUAAAUGUGAACAAGGUCUUAGUCUUAAUUUCCCAAAGAUGAAAUCAUUCAUCACACAAUACAACUUGCAUGAUUCCAAGUUUCUAUACGAUUGAAACUUGGGUGAUGAGAAUCUUUCCUUAUUUGGUAAAUUACGAUACUACCACAAAUGAAAGAAUCAAAUCCAUUUACCAAUAUUGCUUAUCAAUGGAAACAUAUAAAUAACAUUAUUUUUUCAUAAAUGCCAUUGUAAGGAUACUUAAAAUAAAUAAAACAAUUUUUUUAUCUUAAAAACUUGCGGAAAAAAAUAUACUUACAAUGCAAAUACAUAUGAAAAACAUUUUGUUGUCUAUUCCUAAGCUAUAUAUAUCAUAACUCUUAUGCAGUAGCACAAAAUUCUGAUCAUCGGACCAUGCGAUCGAAAUCCACCGAAGCCAAUAGAUGGAUCAAGAAGGAUCCAGAAGAAGAUUUCGAAGAGUACCAAUAGAUGAAAUACGAGGAAGAAGAUUUCCGAGAAGGGACCAGAUAGAGAAAGAAGUUCGGGAGAUACCAUCAAUAAACCUUACCCUAUCAAGAGGAGUGUGAGAACCUCCACCUCUCAUUUCAGGAAGCAACCCGCAAUUAACUACCUAGCCACACAUAUAGACUGGAGAGGACAACCGAUGAUCCAUAACCGACAUAAACUCACUACACCGUACUUCGGGCCAUAGCACCCAUAGACCGGCAAGCAGAUCAAGAGAACAAUACGGAUCACCUACACUCCUUAGAAAAGGAGAUAGUCGUUAUAGGACAAAGAACCCUUACAGCUACAACCUGGACAGUCAUCACAGAACUGAGAACAGAGGAGGCCACUCGCGAAAUAGAAUCAUGCCGACACAUGAAGGUAAUCAGCAUACUGGUGCAACACUAGUUCUAUAAAUAGACCCUACAACAUUUCAAAUUGCGGUAACAGCCGCCGUGACAGCAGUCAUAGCACACCUCGGCGCUAACAACACAAACAAAAGCAGGAACAACGCCGAAAGUUCCAAUCGUAAUAACAACCAGGGAAACCUCGAGUAUGUUCCUGCAACGACGCCCCAAAUCAAGGACCUACUAAAAGACAACAAAUAGUGAAAUUCCAUACCACCACCAUCCCUACUACCUCAGUGCCGACAAGACCAUAUGUUGGAAACCUGCCAAAAUGCACCAAGUGUAGCUUUCAUCACAAAGGAAAGUGCAGGGAAAUGCACUGCAAGAACUGUAAUGAAAAGGGGCAUACCACAAAUUUAUGUAGGGUGCCGGCUCAACAAACCGCCCAGAACACAAAAUCUGGGAUGAGUCGGACUUGCUACAAAUGUGGAGAAGUAGGACAUUUCAUAAAGGAGUUCCCGAAGACUAAAAACAAAGAUAUCAGGAGCGUCGGAAGUGUUUUAGCAACAGAGCGUGGGAAAGAAGUAAUAGACCCCGCUGAGAUUCCGGUACGUUCAUUCCCGAUAGCACAUAUGCAUGGAUACUAUAUAAUAGCAACGCGGAGAGGAGUAUUGUGAGUCGUAGAUUUAAUCAAUUUCUCAACCAAAAACCUCAAAAACUUAAUCGAAAUUUUUACAGUAGAAUUGGAAUAAUCAAAAGCACUAGAGACGUGUACAUAGGGUGCACUCUAACACUAAAUCAAGCAAUUCAUUCAAACCAUCCUAAAACUGGUCACAAUAAAAAUUUAUGACAUUUUCAUUUUAACAACGUAUUAGUUAGUUUCCUCAACAUACCGAUAUCAUAUAUUACGAAAAGUCCAUUCGCCUAAACCCAUCGAGUAAUAGAACCCUCGUUGUCUAUGGCGACAAACCGGACACAAACCCCCGACUCACCUUUUACAACAAGACUCAGAAGUACCUACACAGGAGGUACCACGCCGUCCUAGCCCGUGCUGUGGAUAAGAAACAAGAAGAGAAAGACAUCAUGGAUGUUGAAAAAGCCCGUAACCUUCUCGAUAUAUUCCGAGAAGAUCUCCUGGGAAUACCAUCCGUACGACAACCCGAGUUCAAAAAUCAACCUAAGUGCAGUAGUUGUGGAAAAGGGUUGUUGUAAAUGCCAUCUCACCCAAGUUAAUCACCCCACUCAAGUAGAGACUAUGGACCCAUACUAGUGAAUCUAUGAUUACUAAGUGUAUAUAUUGGAGCCCUAUAUAAUUAAGAUUCUACGGACUUAGGGUUGGUAAUUCCGCUUUAAAUCCUUUUCCUUGUUUGGAUGUGGGCUUAGAAUAGAAUCACCGAUUCGACUGUCUUUUCAAUCUUAAUUAUAUACGACUUAUAAACACAAAGAGAUGAUAGAUGAAUCAGUUAUGAGUCAUACCAUGAACUCCAUGACAAGUUACCCAGGACAGUGGAUGGACAUGCUACCACUUGAGCGAUCGUAGACAAAUCAACCAAACCCACACACUUUCUACCGACCAAGGAUACAAAGAAAAAUA